GUUUAAACGCAGUUGAGAUUUAUUAGGAUUUUUGUAUGCAGACUCUCAAAAGCCAAAAAGUUGAAGUGAAUAAUCCAACUGUGAUUUUUUUUUUUUUUUUUUUUUGCUUUUGCACUGAAGUUGUGACUCUUGCUAAUGUUUUCAACCCUAAAACUAAGCCCUUAUUAUCUUUUGCUGACAUAUAUUUAGCAAUGGUCUGUAAACAUCAAUGUAUAUCUAAAGGUAAAUGGAGUAAAAUGGUGCAUUUCCAUGAACGCAACAUCUGAUCAUGGAGUAAAUACAUCCCAAAAUACAUAAAACUCAUGCUGGAUUUAAAAAAAAUCAUUAUGAACAAAAACUUGGGAGGUACUCCCAACUGAUCGGCCUGUAAUGGCCUUGCAUAUUUAGGUAAUGUACAUACAUGAGUUGAUAAUUUCCAUUAUUUUUUACCAAUAGUUAUUGGGGAAAUCAUAAUUAUUCUUUUUGCCAGAACAAACAUUUGAUUCGAUCUUCUUUCUUGCCAGACGUCCUCUCUGUUUUCUGAUUUUGAGCAACUGAGUUAAUCAAGACCUUCAAUUCAAAGACGAUCAUUACAAAGCGACUGCUUUCCGGUAAUUCAUCACAUGAUAAAAGUGUAACAUUGCAGGGUUAGAAAGUUAGUCAGGAAAAAGUCCUCCAGUAAAACAUUCGUCAUUAUGAAGGAAUUCAGAUUUGAGGAAAUAUGCUGUCGUUCUUUCAUUUUGGUAAGAAGGACCCAUGAAUUUCCAUCUCUUUGUUUUAUUUAUUUAUAAAGGUUUUAUUAUAGGCUCCUCGAUGAGGCACACUCUGUUACUGAGUGAGCAUGUUCUGAAAAGAGGUAAAACUCAGAAAAAAUGUUCAGCAGUCUUAAAUACAGCGAACACCAUAGUCCCCGAGUUUCUUCAUGUUGAAUCAGUUAUCUCUUUCAGCUGCAGAGUUCAAUUGUAACCCUCAACUCUAGAGGCAAUUUCAUAUUCCUCGCAAUAAACCAUCUGAGAAGUGUGCUUACAAACUCUCAGUCUCAAGGCAGAUAAUCAAACCACAAGGUCAGCGAGCUGGUUUCAUACUUGACAUCAUAAGUGUUUGUCAAUGACCCUUCAUUUGUGCUCAGAAGGAAACAGACAUGGAUUUGCUGUUAACUGCUACUUUCCAGGUCAUGCAGUUCACUUGAUGGGUUAAGCUAACACUUCUCCUCUUGCCUCAUUAUUGCCUCAUCGUUCUUUACCAUUCUGUUUCUGUUUUAUGUUUAAAACAUUACUCUUUUCCUCGUCUGCGCAUCUCUCUCCCUCAUCUCUCUCUCUCUCUCUCUCCCUCUCUCGGUUUUCACAGAGGGCUCGUUUCGCUCUCGCAGUAGCGGGUAGACUUUGAUGUGGGCUUACAAUGUGACUUGUGCCUCUGCUAAAUUUAAUCAUAUUAGCUAGUUAACCAUGCCACCACCGUGUGACCCACUGACAAAAACCAAGCUCCUUCUGCUCUCACUCCAGCUCACUCUCUCAUUUGUCUAUAAUAAUCUCGCCCAGGGACUGAGGGGGAGCAGAGAGCACAGUGCAAUGGAGAGAGAUACAGGCCGUAUGUUUGUGUGAGUGUUUGCAAGAGGCAGAAGAAGAAAAAGAAUUACUAACACCAUUUUCUAACCUAUUUAAUAUUAUUCUUUAAGAAUCUAUCUAUCUAUCUAUCUAUCUAUCUAUCUAUCUAUCUAUCUAUCUAUCUAUCUAUCUAUCUAUCUAUCUAUCUAUCUAUCUAUCAAACAUCUACCUACCUACUUGUCUAAAUAACUGAGUGUGUUUAAGUCCACAGGGAAAAAGAAAAAGUCUUGCAUGAAAAGUUCCCAGUGUACAUGAGUGAGCGAGAGAGAGAGAGUAAGUGUGUACAUGUCACAAUGAAUGUAGGAGAAAGGAUGAGACAGCUCUUGAUCACAGAUGAUAGGUUUAUUUGAGGAAGGUCAGGAACAUUUGGGAGAAGCGUGAGACAUUUGAUUGCGAUGGUAGGAAGGUGAUGUCACGCUUUCCCAAACAGACACAUGUAACACAUUCACACGUGCACACACAAACACAAAAACACACACACAGGCAAAGACCAGGACUGAGGCAUACAAGAAUAAAUGUUAUGUAGAGCAAACAAAAAAGGAGAGUGAACACUUCAGCAUUGUCCUGCACCAUACUAACUGUGUCCUUCCACGAAUCUUCAAGAUUGGACAUGCCCGCUAGUGCUGAAUUGUCAGAAAGAGUCUGUUUGACAGAAGCGAAUCCCCCCCAUGGCUCACCAGAAGUGUCAAUCUAGGGAAACUGCAUGUCAGAGGGAGCAAAUGAUGAAUUUGAAGGUUAAGAAACAGGCACAUGGGUGAUAGUUUAGGCUAACAAACAAUAAUACUCCUGUCAAUAAAAUUUGGGCUAUUUCUCUGAAAUUUAAUUGGCAGAUGUGGGCUUUCAUUUUUUUAAACUUCUUUUACAGAAGAAAACAUUCUGUAACUUUUUUUUCCCACUCCACAAUCAUAAGGUAACCAGGAGCAACCCUCCAGGCAUGAUUGACUUGUGUCCGCUCGGCUUUGCAACAGCUCCUGAAUCCAGGAAUUGCUUCAUCCUCAUCAUAUCAUUACCCCGCUGGCCUGACAGCGAACAAGCUUGAAUGGCAGUCUGCAUUUGAUUAUUGCAGUUUUGCCCCCCAGGCACUCUGUGUUUGAUUACUCCUGCUUCGGAGGUUGAUCUUUGUCUGAUUAUUCUUGCUGUUUGUUUAUUCCUGUAAUCGCAGCCUCGCACAAAGUCCUGUUUUUGUUUUUGGCAGAGGUUGUCAUGGGGUCUUAUCUAUGUGUAAACAUCUCUGUUUUGGGCUUUUUUUCACGUGUGUGUGUAUGUGUAUGUGUGUGUGAUUAUUGAUAGCUCAGAGGCUUGUCUGGGUGUGAUUGCUUUCCCCUGGCAGGCUGGCGUUUAGAAUAAUUGGUGCCCUCCAGAACCGGUGUUUAUUUUUGUCAACAUUCCAAUUACAUCAGACCAAUCAGUGUGGUCACAGCCCAGUCGUCUCAUCAUCACAUAUCAGCUGUGUCAACAUCCGCUAUCAUCUCUGGCUGUCACACUGAUUGUAACUCUAUCACUCAAUAUUUUAAUUACAUUUGGACCCUACUGUGAGAAAAUAGUAAUAAGCCUCAGUCUUGGCCACACUUCAUUUUUUUCUAUUAAGGUAUCCUCACAGCGUAUUGUUUAAAUCCUAUAAUCCAUGUCACAAAUGGAGAAGGAAGUCCAUCAUCCAUAUUAUCCAGCCAGCCUGUCGUCACUGCAGACCAACAGCCUACUUCUGACAAAUCUUUUUCUUUCCUUGAUUAGUUUUAGUGUCAGUUCGCCCCUAAAAGUAAUGACCCAAUUUUCUUUGUCCGAUUCUUUGGUGUGCCCGGUUUGAAAGGUAAUUGUUUUUGAUUGACUCAAUUAGUUCCACUGUGUCUGGAAAAUUCAGCUGAUUAUGUUUCUUCCCUAACAGGAUCCUCGACUUAUUCUUCCUUAUUGUCAGUAAAGACAUUGAAAAAUAAUGUUUAAUUGAUUUAUCAUUGGUCUAAUAUUGAAAAUCAUUGACUUCUUUUCAUUUUAGCAGGGGUCUCCCCAAGGUUAUCAUGUCUAAUAUUAAUGUUAGUGUUUGCUUCUAUGCUGCGUUCCAGUUGUACUCGGAAGUCGGAAAUUCACCUGGAACGCACCCCUGAAGUCGAAUUCUGACCUCACCAACCCUGACUUGGCAACAACAUCAUAAUCCAAGAUGGCAGCACAGUGCAUCAACAGUAAAGAGUAACAGUGAAAGCUCUCAUUAGUAGACAGAAAACAGAAGUUUGUAUUAGAGGGUUUUAACUGUAGUUAUCAAACUAUUGGGACAAAGGGAAAUAAGACCACACUACGCAGACACAAUCAAAAAACGCGUUAAGCGAGGAUUGCAACUUCUUUCAUUUAAGCGAAACGAGGACAACAUAACUGACGUAACAUAACUUUGCUGUAUUUACAAUGAUGAGAAUCAAAUGCCACCAGACCAACGAGUCAUUGCAUAGACAGAACACGUUUUGUGGUCUGGUAUUGGGCUAAGAUUUUUUUUUUCUUAGUGUGUAAAUGAAUGGGCAACACUGUAGUGUCGUUGCAAUUUACCAGGGUACGAUGGACUUUUCCAUACCGGAAACCAGCGAAACCAGGCCACACAUACUACAUAAUAACAGCCGACUUGCAGUCAUACUGCAUACUGCAUACUGCGGUAGGCAGGAGUAUGCAGUAGGCCAAUUCGAAAACAGCCACAGUCUUUUCUGGGAGUCCCUGAACUCCAUCAUCCUGUAGGUUCCUCUGGAUCACUGCUGCAGACCUUUUGUGGACUUGCCUGCUUUCCAGCCACUGUGUGUGACAGAGGUGCUGCGAAUCUUUCCUUCCUGCUGCAGUCAUACUGUUUAACCAGGCCUGCUCACAGUAGUACAAACCGAAUAGCAGUGUCCUAAAAAUGUAUUUUUCUUCACCAUCAAUGGCAAAAUAUGAACAUGAUAAUCUCUGGAGAGCAGCUGCUGCUUUGCACAUGUCCAGUCAAAUAUUAAAAGUCAGCAGGUGGAGAAAAAGUCAUCUCUGUAUUGUAAAUGUUUCAGAGUUAAAUCUUAAACCAGGUUUCUGAAUGUACCCGACAAAAUAAAGAAUCAUACGUAAAAAAGAUUUCAAUAUUUGUGGUUAAAAAGGUCUGAACAAAAAUUUAUUCAUGGCUCUGCUUUGUGUGCCAAAGUGAAAAUGAAGGACAUCCUUCUGUGAUUUUGAACAUGUAAUACGGUUUCAGUUAUAGUGUUUUUGUGAAGCCUCAUUUUUUUUUCUCAGCUAACAUUAAUAUUUUUGACCUUUUACUUUUUAUGAUACUGUUGGUUUUCAUUGACCAUAAUUGCCUCAGGUCUCACUCAAUCUUUGUCUGCUGGAAGGUACAUUUCAAAACUAUCCUACUAAAAAGUCUUAUCUUACUUCCUCAUCAAAAUGUAUUUCUUCAUAAAUAAAAGCAUCACUAGGAGAUGUGGCAUUGAGGUGGAAUUUCAGGAUUAAGUAGGAUUGUAAUAAUCCUUCCAAAGGAGGAGAGAAACCCAAACACAGUUUAACCAUUAGAAAGCGGGAGGAGGAUAAAGAGAUCAGAAAAAAAAAAUCCAAACAGAGGAAGAGAAAGCAAAAACAUCUCUUAAUAUCACAGCUGAAAAAAGGAUAAAAUGGGCUGGUGUAGAGGGACAGAGAAAACAGUAGGUAUUGUUUUAAUCCGGUCAGCGGGAACCUUCUAAUCCCUUGUUGGGAACAUCACAGAAACACGUUGGUGUUUUUGUCUUUUGUUCCCGGGGCUAAUCCCUGGCUUGCAGGCCCUCAGGUCUGGGUUGGUAUAUUGAUGACACUGUUAUCCUACCCAUACGUCCCACAGACCACAGGACACACAUGAAAAUACCUGAUCUGAUAUAUAAAGGGCGCAACUCAUGGCAAGGCCUGUUAGAGUAAUAUCAGAAAUUCAAGUUAGAAAUUUGGACAAAGUUGACUUUUUCUAAAGUAGUGGGGCGAGAACACACUGGAGUUUGAUGCUCAGUAAUACUUUUGGGCUGAAAGCUGAUUUAAGGUUUAAGAUAAGAGGAUAAAGCACAUUAUGUUAAUAGAAAUUAUCAGGAAGGUAAAAAGUGAGUCUGGCCAUCUUAUUACUUCAGUUCAUUUGAGAUGUCUGAUUAAAUGGACGCAGAGGCCGUGACCACAGAAACUACUCAUUUCUGAUUGGCCAACAGGUGUAGAGGCCACUCUUGCUGAUCACGAUUACAACAUAACCUACUGUAUUCAGUGGAACGCUGCCAUGCUAUAAAACCAUAACACACUAAGGCGUCCUUGUAUGGAAGAUAGAGUGUGUAGAGGAAAAAACCUCCCUGCCUAGAAUAACAUUAUCAUCCUGAAUACCAAAGCUACAAACCUUUUGUUGUACAUCUUUUCAAGGCUUAAAGUUCUUGAAAUAUAUUCGUGGGUCUCACGUUUCAUGCAGCAGUUUCAUUUUUUAAAAAAAACAUUUACAAUCAUGAAUUGUUCCAUGUACUUGAUGCUCCCCUAUGACAGAGUAUUAGGGCCACAUUAAGAAAAAAAAAUUAACACUUUGAGAGUAAAGUCACUAACUUAUGAGAAUAAAGUCAUUACUAAUGAGAAAAAAGUCAUUACCAACGGGAAUACAGUCCUAAUAAAAUCAUAACUUAAGAGAAUAAAGUUGUAAUAUAGUAAUUACUUAUGAGAAUUAAGUCGUACUUAAAUCAUAACUUAUGGCAAUAAAGUCGUUAUAAAGUAAAUACUUAUGAAAAUAAAGUUGUAAUAAAAUCAUUACGAUAGGCUACUUAUAAUAAUGUGGUGCCGAUGUGCCUAAAGUAUCUCCUUGUUUGAGAAACCUAUAUUGAAGUACAUUUUCACAAAAUGCUCUAUGGCUCUCAUUUCAACAACUGUCAUCUUAAACAACAGGUUUGAGUAAGUAAUUACUUUAUUACGACUUUAUUCUCAUUAGUAAUGUCUUUAUUCUCAUAAAUUAACAACUUUCAUCUCUAAGUCGUAUUUUUUUUCAAUGUGGCCCUAAUACUCUGUCGUAGUUCUCCUGCCUGCUUUUGUUGCAUUUCAUGUUGCAUUAACACCACAUUUUGUUUAAGUUUAUUCAUUUAUUUAUUUAUUUAUUUUUUGUGUGUGCCUUUUUUCCAACUUCAGCAGAAAACUCUUGCAGCACAGCAUUUGGUUUCACAGCCCUGUGACUGAGCGGUAAGAGAAGAAUCAAGAAAAAUGGGGGAUAUCAGCUAGAAAUUCCAGAAAAUGUUAUGUCUCUGUAAAAUGUUGUUCAUUUGUCACAUUUCCAAAUCAGGAUAAACCAGAGCAGGUUUGGUACAGAGAGAACUUCAUUGGACACAACCUCCAUACUUUUUCAUGUCAUGUAUUAAUACUUCUACACUGAGUGAUGUCCUACUGACUUAAACACGCACACACAGAUUUAGAGAGACCUGUAUCCACUUUGCUUCCACUUGAGGGUAGUUUGACAUUGCUGCCUUGACUGGCAGCUUAAAGUUAUGAUGUCUGUGGGUCAUAGCGGUUUAUGGGAUUAAGCCCCUGGAGGAAGUCAGAGGCUCUUUAAAGCCAGGACAAAGCAGCCUCUAAAUUUAAUUGAGGUUGCAAGUGGGUGCAAUAACAAUGAUCAGGCUUAUCAUGAAAGGCAAGAAAGCAAUGUGUGCUGUGAUGUUAAUAUUAACAAUAACAUCCAGAAUGGUUAUAGGUGGAACGAAUUGAACCAUGAGGAGGGAAAACACGGGCAUGCUUCAGGAAGAACAUUGGAGAACAUUGUGUAAAAGAAGAGAGAUACUUGAAUUGUUAUUCAAAACACCUGUUGUUGUGGGGAAACUCAGCUGACUGCUGUGUGUGGCCUCUCCUCAAUAAUUAAGUGCUUCAGCAUGAGCAAAAAAUUAGAUCAAAAACAAGAAAAAUAUGGUACAAAUGACUAUGUGGCAUUUAAACAUCUGAACUGGAGGUGUUGUAGGGAUCUAUGGAUUUUUGAAAAAAAAACAAAACAAAAAAAAACAAAACAUUUAUUACCACCACCUUUAAAUAACCCUCAAAAUCCCCAGAGAUAGCAGCUCCUUUUUAAGGAGUCUACUGUGUUGUUCCGCCAACCCUUAAAAUGAGCAGAGUGUCACGGUAAUUUACUGUAAAACAAACAACAAACAAAGGAGACUGACUAAAGGAAAGAGAGAUAUGGUUCUUGGUUUUAUAGCUCUUUAAAGUGGUCACCAGAAGCGCCCUGACUGAGUGCAUGCUGCAUGUUUCUGAGUCUGCUCUUUAUAUAGAGUCACCUAACUUACACUGACAGCUAAAUGGAAAAACCUAAGACGGACUCGCGUGGGUUCUCACACAUGUUUGCUGGAGGAGGGUAAAGGGAGUGGUUGUCACUAUAACCUCAUGAGCUAGAAUCCACUUCAUCCCAAAGUGCUCCUUUGAAUCUCUCCAAACUGACUAAACUAAUUACAGCUGAGAGAGGACAGGUACAGUAAAUAUUUCUGCAGUCCCCGAAAACAGCCUCAAAGCCUGAGACAACUCUGUGACUUUGCUCAAGAUUAAAUCUUCAAAAUCUGAAACCAGGAGCUGCUCAACCCUUGGUUCAUCCUUUGGUUUGCAUGGGACUUGAGGGAUGCCGUUAUUUCACUUUUAGCAAAUACUCGCACUGCAUUUGAAUCUGGCUGCAGUUGAUCUCUUUAAAAAAAAGAAAAAAGAAAAAAAAGAAGCUUUUUUUGGAUCAACCCCCCUCUCCUGUCUCAGAGAGAGAUUAACAUAAUUUUACAGCAGGAUUUCCACCAGCUAAGACUUCAAAUCUUUCCUGAUAUCCCAACUUAAGUAGACCCUUUCUCUUCUUAUCUGUUUGUAUUUUUAUAUUGCAGUUUUUUUUCUCUCUCUCUUUCUUGUUACAGGAAUAUAAAAACUAUAGUAGUGAGAUUGAAAAACAAAAGGGAAACGAUAUGAGGGGCAUACAGUAUAGCAUACAGAAGGGGUGGGGGUGGGGGGGUGUUGCUUUUAUUUAUAACAGAGGGUUUUUAUGCUUUAUGUGUGUGUGUGUGUGUGUGUGUGUGUGUGUGUGUGUGUGUGUGUGUGUGUGUGUGUGUGUGUGUGUGUGUGUGUGUGUGUGUGAGUGAAGCCGAUGAGGAAGUGCUAGAAUCUGCAGAUCCCUGAGGCUGGCUGCACCAUAGAAACCAUGUACACACUUAUUCAAAAAGGCCUAUUUUUAGAGCAAAAAUGAACAAACCGGUUUUGUCUGAAAAGCACAUUCUCUCUCUGAACAUAGUUUACUGGGGGUGAUUUCUGAUUGGAGCCAAUCUGCACAUUUCUAACUGACUGGGUAUCAGAAAUAUCAACUGAUCAUCUCAGGCUGAUCGUUAACGUCAGCUGUUACAGUUCAGCAACCCCAAAAUACUCGGUUAUUAUAACAAUUUGCUUCAACAUCUAAAAACUGAACAUGCAGUAGAAUGAGUUGUAUUUACUAAAGCAACAGAGGGAAAAGAUGCUGCCCCCAAAGCAUCAAACUCUGGCCUUUAAAAAAGGAAGGACGGAUCUCCUGAAGAGAGCGAAAAGGCCAAAAGAUUUCACAGAUACCGGCUGAAUCCAUCUCACUGGACAACCAGCCCAUGUCUGUGGUAGAAAAUGAAGGUUUAUGCUGUUUCUCCAAGCUUUUGGACCAACAGUGUGGCCUGCCGUCUUAACAAGACACUUCAUGUUUGUUUCAGAACAGCAGUAAGGAUGGGAAGUUGAGGUAACUUCUCCAAAAAAUGUCAACCAAUAAGAUGCUCCACAUCUCUAUUCAUUACUGUGCUCUUCUAUGCUAAUGUUUAAUUAGCAUGUCAUUGUGUGAUCAUACAGCAGGCGGUGUAAUUCAGAUAGACAGAAAGACGGCAGGUGCUGGUGAAAAAUGGGGAGAGGAGAGAGAGACUCCAGAGGAAGAUAGAGAGAGAGAAAGAGAAAGGGAUAAGCAGAUGAUGAGUGGUAAAUAGAGCACACACUACACUGUAUUAACACUAUCUGAAAGAGUGUGAUGGAAGUAAAUCCCUUAAUAAUGUUGAGCAAUAAUGCACUGAAUUUAGUCUCACACUCAUAAUUAUUUUUUUGUUUAAUGGUAGCAGCAGAUGCGAGGUAGGCCUGUAUUUGUCAUAUUGUUUUUAAUAUAUUUUGAAUGUAAAUAAGGCGCCACAUUGCAUUCGUUAGGUUUAUUAUCCAAAAUGUUACCAGAGGACCUCUGCUCUUCUGGAUCUAUUGGCAUUAAUGAGCAGACUGGUGGGGGGCACAGUGUGGUAAACAGAAAUAAACUUAAGAAACGUGGCAGAAGGACAGCUGUUAUGUUGAUGGUGCGCGUACGUUUUCUUGAUUUCUGUCUGACUGAUAAGACUUUGAGUUCUGAUGUGAUGCUUACAUGGAUGAUGAGCAGAUACUGGUGUGGUUGUUACAGUAUGUCUGUGCUUAUUUAUAAUUAACGCUCAGCUCUGUCCUGAGCUCUGCGACCUCUGUGAACCAAAAAGAAAUGCUUUAGAUAUCAUUUUAUUCACUUACUCACCGUAGCGUUUGCCCGAGGCCUCAAAAUAACUAACACUUGUGUUCUGCAGCUACAAAUAUCUGCUCAUAAUGAUCAAUAUUCUGAAUGUUUUUCAAAUAAAUACUACUGUCCUUUUACUUUUGCCCAAGUCGUUUUCCUGGAGCAAUAUCUCUACUUUUACUCAAGUAUGGCUUUUAGGUACUUUAUACACCACUCUUCAAAACAUUUGUCUUGAAACUCACUGGACUGGCACAGCAAUCCUUCACCAUCAGCACAAAUAUCAUCACAGUACUAUAUCAUAUUGAUUCCUUGAACAACUAGACUAUAUUGUUCAAAUUCUGCCACAAUACAAGCUUGAUUCAUUUUCAUACAACAGCCUUGAUCCAUUUCAGACAAUACCAGCCUGACACACUUUUUUUAUAAUUCAGCCAGAGGGAAAAUAAAAUGGAAGCUUUUUCACAAUCUUAUUAGAGAUCUGAAUUAAAACAUUAACAUCUCCAUGACCACGAGAACAAAGGCCAUUGUUUUUUGUGUGAAGUGCCACACUUUUUUCUUUGAGUGCUAUUUUUUUAAAUCAUACAUUGAUUCCUUCUACCACCUUGAAUUUAAAUACAGUGAAAGCUACUCUUUUAGGACUUGUAAACUUUUGGUUUAUCCCCCCUAGACUUGCCCCUGUAAACCAUUUCACUUAAGUGCUGUUUCUCUGCGAUUUAGUGUUGUGGCUCUGUGGUAUAGUGUGGCUCUCAGAAAAAAAAAAUUUUUUCAACAUCACUGCAAAGCCUCAAGCCUUUAAAGAUGAAAAAUUGAGUUUUGGUUGAGCUAUUGAUGAAAAAAAAAAAAAGUUGGUCAAAGGAGGUUGAGCAGGCAGUGGUAGUCAUGGUACCAAUGCUCAUUGCAAGGGGUAGCAUGGGAUCAAUGCCUGAGCACACCUUGAAGAAACUGUGAGACGGGUGGGCUGAUUAUCCAGUGGCAGCGUAUCAUAAAGAGGUCAAUGCAGAUGAUGAUUUUACUUUCCAAUAAUUUGGCUGAAUCAUUGUUCGAUUGUUGGAACAUCUGGAUUGACCCAGAUCAAUAGAUUUAACCUCAUCAUCAAUUUUCUUCCCAUCUUUGGAUCAUUAUGUACAUUACAACUGUAUCUGUUUCUUAUCAUGUCCUUUUCGUUCCAGAUUUCCUAAUCUAAAACAUGUUUGCAGUUAUUGUCCGUGGCCCUGGGGCCCUACUUUCCAAAAUGAACGGCAUAAAAACCCAUCUGAAAGAACAAGAAAUGUACACAGAAGGGCCUAAGGGUUAAAUGAGCAUAUUGCACCUUUAGUAAGAUUCAGUAUUUAAUACCCAGGAAACAAGUGCUUGUGCAGUUUUCCUCUCACUGGUACGUCAGCAGGAAAAGGGUGAAUGCUCAUCAGUCAUUUGACACCCCUGUAGAUAUGUCAGUCAGGUUUAAUGAAGGAUGAAAACUGUAAGUAAAGUGCAUGCCUAUUCUAACACCGAUGUAACGUUUGAAUACAUAACACCGAAGGGUCAUAUUUCAAACAGGUGAGGUCUACACUGUCAUUCUUGUUGUUUCAACAGAGCUCCGAAAUGGCUCACUUUUCAUUUGUAUCCUAAAGUUAGACUGUAAUUUUCCACUCCUCUUUUAAGGCGAUAACAAACACUAAUAUUUGUCUUUUAACUAGCAUGCAAGUGCAAUUUUAAAUUCAACGUGUAUGAAAAAUAUGUUGAUUAUUCUCUUGUGUUGCUCUGAGGAAGAAAAGGGGAAAAAGUGAUUGUAAUGAGUACCAACUGUUUACAGAUAUUUGCACAAAUUAACCAGCCAUUUAAACCAAAUGACAAACACAGGAAGUUAAUAUUAAAGAGUCACUUUAAUCCCAUUGAAAUCUAUUGGAUCUAUCAAAAUAGAUGGACACUGUUUAUUAAACAUUUAGACAAUUGACUUGAAUACAAGUCAUGGGUUUCUGCAGCUCUUACUUGGGUUUUAUUUAUUGGUAAAUUUAUUUUACCAAUGAAUUGCAGAUUUAAAGCAUGUUAAGUCUCUUUGUACACUCAGUAAUUUAGUGCAUACUGUGCAUACUAUGUUCAAACAAAUUAAAUGUAAACUAAUCACAAAAAUAUACUGUAAAGUGUAGUUUAAACAGUUAUUUUCCAUUAUAAACAGUGGAACCAUGUAACCAUGCAGAGAACAAGAAAAUAACGUGAACAAAAUGACAAUUAUUCGUUGAAAUUCUUUUGACUACAGUAAAUAGCUGUUCCUGUUACAGCAGAAAACAUGUGAAAUGAAUCAUGUAGAAUGCUAUAAUUUGUUUGAUAAUAGCAAUACUUUCUACAAAAAAAAUAUUUUCAACUGUUUUGUCAGGUGUUUACUGUGAAUUAAUAGUGCAAACUGCAGGACUGUGCAUUCACCAUAGGUAUAAUAUAGGUCCAUGUUCAGUAGAAUUUUUUGAGCCUUUUUUUUCCCAUCAGUCUGCUAAAAGCUUCACUCUAUAAGCAGUUCUUGACAUCUGUUAAUAAUAAUGACUAAGCUUUCCCAGCAAGUGGUAAUUAACAUCACAGCAGUUUCUGUCUCAUUUCAAUCUUCAACUUUGGAAUAUCACUUCCGAUUUUAUGACGAACACAUCUAGCAGUCACCUCUCCACCCUGUUAUAGAGGUGGUUUCAUUGUCCUCACAGAGACACUCUAAUGAUUGAUGUGAUUGACAGCUCUGAGUACCUCUCAGCUGCUGCUCUGGAUCCUUAUACAAUAAAGCCCCUGGCAUGUUAAAAGCUGAUAUUAGAACUAGUGGAGUUGGAACAGAACAUACAGAUGUUUAUUUGGCUAGUUUACCAAUUCUCUAAUCAGGUUUGCCAGUGUCAAUACCAACACUUAAUGAAAUUAGGAAUCAUAAGCUUGGUUAUGUCCUAUUGUGCAGUAUUCUGCAAAGCUAACAAAGGGUUUUUACACACAGACAUAAAUGUUCUUCCUUGAGCUGCGUCCUCCCGCUGCAGUUGAUGGACUUGUCCAGACAUCUCCGUACAAACAAGCAGCUGCUGGGAGAGAGUGGGUGAGUUGUGUUUUGUCUCUUUGCUAAAGAAAUCAGGCAAAACUUAAAAUAUGUUUGAUGGCUAGUACUUUGGCUGGGACACUAUAUGUACUGUUGAUGAAGUUAGGUGCUGUUCUGAGCAUUAUUUGUGGCUAUAGAGUGGCUUUUUGGUUGAGCGCGUGGCUCUCUGUAUUGCUAUCUGCGGCCAUUACUAAAGUUGGUAUAACUAGAUAAGCAAGCGGUCUGCAACAUUCAUCUCUCAACGGGGUGUCUUACUAUUAUAGUGUGUUUGACCCUAACUUAAUUUUACGCCAAAAUAUCCCUUUAACUUUGGAUGCAGGGUCUUCCUGCCAAUAUAACAUGUGAUACAUGAGUUAAGUCAAAUGAAAAAAGAAAAAACUUUUAUCAGUAUUAUCAUUUUCAAGUCAAACAUUAUUCAAUUAACGUGUUAAAACUCCUACACUGAGUUAAUGUUUAGUCUGCUAUUGAUUUCUUUAUACACAUUUAUUUCAUAUACCCAUCAGUUUCUAAUCCUGUUGUUUUUAUUUUAUUUUUUCAGUGUCACCAUUUCCCACCGCCACAUUUGAAGCAGCAGGGCAAGUCCCAAAGUCUACUCCGACAAUGUUCAGAUGCUCUAAUUCAUGUUCAGUAUCAUCAAAACAACGAAAGCCUGUUUAUCUUUAAUGUGCUUUUGCCUGAGGUAAAAUAUGUUGAAUAUUGUAAAUGCUGGUCUGACACAUCCCAUAUCUCUUACAGAACCUUACUGUAACAGGAUAAGACAAUGACAUUCAGUUGAAACUAAAAUUCAUCGCAGUUAUGUCCCCCAGUCAUUUAGAUCUUCAAAAUCCAGAGGAGUAUCAACAUUUGUAUUUCCUCUACCUUAAGUCAACUCUUAUGCCGAUGAUAAGCUCUUGUAUACACAAACUUAAAUCAAAGAAAACAAUGGGUGCAACUUAAUUAAAGGCUAAUGUCAACUGUGACUGUUUAUGAAGUAAUAAACACAUUUUCAGGUGUAAUUAAAGAUAAUAUCAAUCACUAAAUGUUUAUUCUUUUUUCUCCUUUUGAUGGUGACUUGGAAAUGUUCAAGUUAGACUUGGCUAGGAUUCUAAGUCUAGAGGUCUCAGAGAAGUUUCAGCACUUAAAAGAAAGCACUAAAAGAGCCUCCCAGUCUGAAGACUUUUCAAACACACAACAGCAAAAACAUAAUAUCUGAUAUGGCUUGUUAAAGCUGCAAGCAUCCAGACUUCCUGUUGUGUUCUGGGUACGGGUGCAAGGUUCUGUACUGAAGGUCUUGACCUGGAGCUGCUAAAUGUGUUAUUCUUUGGACAAAAGGUCCGAGUAAUAGCAACUGCUUUCCAAUAAGAUCUUUGUGGCACUCCAGCCCUGUAAAAGUACAAUUACAAAACACUGAAUGACUCACAACUUUAGAGUUAUUUUCACUCUUGUUUGUAAGAGAGUGGGUUUGCAACGGUGGUGGAGAGAUGAUUGAAAAUCUAUACAAAAGUACAAGAAACUUAAAAUGACUUGAUUUCUGUGGAGUGAGAAAUAAAAUAAGGAACUUCAUUGAUCCUACAGCUUACAACAAAGGAAGUAAUGAUCAAAGAUGCAAAGGGCACCAACAAUAUACUUACAAAGACAUGUUUGAAUUAUAGAGGUAUACAGAAUGAAUCUAUACACUGUUAAUACAUUCAACUGCUGGAUGGAUUGCUGAUUGCAUGAGCCUCUUGAAACACAGGAAACGAAUGUCCAUAUGUGUAGUCUGUUUCUGUCUUAUGGCCAUGUGGGAACUAGGAUUUUAGCUCAGUAUGCAUGCACAGUGUACCAUAAGUCCUGUACUGAAACAGUUAAAACUAUGUGUACCCUUACACCCCUAAUAGGGCCCUUUGCUUUUUUGACUGACACUACUGGAUGCAGCCAACAGGGUAGAUGAUUGCAAGUGUCUUGCCCAAGGACACAUUGGCAUGUUGACAGUGGGAUCUGGGAUUGAACCCUUGACCUUCCAAUUGGAAGACAACUGACUUCACCUCUGAGCCACUGCCGCCCCUGUAAAUAAAUAUGUUUAAAGACCCUCUUCUUGUUCUUUGUAUGUUCAUAUGGCAUUUUUCUAAUGCUACAGGACAUAUCAUGAGAAAACUAAAUGCAAAAUUGCUUUUCUGAGUAUUUCUUCAUUCAAAUCGCUGUGUAUCUCUGGCAGACCCAGACGGCAGGUUCAGAAACAGUGAGAUUUCAUACGUAACCAAUCCAAGCUUCGCCCCUGGAGCCCCGCUAUGCAGGCCAGGCUCAGGAGAAAUAGAGACGAUUAUCGCGGAACAAGCGUGUCUGUAGCGGAUUGCAGUGCUCAUAAGAAAGCUAAUUAUGAUAUUAACUUUUAUUAUGCCCCCAAAUACAUUAGUGUCUCUGAGAGCUUAAUAGCUCCUAUGUUACCUGCAACUUUUACUACACAAGCAAUGUUAGGCUACAACCUAGCAUGAAGACCAGUAUGCAGAGCAGCGCUGUCUCUGCCCACGACUCAGAGGCGAAUUGCUAAUGAGCUACUCGAGCUCUGCAGAAAAAAAGCUCUAAUUGUGAAAUGUUUCUAUUUGUAUUUUACAUCAUUUAUUUGUAAUUUUUCAAGUUUUCUUUAUUAAAACUCUCUGACCUGCUUUACUGUCCUAACCUUCAAAUCUGGCCCAGAUGAUCAUGUAAAUAAGGAGCCAAGUUGCACACGAAAUUCAUAAAUAAGAUAUAGUUUUAUUCCCAAUUUUUAUCAUCAGUUUCAAGAAUUACAUUUCCAGGGGUAUUUCAGUCACAAUAGGAGCUUUGCUACAUGGCUGUAUCUGGGUAGUAUUGGACAACUUCUGCCUAUGGACUCGAGACAUAAGAAAUGGUUGUUCUAAGACUGUCACAACACAUGACAUUUUGGUUUCUAUGACUACUCAUGGUAAACUGUUAGCUACAGACCGAAUCCUUGUCCUACUACUUUGAAUUGUACAGUCUGUGAGGUAUUUGUCAACUCUAACCAGACUCCUGCUGGUUACUGUACCGCAUCACUGCUCAUUGGAUUUGUCCCUCUUAUUCAUUAAAAAUAGUCUUUGUUUGCACAAUCUGCAAAAUGUGUGUUUGAAUACUUCUCCACUUUCACCUUGGGGGUUUGGUUCAUGCUCCUUAAUGGUCAUGAUUUAUUUUCCAUGCAGUCUUACUCUCUAUAGCUACCUCAUGGGGCGAUGCUUCCAUGACCCCUUUCCCACUCGCCAUCUGCCUCUGCAGAUUCAACAGUACUGCAUUUAAUACCGCUUGGAUGCUUUAAUUAUUUAACUCCCAAAGUUUUUGUUUUGUAUUACAUUGUGCUUUUGUGCAUUCACUGUAGAUAUAUUAUUGUCUACUCAUUGGUAUUGCUUGUAAGGUUCAGGUACACAUCUGCAGACCUUGCCUCGAAAACAUUAAGUUAGUAUGCACAGUUAAUUGAAUUUAAUUGGUGUGUCUCAAUUUAAUUUACUCUUUUAUCUGUAAAAUGUUUUGAGAUUAACAAACACUGAGUGUAUUUGCAUGUGUGUCAAGGAUUUUGCUGCUGACUACCUGCAUAGGAAUGGGCUCAACCUAGUCAUGAAUCAACAACAGAGAUACUGAGUUUUAGCUGCUUUACUAUGCGCAUCAGUCUCUCCUAUGUCCAUCUCUCUUUCACUCCCUCUCCAUCUCCCUCUAUCAGUCUCUCCUCUAUCCAUCUCUCUCUUUCUCCAUCUCCCUCUCUCCCCUCUCUAAACCCAGCUCAGUCUCAGCAGAUGACUGUCUCACAUCAGUCUGGUUCUGUUCGCGGUUUCUGCCUGUUAAAGGACGUUCUCCACUUUAACUUGAUAAAUGCUGUAAAGUGAUUCACUCAUGAGGUUGAAGAUGGAAUGGGAGUGGGUUGCGUCUUACAAGAUGGGGCUCAAUCUGAUCCCAUCUUUACACUGGGUCUUUUUAAAUAGAGUGUGGUCUGGACCAGCUUUUUAGUUAAGCGUCUUGAGGUAACGUUUGUUGGGAUUUGAUGCUGAACAAACAAAGAGUGAUUGAUUGAUUGAUUGAUUGAUUGAUUGAUUGAAUUACAGAGGGAACAUUAGGGCUUGUGUUAUAAAAAAAUAAAAAUAAAAAAUAACAUUAUUGGCAGCUGUGCAAACCAUUUGCAGUAAUCAGGGAAUAAUAUAAUUACAUAUCACGUCUAAAGGCAUAUGAUUACCCAGUUUCUGUGUGCAUGUAACCUCAAUCAUAUGAAUUUAUUUUUUAUUUUUUGUUUCUAAAAAUGAUCAAUAGACUAUAUGAAUUUUUAAAACUAAUCUCACUCGUCCCUCUAAAACUGUCAACACCACUUUUAUGAUGCUGCAUGUCUGUCUUCCAUGUUCUUUAUACAGCCUUUUACAACAACCGUUUCGGUGAACUAAAGUGCCUUACAAUCCAUAGUAGAUUAAAAUGAAUAAAUGAAAACAAUAAAAAGCAACAAAAUAAAGGAAAGGGUCACCACAAUACUGGGAAUCAAAAGCCAGCAUAAAUAAAUACGUUUUCGGUCGAGAUUUAAUAAGGCCCAGGUCAGAAAUAAGUAGUACUAACAUACUAUAACGUACUAACAUAUAGUACCAACUGGCUAAUUGGAUUCCUACAUCCACUGUGCCGUUCACUAGCCAGGUGUUCAUAAUGUUACACCCCAGCUAUUAAUGAAAACACCAUUAUAACACAACAUUUGGUCCACAUUGAAGAACAAUGAAACACACAAACAAACAGCUAUGAAUGUUAAUUGAUGAAGUCCUUCAGUUCAGUCCCUUUGAGAUCUGGCGGAUCAAGACAAAACAGGUCUGAUAAAAACCUGGGCUUUGCAGAUGCAAGGUUGUGUUUCAACUCUGCAAAAGUUCAUGAAUGGCCACUUCACUGAAAUGUUUGCAUGUCUGUAAAAAACAGCAGGGAUUGCUAAUGAGGCUUUGGAGGCUUCAUUUUCGACUGUGCUGUGCAGAGGUAUAUGAAACCCGCAACAGCCUCAUGGGGUUUCAGGUCAUGCAGAAAGCUGGAUGGUUAGCUAAAGGUAAACACCUUCUCCCAGGUGCUUUGUUUCAGACUGUGGGCUCUAUUUUCGUUCGCGCCGGUGAGGCGGCGGAGGGCGGCGAGCCCCGCGCAGUUGUAUUUUCGUCUGGUGGAACCCGGCGUAAGGCGAGUUUGGUAUUUUCGUGGACUGAGUCGCACGGAGGCGAGCCGAGAUCCGCCAAGCUGGGCGUGGUGGCGUGGCAGGGGGAGGUGUUGACAGAAUCAGCCGGCGCAGUGACAUUUUCGUGCUCGCCACCGGCGUGUAACGUGCGCUGAAAGCAUUUCAGUGCAAUAAAUAAUCAUCAUCAACUAUUAAUCUGAGUCAGCACAUACACUUAGAUCUAUAUCGAUAUAUUCUGAUCUAUAUCUGAUCUGAUGAGCGCGUUUGGCACGCGUUUGGGCACACAACCUGACCGAAUCAAUACAGCUGAAACUGCAUCAAAUUAAAUUAAAUAUCUAGUAAAUAAACACACAUGAUGAAGUUAACAAGAUAUGUAAUGUGUCUCCCUCCUUUUCUUUCUUCCUCUUAUUUCUCGCACAGCUCGACCUGGACACGUCUCCGUGUCCUCUGUCCGUCUUGCUUGCUGCUGCGGCUGAACAGCUGAUUUGUUUCAGUGCUCAGAUGCGUUAUCUACUUUAAGCCGACAUACGGAUAUUAUAAUAUUCAGUUUUGUGGGCCAAAUUUAUUUUAUAUGCCAACAUCUAUGAAAGAAAGAGCCAGGCCACGGAGCGCGAUGCGUCAUUUACGCACAGAUGGUUCCGAUUUUAAUGCCAUUUUUGGAGUUUAUGUUGUGAUCUGUGCGCUCAACCCACCUUUGUCACGUGAGGUUUGAAUAUAUGCAACUUUAUGUGAGUGUCUUUUUUGUGGAAAAGGAUGUUUGUCUUACCAGUGGGUCCAACAUUACGCACACCAAAUCUAUCUGUGCUCAGAUGAGAGAGUGUGGAGGACACUUGUUGAGCAGCUGCCCUCUGUCGCCAUCGUGUGGCAUAACUGUCUUCAGACAUCUCUUGAUCUCUUUGACUACUUCAUGAAAAUAGUAAUACGCCUCGCCGGUGGCGGAUUUAAAGGCAAGGAGAGGAGCUUAUGUGAUUGGUGAAAACAGGUCUCGGCUGUGUUAAACCGACUCCACGCCCUCUCUCCUCCCCGUCUAUGACUUAUGCUGCCGGGAGGAGCUGAGUUAGGGAGGGGGGAUACUUACGCCGGACUGCGCGGCUCACCAAAAUACCAAAAUGUGCUUGGGAACGCCUUGUCAGCGCGGUGGAUCUGAUUGACGCUGCGCUUGCGGCACGUCUUCGGCCAGGUGCUUUGUUUCAGACUGUGUGUCUAUGCAGACUGCAUACCUGUGUGAUGCUUUGUAAAAUGGUUUUGGAGAGUUGUUCUAUCUCUACAAUAUUUUAUCUCUUUGGUAGUCAUCUUACAUACAGUGAUGCUUUUGUCCUGAUCUUCUCUAAAGUUUGUACUUCCAGGUUUAUUUUCAUUUAUUUUAUCUUUUUCAGGAGAGCCACUCUGUGCCCUUCUAUGGUUGUUUUGAUGUAGCAGCCUGUCAUGAGGCCAGAUUUUGUUGCACAGAGGCUGGCCUGGCGAGACAAGGGGCCGCCCACAGCAAAUGGACCAUACUAAAGCCUGAUGAAUCAUUUUUUUAGUAUUAAAACAGAAAUCAAUUUUAUUAAUCCCUGUCCACUUAGAAAAACACACAUAAACAGAGAAACACAAAAUGAGUUUCUCUUUCACAGCCAAGGAAUAACCAAUUCUUCUUACUCUGCAUCCUACUUGAAAGUGAUUUCUACACAAGAAUCCUGAGAAUUCAAGCUCAUUGUUAUGACCUAGAGUUAUUUACGUUACUGCUAUUUCGUAAUAGUUUGGAUGUUUGUUAAACUCUCUGUCAUUUACUACCCAUUUUCCUCUUCGACCAAUAAAAGCAGAUCAGGCCACAAGCAGGAAGACUGUAAUUUGAAGCCGUACCAUGUUAACUGCAAAAGGAUUUUCUAUUUCUACUAAAUAAUAUUACUACACUUACUGUAAUGGAUGAAUUCUAAAAUAUUCAGAGUAUUAAUUUAUUUAUUUUUCAGUAAAAUGUCAUUUAAUCUCUAACAAAAACAAAUGUAUUACUUCCCUGUUUUGUCACAGUAAAAUUCUGUACCUUGAAAAGCGGGCUAAUUAGUGUGAUAUGAGGAGUAAGAAGUGAUAAAUGGCAUGUUAAGUUGUGGCAGAAAGAGGCAGCUGCAUACCUGUAAACAAUGAGAUUACCAUGGAUGCAACAAUAACAGCAGUUAUAUCAGAGCUGGUGAAAUACGCUCACUGCAGAGGUUUAUUACUGCAGCUUGAUAGAGAGUGUUACUUUAUAUGUCAUAUGCAGAUGCUAUGUUAAUUAAGUCCAUGUUUGAGAAUUGUCUUUGGACUGAAAUAUUCAAAGCUUACAGCCAACCUAUAGGACAAGUACCUGUUGAACUUGUAUUAUAGUUAAUUCUGUAGUUUACUCCAUGGUAGCAGCACACACCUGCCACAUCAUAUGUUUUGCUGCUCCGUUUGGCCUGUAAUGAACAUGACAAGAUGGAACAUUUGUGCAUCACCCUCAGAGCUUCUUCGUUUUGAUGGUUUUGGAGAGGCUCUACCUUCCCCAAACACCAUCUGCAGGGUGCUGCCCAGAUGGAUGUGAAAUAUUUCUCUUACGAUGGAUGUGUAGUAAAAACAGUCUGUCGGGUUACAACAGUAUAGCUCUUUGAAGGCUAAGCUGCAUGACUAAGACUCUAAAUAAGUUAAUUCUCAAUGAUUGACGUCUGUCUGUGUUCAGGCCAUCACACUGGGCUGUUAAGUACCGGGGUUCAACACCUUUCAGUAAAGCAGGAUUUUGAUUUAAUUGUCAGUAAAGACGACUUUCUUUAAAAUCCCAAUGUCAAAAACAGAGCAGAUAAAUGAGAGAAGAUUUCGUUUGAAAAUAUAAUCAUUUUUCUUUCCCCUCCAAGCCUGUGUGCGCGGUGUGUAAUGCAAAUCUGUAUAUUUCAAACAGGAAUUCAGAGACUGUUUCUGUGUACGUGCAUGAGUCACGUCAGACUGUCGCCAGUUUGAUCAGAGACGCCCUCACAUGUCAUAUGGUUUUAAAUGUGUUCCUCUGAAGAGGAGACUAUCCGUGGGCGGAUGUAUGCAUCUCGGUGCUCGUGUGUAAGUGUGUGUGUAUGUGUAGGUGUGUAUGUGUGUGUUCGUCUGAAGCCCACUCAGAGUUCCCAGUGUAGAAACUGAAGGUCUCUCUUGUUCUCCCCAGUGGCGUUGAUUGGGAAACAGCUCCAGGCCACCCCAAGGCUCUGCCACUCGUUCCUUCAUCUUGUGUUUGUGUUUGUGCAUUUCUAACCACAAACAUCCACGAGUGUGAGGGUGUGAAUGUGUGUGUGUGUGUACACAGGUGUAAAUAUAUGCUUCGGUCUCCCACUUCAACUGCUGUAUCUUGAUUAACAGGUGCUAGCUUCAAUAGCACAUUAAAACAAUGUUUAGUUUUCAUAAAAGUGAAUAAUUAAAAGGCAGAAGGGCUUCAGUUUAGAGCAAAAUGAGACCGAAACUGGACUUAUUUACAUGGUUUAUCAAAGAGACUGUUAACGAAGUGUGAUUUAGACUAAAGGAAAGGAAAAAGCUUUAAGGAAAAAAUAAUCAGAAGAGGAAGGAAGGGAAGAAAGAUAACACAGGGGAGAGAACAGAGGAUUGGGCCAAGGUGGAAAUAUGGAGGAGGAAUAAAUCAGAAGGCAAGAAUCACUGCCAGGUGUUUGAACUUUGAGAACAGCACUAUUUGAGGAUAAAGCAUGGAGGAUAAAGGUUUGUUGGAGCCGGGGGGGAUUCUCUCUCUCUCUGUCUCUAACUGUCUUGCUUUCUUUCUGUUUCUUUCACUUUCUCAGACAGGCUGGUUGAGCUUUUACCUGCAACUUCACACACAUACAUCCACAUACACACACACACAAACAUAUACCCUGAGUUCAGGAUGGAUGAGACAGCUUUAUUAUGUGUGCACUGAUUUAUUCGAAAGUGUCCACUAAGGUCUCGCACAGCUGAGGUUAGCUCUUAAAAAAAGGAGGCUGAAUGAAUGACUUGUUGAAAUAAAACUGCUUUUCUUCAUUAAGGAUCUACUAAAGGAGCAAUUCCCCCACUUUAUUGUUUGCCUUUUGUGUUGAUCCUUGUUUAAAGUGUUCGAAGAGGUUGGCAGGUACUUGUGCCAUCUUGCUUAUUGUUCGGCAAGCGAAUGGCCCCCGGGGAGAGCUAAAAUGAAAAUAAACUCUGUGUAUAUAAUUGAUUCCAGAGUACGCUGUGAAAAAAAAUGACGCAUCAGAAGUAUAAAAAGAUCCCUGCCAACCACACUAGAUCUCUUAUUUACCGCCUGCAGCCUCAGCACAACUUCAUACACUUGUUUUAAACUUUCUUUGACGCUGAUGAAACUGUAAAGAUGAGAAAUAACACAAUAUUGAAUCGAUUUGAAAAUUACACAUCAUUCCUCCUCUGUGCGCUAACCUUUGAUCACAUCACACGUCACGGCGUCUCAGCGAGCAGGCUUCAAUUAGGUUGAAAGAGCAGUGGGAGUUUCAGUGAGUGUGAGAAGUCUACGAAUACGGCGCACAACAUAACAAGAGCACGUCUCAAACAAUGCUCUUCAUCUUUCACAGAGCUCUCUAUACUCUUUGCGCACUCACAGAAGUACACACACACACACACACACACACACACACACUUGCUCACAGAUCUCAGGAGGGAAGGAGGAAAAGCAUUAGAGAGCCAUCUCCAUUCACUUUCAUCUCUCAUCUCUUUUUAAUACCUCCUCCUUUCUGGAGUUUUCUCCUUCCGCUCUCGCUCCCUUAGCUGUUAUUUUACCAGCCUGAAGUGUGUGUGAAGUAUAUUCCCAAUCAAUCAGUGAGCGCUUUCUGCUGGAGUUUGAGAGACUUAACAACCACUGUUCAUCUUCAAGAUGCGGGCAGGUUCCGUGUGUGUGUGUGUGUGGGUCUGCGUGUGUGUGUGUGCACAUGUUAGAUCAUGUCAGGCCCGUGCUCUCGCCUUGUCUUUCUUCCUCUCUUGCCCUGGCUAACACAGCUGGCUGCCUCACAAUAAUUAAGAAGUGCUCUGAAGCUCCAUCCUUUCGCUGGGUGUCACAGUGCACUGAGCACUAGCCGCGGUGUGUGUGUGUGUAUGUGUGUAAACAUCCUGCUUCGCGAGGACUGUGCGAGUGUCUAUAUGCUCGGCGCAGGACUAAAUGUGUGUACGUGUGUUUUAAGUGUGGGUGUGCGCCCUUCAGACUGCUCACGCUUCAUUUGUCUCCUGAAUGAAACCAGAAUCUCUGACUAUUCACUGGAGAAUCCUGCUCAAUUCUCUCCUCACCAGGGUACUGCUUCAGUAAGCACUCUUAAUGGCAGUCCAAAAAUGUGUGUGGCAUGUGUGUGCAAAUGUGUGCAUGCAUACAUCAGAGUAUUAAAGCCAAUUUGUUCUAAAACAACCCGACUGAGUGUGUGUGUGUGUGUGUGUGUGUGUGUGUGUGCAGGGGCUCCGUGAGCUGCUUAACUAAGGUUUGCAAAAGUACAUCAGAGAGAGUCUAAGGUCAAAGGGCCCCACGAGAGGUAGACGAGGUACAAUGCUGCCAAAUACAGAGAGAAAAUACAUUUUUUCCACCUCCCGCUCCUUUUUUAUUUUUUUCCUCCAAGCCUCUCACUGUAUCUGUCACACUUUCUAAUUUCCUGCCUUCAUCUCGCCUUUCUCAUUACCCUUCGUCAUGAUUCUCUCUACCUCAAUUGCUCUAUUCCUUUGUACAUACAGACGCACACUCAAAUACUUCAAACACAUUGUCAGCCGUGCUCGGCAAGAUACCCUGUUUAAAUGCAAUAGGAUCCUCUCCCGGGAAAGUGCCGAGAACCUGUUUUACUGGUGCUAGUUUGGAAACACAGUCUAUGAGCUUUUAUUGUUCUUCCUUUUUCGCUUACAUGGUCCGAGAGUCGUCCUCAACUCUUGCUGUGAUGUUGCUGUUGUGUUAUUAUGCUUAAGUAGGACCCAUGCUGGGAAAAUUGGCCCGAGUUCAGCACCAGGAUAAAUGACUGAAAAGGCCUUAUAAUAAGCACACAUAAUGACCUGUGUGCGUACGUUUUCGCCCGUUUGUAUUCUCGAGUAUGUGUUCUCUGUGCUUUUUAUGUGUUCGCUGAUCUGUGCGUCUGCAUGCGCUUGAUAAUGAUAUCUAUGAAUUAUGCAUGUGGUGUGAUGCUUUUCAUUCAAUUUCAGCUCUUAUUUUCCCCCAAACAACAUUACAGAGGCGGGUCUCUGGGCAUUUGGCUGUAAAUAAACUCGAACUAAUAGACUUCAACUCUGGGCAACACCCGUCUGCAAAGCACUCACCAGGGAACCAGCUUAACAAACUGCCUCUAGGCCCUGUACUCAGGUCAGCUCAUGUGAUAUUACUAUUGACUGUCGGGGGCACCAGUGAGGUUAAGGCAUACGGAUCUGAAAGCAGAACUCUUUGAGAGAGUGCUCUUCUGUUACAAAUAAAAAGAGCAUAGCAUAUGAGGCGAUAAGCUAACAAAAGCCUGAAUAGCUUGAAUAUUAGCAUGCAGAAAUUAGCAUGUUAUAUCAACAAAGGUUUUGUGCCCUGAGCAUAAAUAGAUGAAUAAAUCAAACCGCUUAAUUUUGUGUGGGUUGUUUUUGUCUUUUGGGUACAAGCGAAAUCUUUUUUCAUAAAUGCGGAGCUGUGAGCAUGUGCACAGAUGUGUCACAGGGUUCAGCUUAUGUGCUCUAUUUUCUGUUCUGGUGGAGUCGUAGUGAGGAGGUAUGUUGCCAUACAUGACUGCCCAUAUCUCCCUCGUCUAUGAUCUGUGACCUUGUCCUCUCUCAUCACUCGUUGCUUGUGACUGCACUGUGGCUCAGAGCGCUGCCCCUCGUCCCCUCUCUCUCUCCCCGCUCCUCUCUCUCCCCCUUCUAUCUCUCUCUCUGUCCGUUGUGCUCUGUUGCUCAUAGAGGGCCCUAAGCUCCCCCUCUUAGUGCUUGGGGCGCCCUGCUCUGCACUUGUGACAUUGGAGGUGUGUAUCUGAAUGUGUGAGUGUGUGUGCACAUACACACACACACGUGGAGUUGUAUGACUGUGUUUUAGGCCAUGUGAGGGGAGUCAGUCAUAUGAUUUAGCAGAAAAACAGUCACCCACAGCUUUGCUUCAAGGGAUGGGAAUCACGUUGUUUCCUGACAAAAUAUCAUAAAAUGUGCUGUUUGCACUCAGACAAACGACGUUUCUACAAGCGCUUCAACUGUGAGUAUAAUUUUAAAAACCCUCUAUGACUUUGUAACCCUUUGGUAAUCAAAUUACAAAAUCACCAACUGCAUCUCUCUAGCUCUCUUUUCAGAGUUAAACCUUUCACUCGACAAGAGGCAUGGUGCAUUCUGGAAAGAGUCAAUCAGAGGGCUGACCCACAGAAAUUGACGAUUAUUCCCACUCAUAUUCUAGCAGCAACACAGUUAGCCUUAUGACCGUGUAUCUGGACUGUGGGAAUGAGCCAAAACACCUGAAGGAAGGAAACCGGCACAACACGAGCAUGCCAGGAACAUUUCUGCGAGUGAGGUGGGAGCGACAACCGAUCCACCAACAUGCUGGCUCUAUUUUCUGCCAUAUAAAACAAAAAUAUCAAAUGUAUUCAGAAGUGAGUCAUGCAGUCAGCAGCUCUGUAGGAUGUCGCUGGGACACCAUUGUGCUUCCUGCUAAUAUAAACUUUGGCACGCUAAUCUGCAGAAAUGAACCAGCAUGAUGUUAGCUGAGGUAUGACUUGGUUUCUUGUUUUUGUAAAGCACUUUGUGUAUAAAAGAAAAAGAUGUUUGUUUUCAUCACGGUUUAAAUGCUUAUUUUCACAUCAUUUGGCACAAUCAGUAAUUCACCCGCCUUUGCUGUCCCUCAGUGUUGUUCUUUUAUUCUGAUUUCAUCCUGAUCAACUCUUGUGAACCCCGAUGAUAAUCACCAAUGAGCAUCAAGUCAGAGUAUUUAUGCUGCAUUCGAGUCACCUUGGAAGUCAGAGGUCCAAACUGGGAAUGAUGUCACACCCGACUUACCAGUGUUUCAGUUAACAAGUUGGAAGAAAGCAAAAUCGGAAGUGGAAACAAGAUGGCUACAUCUACGAAAGUUACUUUAGCGCUUGCCUUGUCCUUGCUUUUGUGGAUGUAGCCAUCUUGUUUCCGCCUCUGAUUUAGCUUUUUUCUGACUUGGUAACUGAAAUGCUGGUAACUUGGGUGUGACACCAUUCCCAGCUUUGAUAUCUGACUUCUGAGGUGACUCGAACACAGCAUUAGUGGCUAGCUAACUGUUGCGUUUUUAUCUUUGUAUUAAUACAAAUAUGGCAUCCACAUGGAUCCUGUUUAAUAACCAGUAUAUGUACAUAUGACUCACGAGUUUCAUUUCUUACCGUAAAUAUGAGUGAAAGGAGCACCUAUUUAUUUAUCUAUUAAUUUUCUUAAUCUCUACACUACAUUUACUGUAACACAAACUUUAAUAAUACAACAUCUGUUGUAAAUCACUUUAUACUACAGCCGUUUAUCAAUGAAAUGUUUUAUCACAACUAAUUGAAUGAUUGCUCAUGGGGUUUUACUCACAAUUAACUGCAAUAGCACUUAUAGAGAACUGUCCGGCAGUGUUUUGGAGCCAGAUUUGUCACUCAAAAGACUAUUUUUUUAUCCAUUUAAUUUCAAGGAGGUUUGCAUGCUCCUUGUUCUUAAUACAAUACUUAAUACAUAAAAAAAAAUGGCAAGUGUUAACUGGAUAUUAUGAUGUCAGCUUUGACAGCCCUACUUUAUACAUAGGUCACUUGUGAAAACAGCUACACAAGCUUCCUUACAGCCUGUGUUUUACUCUUGAAUUCAACUAGGAACUACCAGCCAUGACCGUUUUGUACAAGUUUAUUUAGAAAAUCCUCAGAGGAUCAUUUGACAUGAACCGAAAAUACCAGAGUAAAUUAAAAACAGAAUGUUUUAUGUGGAUCAAUGAUGGGCAUUAUAUAGCACUACAAAAACUAAUCACUGUCACCUUCCUAGCCUAGCUCAAGCUUAUGUUUUAUGUUUCUUGCUAAACCACUUAAAGCACCAUAAAGCUGAUGAAUAUUUUGUAGGUUUUUCAUCAUGACUCAGCUAAUGGAUGCUGAGGUUUGACCUGCUUGUGCUGUCAGAUUAAAAGUUAGUGAAAAUGGUGAAAACUUUACCCAGAGGAGUUGUGGCAGAAAAGCCAUUAGAGGAGAAUCUUGCAUUAGUCAGAACUGAAAAACGACUUUAACAAGUGUUAUAAUUUGUGAGGCAAUUAUUCAAUACACACUUCUGGAAAAUAAACAAGUUAAGCAGAUGAAUUUAUUCAUGUAUUGUUUAUUUGAUGUGGACAUCACAAUUACUCUGGACAAACCAGAUGCAUUGUUUGAGUGUUUUAGCACGUGCUAAUUUGCAACACUUGUCCUCAGGAGGCGUGAAUUUGGGCUUUACAAUCUUGGAAAUUUACUUUUUAAACACCUGACAUCAGACAAACAAACAAUCAAAUCUGCUACUCUUCCACUGAAUGGAGGAUGAGCAAUACUUUUAUUAAUGAUACUCUGGUGGUUUUGUUGUCACUGCUGCAGAAAGGAGUCACUAACAGGACUAACAGGGUUGAUCCCUUGAAGCAGAGGAUAUUGUCUGUCUCUCUUCUCACCUUAACAUGCAUUUAGCUGUUUUAACAGCUGUGUACAGGUGGCUGAUUUGAGUCUUCACCCUGUCACUGACUACAUUUUUGGCUGAAAACAAAACGACAAGAACAUGCAUCCAUUUUUUUUUUGACCAACAGUGAUUUUAAACAAAAGGCAGAAUCCUCAUUAUUGGCAGCAUCUGGCUGUACCAUUUGCACAGUUUUUAUAGUCCAAUUGCAGUAUGCACUCUGUGAGCAUUUGUGUGCCCACUGUCGGAGUACAACAAAGACAACAGUUUUUACAACCAAGCCAGAUAGCUCAUGGAAAGAAUGGAAAUGCCAUGAAUCAUUUAUCAGCGUUCAGUGUUGCCGGUAUAUUCCGGCAGAGAAAGCAGUCGUAACUGCAGCUGUGUGUUUUGCAUGUUUGGUGUAGAGAAUAUCACUUUGCCCCCAGCAGUAGUUUCUCAGUGUGUGUUUUUGUAUGUGUUGUUUUUUGGCUGUGAUUGUAGUUCAUAAUGUGGCUGUAUUUAUGUUUCAUGCAGAGUACAUUGUGCGCGUGCAUGCUUGUGUAGAGGAACAGUCAUGCCAGGCAGUGUGUGUCUGUUCAGGCAGUGUGUGUCUGUUCAGGCAGUGGUUGGCGCCUUUGAAGCUGUCAACUUUUAGACCAAAAAAAGGAGCUGGAAAUCUGGAAACCACUUAAAAUCUCUAUAACCUUGUAGACUUGGUUGAUAAAAUCUUAAUUUGUAACAUUUUUCCAUUUAAACUUUGACAUAUUUUUCACAAGAAAAAAAACAGUAGCAUACAGGAGCUUGUUUUAACCAGCUAGCUUAAUAAGUUUUGAUCUGUUUUCCUGUAAUCUGCUUGUAAGUGUCCUGAUCUGCAUUUAAUACUCCUGUGAAUAUCGUUCAUUUUAUUUACCCCAUGAAAAAGUGUCUAGAGAGUUCGAAUGGGUGGGCCCGUUUCCCCCAGUAGAAGAGAAAAUAGUAACUUUUUCAUCCUGAGUAUAAAUUAUCACCCUGGCUCUUAACCGGCCCUCUCUGCACCGUCCUCCUGAAUCUGUCUGAGCGAACUGAACAGCGAGAGAAAAGAAAAUGAUAGCAAAUGAGAAAUGAUUUUCUGUGGGGUGCUCUUUCUGAGACUCCUUCCUUUUUCAGGUGUCCGGAAUUUCCUGCCCAUGAUAUGUAAUUCAGGAAGUGUUAUGACUCACUGUCAGCCCUGAGGGUUGCACUAUUAUGGUACCCAUGUGAAAAACUACUCACUCUGUUAUUCCGCCCCUGAACUAUAUGCAUGGAACCCACAGUAAGCCAUUUCAUUAAUUCUAAAUUGUUUUUGGAAUAGAGCAGUAUUGCUCAGAGAGCCUUACCAAAGCAAAAAGCGUAUGUUGUUAUUAAAUCCUCUGCAUACAAAGCACCACCACGGGCAAAGGGGUUCAGAUUUAUGAAAGUAAACUGCCGCAUGUUUGAAAAACAAAGCUGACAAAUUAAACCCUCGUUCUGGGGUUUUCUUUUUUCUCUUUCUGCAACCUCAUGUCUGCUUCAUUAACAGCUCGAUUACCGCGUUUGGUAACAAACUUACCCAAACACAAAUCAUUCCAAUAAUCAGUCAGCGAUACUUCACUUACGUCUGCCUCUACAGGUCUUGUAUGCAACUCACGCAUCUCUCAGAUGAUUAAAGACCCAAAUAUAUCCCUUUUACAAUAUUGAUCCUAUCGAUCAUGCCUCUGAGUACAACAUAGCCAAUAAAAGCAGAGAAAGUAUUCCAGAAAGCCUUCCCACUAACUUUAUUUGCAGGGGGAAAAAAAAUCCUAUUCUGGUCCAUUUGUCAAGAUCAAGUUGAAAGACAAGAGAAAGCGCCAGGGAGUUCUACAAAGGGACUUGAGGUUUCCUUUGAGGUUUUUAUAAACCAUAAAGCAUGUAGCUGAAUCUUCUAAUGUCUGCAGAGAGUGGCAGAUUCUUGCAGCAUCAAUCAAAGUAAUGAAUCUCUAUUAAAUCCAGACGUCCCUCUUGCUGACAUCCAUUUUCAAAAAUACACAUUCCUCAGGCAUACAAUCAAAGAGACAGAAAAAGGAAGAAAAUAUGGAUAAAAAUAUGAGCAGGCACUAGAAAUGAGCACAAAUGGGCAGCAGGAAUAAGUGCUGGUCAGCUGAUCGUUGUCAGAUAUUAAUACUUGUUGUAUACAGCAAGUCCUGACAAUGAUAGGUAACAUCAGCAGAUUUGACUUGAAUGAUUUCAUGAUUGUAUGGUCCCCUGACAUCAGAUAAUUAAUCAGAUGAUUGUAUUUGCAGUCAUCAGGAUGAACCUCUUAAUCACAUUAGGUGUUUUUAGUUUCCCUGAUUUGACCAAAACUAGACCAAAUUGUGCUGGAAAUAUUAUAACUGCUUUCCGUGAAAGUAAAGUCUCACGCCUUUUUUACUUUGGCCAUCUGGUAAUGGUAAGUCAGAGUUUAGAGUACUUCUGAGAAAAAUAAACUGUUCCUCCCUCCCUACGUUGUGCCCCCAAAAUGAAAUCCCUCUAAUCUAAGCAGUGCUGAGUCUUUGUCAUAAUAAAUCUGAUAAAGAGCCACAAAUCCUGAGUGUUUGACAAGUCCUUUAUUUACCUAUUAGCAGGGAAUUAGAAAACAAACGAACUAAAGAACUACUAGAUCCAGCAUUUGCAAAUCUUGGCCUAAGGGUUAGAGAUUCAGGUGCAUGUUUUCAGGCUUACCUGAACAUGGGUCCCCAUUUACAUGACCACAUACACAGCAGAUGCAAGGGAGAGGGGUCUGGCUUCAAACCUCCACUGCGAGGACCCGCUCUACUGAGAGGACCCGAGGUGACAUUUUUUCCUCACGUGCUCAAGUUUGUUUGAAGUGGUCAUCCUGAACAUAUAAAUACACAAAAGAAUCAUAUUAACAUUGUAUACAUAAAAUAAAGCCCCAAGAAACAAAGUAUAUUCACAUGAGACAAAAAAAAUACAUACUUCCCGGUCUUAUCCAUAGACUGUAUGUAGAAUGGACGGCGUCCUGGGUGAAGCCACCCUGAGAACAGCAGACUCUGGUGACAGGCUGCAGUAUAGGUCUCAAAUCCCGCCUCCUCCAGCAAUCCCUAUGGAGCUGUGGACAAACUUUAGAAAUUUAUUACACAGAAUUUAUUACCCAGGAGAUACACUGUUUGAGCUGAGCGUCAUCACAGCGACUUGGCGACUCUCCUGCUGAAUGCGUACAACACAACUGCGCAAGUGGUGGUUUCAGGAAGUGUAGAAAAAAAACGGAAAUACCAAGAACUAUUCACUUUCAAAUCCUUAUACUGGCAGAAGGGAAAAACCACGUUGUCCCAGUAUACUUGUUUCUGAUUGGUCAAAACCAUAUGACAGCAGCACAAACUUGGUACCUUGUGGCUGACCACUUUCCAGCAGGAAAGAAGACAACAGGUGGGAAAACUAGCAAGAGAUGAUGAAACACAUGAGGACCUGAGCAAGAGAAAAAAAGAUUUCUGUCAGAUUGAGGAAAACAGACACAAAGCAAGCACAAACCUCAGCAUGUUACAAGCUUUGGCAGUGUUUGAGGGCUGUUAAAGGGAUUCAGAAAGAGGACAGGUGCUACUUUUAUUUUCUGCAUAUGUUGAAUAAGUGCUGGGUGAUAAAAGUGUAAUAAUUACAAUUAAGUCACCUUGUUUGUAGCAUAACCACUAACAGAUUAUACAUUUGAUGUUACAUGUUGAUACCAGAGUUUGGCAAACUCUCCCUGUCUCAAACUUCAUCUUGCAGAAACAGCUUUUCACUUUUGUUUACACUCCAGACUUUUGAGAUGUCUGGAAUUGGGCCAUAACCAAGUUUAAACUCUGUGGUUAGACCUGAGCAGGUCAAUAGAGUCAAAUGUCUGCAGUUCAUAUAUCACUUAAACUCCAGUAUUACCAAAUACUUCCAUUUUAUUUCACACACUCAGGUUUUAACUUCCGUUUUAAGUUUGACAUAUGCCAAGUGCUUUCAUCUCCUCAACCUCUGCCAACCUCUCCUCACAGUUUGCUCUUCAUGUCAUCGCUGUACCCGCCUCUGCCAAACCCAAACAGCCACAGGUGCUCAGCUAUUGCUGACUUUCUUGUGCUCCACACAGCAGGAGUACUUCUCUUGAAUCAAGCCUUUUUUUUUUUAAACAAGCUGAUUGUUAUCCUACGUCUCAACUGUGACAGCUCCACCUCCAGAGCACCCCAUCAUUUGAUUUUAGUUUUCAGAGUUUCCUUUAGCAGACUAGUGUCAUCACAGAUGGAUGUCUGCAAGAAGGAUAAACACUCCAUUCUGCAUGUAUGAGUCAUUCUUAUUUAAGGAUUUAAACUACAUUAAGAGGGGAUGUAUGUAACAGGCCCUUUUACGCAGUAAGUCUAUAAACCUGAUCAUAAGUCAAGCCCAAGCAGGGGAUUGAGUUUUUUGAGACUUCUGCUGAGAGGAAGAUGCUGGACCAGGACAGGGAGUCAUUCAGUGGGCUCUUUCGGUUUUAGAUUUAAUAAAAAACAAAAAAAAAAAAAAAUAAUCAAUACUGGGGAUAUAAGGGUUUUAUUCCCUUUAACAAUUCAUUGUAAAUAUAAUCCACAAAGGAGCAUUCAUCAUUCAGAAGUUUGACACAGGUUAAACAUGUAUAUCUCAUGUUUUUGGAAGACUUAACAGAUGUAUAUAUAAAAACUCAAGACGAAGUCAUGAUGACUCUGACCUAAGAACCAACUCAAGAGAGAACUCCUAUCUUAAAGCAAGCUUUCCUCAGACAUCGUCUGUCAUAGUUUGUAACAGGCAGACAGAGGAGAUGAGCAAAUCAAAGCAGACUGAUGCUUCCAACAAGCAGAGGCAGACAGACACAAGGGUUCAAGCCAUGACACUUACAGACUGCUGUUCAACUGCUCAAUUUUUAAUGUACACUGAGGUUGAUAACUGAGACAGCCCAAUGGACGGGCCUGCAUUCACAAACAAAAUCUUUUUACCAAGGAGUCCUACCUUGGGAGUGAUUACAACAAUUUUGACUAAGCAAGGGGGCAGAGGCUUUAUUUCAGUGGGGGCGUGGCUUAACGGGUCUAGGUGUGACACAUUCACUUAAAAGCUGUGAUUGGCUGAUCCCCUCGUUAACGAACAUAGAAGAAAUCCGCUGAUCAAAAAGUUAAUACUAGUAAGUGCCCAGUUUGGGGCUCCUUAACGGUUUAAAAUACAUGCCAACCAUGCAGUUCUAUUUUGACCGCUUUUAGCAUCAUUUUCGCUGUAUUUGAUCAAUAUCAAAAACCGAUAAGCUAAUGUGUAAUCUGCACUUCUCUUCAUGUACACUUCAUAUGUGAGAGAAAGGUCACAAGGGAAACUGUUGCGUGAUGCUAAAUACCUAAAAUCACUUUCCUGUUUAGUGUUGUUGUUUUGCCAUUAAGAUGUGAGCACAGUCUGGCAUGUGUUUUUCCUAUUUUGCCAUCUAUGCCCAUAUAUUAUCAUAGGACAUGAUGUGAUAUGAGUUAAUAUAUUUCUGAUUAAUGGAGCCCUUCAUUUUAUGACCAUAAGAUUUUUAUUUUGUUAUUUUUUUUACAUGACAGACUUGACUGGGACUUGCAUCUGGACUCAAAGUCUUCAGACCUGGCUUGGUCUUGCAGAGAGUGGCUUGUGCUCAUCUCUGACUGAGAGGAAACAUCGCCCAACUUUAUAUUCAGUCUGGGAGAGACAGUUACAGGCAGGUGGAGCGUAAUAUGAGCGCUUACCCAAUCAGCAUUAGUCUUCCUUAAGCUGAAGUGGAUGAAGAUUUAAGAAAGUUUACACCACACUCAGUGACAGGGAGGGCUGCUGACUUUACGGACAGAAAUAUACACAAAAAUAGCAACGAGCACAACUGUCACUGACAUGAUAUUUACAGUUUGACAUGUUCAUCUAAACUCUAGAUCAGUGGUUCUCAAGUCCAGUCCUCGAGGCCCACGGUCCUGCAUGUUUUGGAUGUUUCCCUGCUCCAACACACCUGAUUCAAAUGAUCAGCUCGUUAUCAAGCUCUGUAAUGGCUUAAUAACGAGCUAAUUUGAAUCAGGUGUGUUGAAGCAGGGAAACAUCCAAAACAUGCAGGACAGUGGGCCUCGAGAACUGGACUUGAGAACCACUGCUCUAGAUGAUGUCUGGACAGCUCCACAGUUUUUGGUCGGUUGAUGGAAAAAAAGAUGUUAUUAGCCAUGUAAGGCCACACAGAUUUGUGUUGUUGUUCUAGCUGGUUUUCUAUGUAUAUUGCAUAAAACAUAUCACACUGUAAUGUGAGGCGACACGGUAAUAAUUUUCCUCGAGGCCUCUUAAUAAUCAGCCUCCCCAGGUUGUGUGAGGAAACACUCCCAGGUCUGAACAGCAGAUAUGCGACAGCGAUUUUACUGUGGAUGGUACCCUAGCUUAUUUUAUUUAUCAGUACUUUCACACGGCUCACUGCCAUCACUUGUGUUAAUGCCAUCCAUGCUGUGCCGAGCUCAAAGCCAAAACUGGUUAACAUACCCCUCAGCAUGUACACCAACAUACAGAAAUAUUCAGCCCACUCUCCGUCAUCUCUGAAGAUGAAAUAUACCGAGUUGGUGGUACAGACAGUCCCACUAGAUGAGCGCCUCAGUCAUGCAGAAAAACAUCUUCCACAUUCUCAUAAUGUAGACAAAAUGCCAUUUACAUGAUCCAUCGCCUCAAGAUAAUGUCUCCCUUUGUGGGUUCAGGGUUCAAUGUGCUAUACUGUGUAUGUGUGUGUAUCUAAGAGAAAGAGAUACUUAGAGUGGAGAAGACUUCUUUUUUGCUAUCUUGUUCAACCUUAUUUGCUUUUAUGGCUGUAAUGUUUCAAAAAGUUACAAUGUAAAUUUCUGAAAGUAAACACUACCCCUCCCAACCAGUUUUCCCCUCAGCUCCUCCUCUUCCCUCCGUCUCUACUCCAACAAGCCCCGCCCACAAACAGAUGCUUCUGCUUGCUCGUAUCGUUUCAAUUAAAUUCAGAUAUGAUGCAGAUUAAUACUUCAGAUAAUUACAUAUGGGGCCCAGUCAAUGUGAAACUAAAAAGCAUUGGUGCUACUGUAGAUGUCAACAGACUGCUAGCAAACUCAAUGCUUACAUACUCCAGGACCCAAGGUAAACAGUUCAGUGGCGCUACAACACGGUAGCGCCAGGUCCCGUUUGAGAAGAAACACUUCUGUUACAGACAUUUGGUUUCCUUUGUUAAAGCGGUUUACCUGUCCAGCAGAAAGGUUACAGGGUCGGUCAGAUCUCGAAGCGUCUCUCCCAUCAUUAUGCUUCAUUAAUAUUGACCCUGGCUUUUUAGCUCUUGUCCAGUCUACCUCCUUUUUAAGUGCCCAUUGUUACACCAGAGUCUCCGUUAUUUACUUUGUUUUCUUGCUAGCAUUGGCAGUCGUGGCCAAGGAGGAUUCAGGCAAUUUCUGGUUGGUUUCUACUGUCCAAUAUUGUAGCAUGCUAACUUUGGGCUUGUGCACGUUAUUCGAGGAUGUAGAGCGUGCCUCACAACACGAGGGAGCAGCAUCUGCCUCACAACCAAUCAGCACUAAGGAGCACAUUAGGAGCUAAGGAGAAUGGCUUUGUUUACAGUCAGAAUGAGCGGCCCCUUAAAAAAUUUUAAAAUGUUGACUACACAGACAUAAGAGAACACAGCAGUAUCAUUAUACUGUAUUACCAAAUGUCAUCAAUAAUUAAUAGCUACUGACUGAUAUUAAAUGCUUUUUUGUAUAUACACCACAAAAAAAGAUGCUUCUUUUAUGGUAGGCAGCCUACCUCACCUCUAAAUAACAGGAUACUGUAAACUGGACGUGUUUGUGUCAUGAGAUGUUAUUUUUGACGCCUUUCUGUGAUUCAAAGAAUUUAACACAACAGGAUUUUUUUUCAGAGUACUUCAGUAGUUCCAGGUGUAAUAUUUUAUCAAAACAGCACCUUUCAGUAAGUCAACAAUCGGUUUGACUCAACGUUGGUUUUAAAAAGCAGAACAAGCUUUGUGCACAAGGCCAAACUCAAAUGACACAUGAUAGAUUGCUGAUUUAAGACCGGUGAAAGCGUACAUUUUUUUUCCACAAUGCUCAGCAGCUUCAGAAAAUCUCCUUUCAGCGUCGUCCUUCACUGUUAUUCGAGCAAUGACACUUUACUUUGCCAUGACUAAGAGGGUGAAGGAAUCUUCACACAUGUCACUGAGUUAAAUUUAGCAUCAGAAAAAAUGAGGUCCAUUGGGUUGACCCGUGCUCCUGAACUAGGCAGGUGUGAGAACACCUCUUAGGCAGAUCGCACAUGUCUGCCUGCGUCAGGCCAUGGUGAGAAUGUGGCUGACAGUUGACAGUGCAGCUACAAUGUGCAAGGAGAGAUGAAAAUGCAGAUGUAAAGGAUGUCUUAUAACAUGACUGUUUCUACGAUAACAGGGGGCUGUAUAAGUGUCAUGUUGUAAAGUAUACAUUGUUUGUUUAACCCUGCCACUAGAGCUAUCUGUUUCUCCUGCUCACUCUCUCUCCUCCACACAAAAGAUGGAAAAUGUUCAGUUUAUGUAAGGACCACUCUGAGAGGGCACAUAGGGAAAAAAAAUAAAUGAUGAUCAUCAGAUAGUGAUUAUCCUUACAGCCACUCAUUCACGGGAUAAAGCUAAUACAUAAUGCAAACCUCUCAUCCACUCCGAACAUCAAUGGCCCCUUCAUCCAUUAUAAUCUCUGCCCGAUAUGUAUUUCUCCACUAAAGGGUGAUCGAAGGCAUGAUGGGGCUGAGGCGCCCUGAAAUAAAUGCAACUUUGACCCACAUCUCCAACCAUCCCCCUAAAUUAGAAAUCCAUACUUCAUUUCUCUGGCAAGAACCCUUGUUUCUGCAAGGCCAAAGGCUGAUGCGGAGAGUGGUGAUAGGCACUCAGUCAGUGUUGAGGCCAGCUACUGCUCUUUCUGUCAUUGCACUAACUGGGGGAAAACUCAGAAUGAUGGAGGGACGGAUGAGAAGAGGAAAGUCUGACCUUUAGAUAAUCAUCUCAGGGCGUGGUUAGGAUGGACAGUUUUUUGGGAGGAAGAAGAAUUAAGCUUGACUUUCUUGUCUAAGGGGAUUAGAGUCCAGCCAUAGUGCUGAAAGGUAAAGGUCUGUGAGUUUAGUGUAGUUUUUAUGUGCCAGAAAGAGAGACUUUGUCUUUGUUUGUAUGUUGGAUAACGAUUGUGACAGUUCUGAAAAAAAAUCACUUUGCUGGAUGUGUGUUUUAAAACUCCCAUUAAUGUCUACAGUAUGGUAUGGGGUCUCCUGGGAACUAAACAUAAGUGACUUAUAUAAUUUAACCCAAAAUCCUGAGUGCAGUAUUGGACAAGCUAAACAUUAGGGAUGGGGACCGGUAACUGGGUCCAUAAAAAAAAAAAAAAAUGCUACAUUUAGUCCCUUUAAAACAGGGUACAAACCUGAAACGCCAGGGCGUGACACCAUUUUGCACAGACAGAUACAGCUGUAUAAAAGAUAAAAAUACAACAAUCACACAGACUCAACAAUCUUUAUGUCUGAAAUAUUUUCAGGACAUAAUCGCCCCCUUUCUAGUCUAAAAGUUAUAAAUUUGUCACUCCUUCAUUAAACCUUUUUAACAUUUGCUUUGUUUUACUUUUCUAAUGAGACUUUUGCAGUCAAACUAAGUAUGGAGCUUGGCUGUCUCCUGCCGAGCCACAUUAUUUUUUUCUCUCUUUGCUCCACUAUUGGAGAGUGCGGUGGCCUCAACCACCACCUCCUGUUAGUAUUUCUCUGUCUUUAGGUUUUAACAAAGUAAAUUUGUAUCAGUUUAGAAAAAUCUAAUUACACACUUUUUUUUUUUUUUUUUGGUUGAAAUAAAUUCACUUUUUUUGCAUUUAUGGCAGCUGUUUUCUAUUUGGGUGCACACAAUUUAGUUAAGGAAUGGUUUGAUUUUCUACAUCAUAAUUUAAUUUGAGUUUAUGUCUUUUCAAAGCAACACUUACCUGUUUGUUUGACUUUGCUCGAGCUCACCUGACAAAAGGCUGUCUGCAGCUCUAAGAUGGCCCCUUAAGCCCUGCCCACAGGAAGUGGAACAGACCAUCAAGGGGGGAAAGAGGAGAAGCUUGGACUUUUGAUUCUUUAUAAAACUUCUGUCUUUAUUCUUUCAGUCAGAACAGAUUUUUUUUUUUUUUUCUGUAAAUAGUUGGCUUGGAUAAUUUGAUGGUGUUUUUCUGAGUUUGUUGUUUAGUUUGUAGUCAUUUUAGUUUCCCCCUUGUGUUUGUGUUGGACUAGUCCUUGUUUCAUGUAUCACUUUGCAGGUCUGUUUCAUUAUGUCUGUUAGGUUGUAACUUUCAUUCCUUUUCUGCUGAACUGACCUCUUUUGGUGUGGGGCCAGAUUUGGUUGAUUUUCUACCACAUUACGUUGGAUAUUUUGUUCUUGAUUUCUGCUUUUUUUGAGUAAAUUAAAGGAUCAAGAUCUUUGUCCACACCUUUGUACUUUGCCUGGUUGCUUGGUCCCUUACAGAGAGGUUAAGGUCUGAAAGCAAGCAAAUGCAGCGCAAGUGUUUGCUCCACUUGCUCCCCCGUCAUACUUCAGAGGUCAGGAAAUGCUCAUGCUUUUGAUUAAUGACAUCCUUAAUAUUUCUCAUCCAAAGGACUUCACAGCCAGCACUGCAGAUCUUUGGGUCCUUAUUAUUAUACAGCAAACAAAGCAAGAGCCUCAGUCUUUAGUCUCCAAGUGUACUUGUAAAAUCUCCAAACUCGGCACAAAGCAACCAAUGAAUGCGGUGAAGUGUUUUGUCUUACUUAAAGGGUAUUGGGUGUGAAAAGAUGCCUGUCCUCGAUCUUAUCUGGGGCUAAAAGAAGAAUUUGGGUAGACUGUGAAGUUCACUUAAACACCGAUAAACUGGGGAGUGGUCAAAUCAAGUCAUGUCCUCGCCUGCUCCCCUUUAAACACUCAGGUCAGACUGUUGUACGGUACAGUAUGGUUCACUCAUUGACAUGUCAGGGACAGCCAGAUGCUUCCAGUGAAGAGCAGCCCUGAUACCGUCAGCCUGGAAAAGGAAUGAAAGAAAGUCCUAGUGUGAGCUUUUGUAAGCAUGUCUUUUACCCUUCUGUGGGUCCUUGCAAUUUCAAAGAAAGUUUAAUGUGGGCUGAAUCAUUUAUCAAAAGCAAUGCUGGGCAAAAAAGGAGAGACACCUUAAAAAUCACAGUCGAGUUCACGUUUUUAUAUAUUGAGCUGGUCCUCUCAUAAAGCAGGCUGAUGACCUUGGUAAACUUGCCAAUGCUUGGUUGCCCCUACCUAAAUUCAGCCAGAUUUGCACCAAACCUUUGAAAGCUUGGGAGCAUUCGAGGUUGAAAAAUUAACUUUAGAUAACAGAAAAAUAAUAACCAAAUAGUGAUAACUAAUUUUCUUCUGCUAUAGGCAGCUGGUUUCAAACCAUCAACCAGAAUUAUAUGAUAUCAAAAAUCAAAAUAUCAUAAAAACUUGCCUCUCAGCUCACUUGACACUAUCAUGUUUAAUUCAUUUCAAAAGUCCAGUAUCAGUUUAAUUUAUCCAAAAGAUCAUUAUUUUCAACAACAUGUAUACGCACGGACUGUGACAGAUUACUCAGUCCCUGAGCCAUAAAACUGACACCCUAGAACAGUCUGUUCGGGCAAUAAUCAUACUGACAUCAUAAGGUCUGAACUCACCAUCACACCUGCACGUAAUGAAAGGAUUGAACUCAGUUAUAUUGUUUUAAUUAAAGCCCUUAUCAAGAAUUUUCCACAUUAAUGAAACAGACUGAAAUUCUCAUUGAUGCCUUUUGAUGAUAUUCAAGAGCAAACAAGAUCACUAGUGGCAAGAUACAUAAUAUAAAUGCUCUAAUUUUAGUGCCUGUAAAUGGUGCAAGGGGGGGAAGGUGUCACUGGAGCCAUUAAAGGAUAGAUCCCUUGUUCCUCGCUUUAAAUAAUCACAAAAACGACAUAUUUGCCUGUCAAAAGUCAGCCGGAUGGUAUUCCUUAAGCAUGUAGAAGACAAGCUAAGAGUGCUUUAUCUACAGGCAGCACCAAAAAUAACAUAAACUGAGAGUUCCCAAUGACACCUUUAGAGACGUUAUAGAGUAUUAACUUGUAAGGUCAGAUCUGGCAAAACAACCAAAUAUACAGUAUAACACAAAUGUCAGCUUAGUUAUAGUUUCAUCCACUAGCAGCGCUUUUAGAUGGCACUUAAUUCUCAUGUUAUUUAUUUAAAGGGUACACAGGGUAUUCUUUGUUUGCAUUUUAACCGUUUGAAGAGUAUUCACAGAGCACUUUGUUUACAUUUUUGCCAAUUAAAUAGCAUCCAGGGGGCACUUGAUGUACAUUUUAAUGCACUUCAAGUGCCUUAAGAGGGCGCUUUGUUUAGUUUUCUCCUACUUUAGACCAUUCAGAGGGUAUUUUUCAGGUCAUUUACACUGCAGGGGCAAAAAAGAGAGUAUCUUAUGAUGUUUUAGCCACCCAAAAAGCAUCUAACAGCACUUGAAUUUUCCGACCACAGGGAUGGGGCCCUGUCUCCGGGCUACAACAUACAGCUGUUCUAUGAAUACCAUAUACAACGUCGAACAAAACAAGUAUUUGAGGAAAGAACAGCAUGAGUAAAAAGAAUCAGAUCAACAAAAAGAAGUCUGAACUUCUGAAACUGACCCAAAUUGAGAAUAGUCCUAAAGAGUGCAGAAAAUGCCUCUUAAAUGACAGCAGACACACCCUUUGCAGGUUGACUCAUACUUUUUGGAACUGGGGAUCAGAAAAAGAAAUUGCAGAUAAAGUCGUGUAAAUAGACUAGAGCUGGGUAAGUUUGGGAUUUCAAUUUUACUUGUGAUUAUGACUCCCCAGGAUCAUAAAAAUAUGAUAAUCAAGACUGAGUGAUAUUGUGCCGCCUGCUGUGUCUCACUCGUUGCGGCCUGUACAGUAAAUGAAGCACACCCUCCCUCUCUGCUCCUCCUCCUCUCCAACAGCUCUCCCUUUUACCUCGCAGUCAUGAGAUAAAUAGAUAGAGAGAUGAAUACUGUAUGUCUCCCGAAGGGAUUUCAGUUUCUAAGCUGCUCAAUCAUCAUCAACAAAUCAAUUUAUAAAAAAGGCUAGAAAAAACAUAAGAGUAAAGAAUUGGAGUAAAAGGUCAUGAUAAAAGAGACUGACAAUAAAUAGCUGAUGAUUAUGAGGUUGGAGGUAAAAGCAGAGUGUAAACAUGUGGAGUGCAUACAUGUGAUGAAAAUCCCACUGGCCUGUCAUCUCCCUCCUCUCCCUAGUAUUGUGUUGAAGAGAAUGAGGCAGAUAAGUGCUGAUUUAUCUUUAACGAGGUAUACUACAGCAGGACAAACUAUCAUACAGGUGGAAAGAGGACAGCAGGGAGAGGAGCAGGAAGGGGAGCAGGCAGGUUUGUGCUUUUGUACUUGUGUGUGUGUGUGUGUGUGUGUGUGUGUGUGUGUGUGUGUGUGUGUGUGUGUGUGUGUGUGUGUGUGUGUGUGUGUGGUUGUGUGUGAAGUUCACUGACAGAGGGGCUUCAGUGAUCAUGAGCUGAAUGAGCGUUAACGAGCUCACGUUUAUCAGCCACAUUGAUUCCUAACAAACUAAAGUAUAAUGCUAAUUCUUGAGGUUAUAGAGCCUCAGACUUGAACAAGCUGACGAUAUGUUGGACCUGUAACCUGUGAAAGAAUGUAAAAGGAGGAAGAGCUCAGGUCACUCAGCUUUCAGUGAUGUAGCUUUUUAUAGUGAUGGGUCCCAAUGACAGUGAUUUGAGUGUGUCCCGGAAGCUAUCAGCAGGUCUGCUGAUAACAUUGUUGAUAAAUGAUAUUUUUUUUAAUAAAGAGGUAAAAAUAUGGAUCAGUUUUAAAACAAAAAUAAAAUAUUGUAUUUUAAACAUAGACUGUAUAUACUAUGGACAACAAACAGCGUAUCCCCCGGCUGAGCUACGCAAUCUUCGUGCACCCAUAGGCUGUAUCAAGUGUCAAUCAUAGAAAACAUGAACCCCCUAAUAACUUUUAAAAAUGGAGCUGCACAGAAAAAAGAGGACUUGAGCACAAACCAGUCUUACAGUAACUACAUGUCAACAUCGCAACCAGUGGGGAGUAAAAUCUACAUUCUGUGUAAUUAAUUUCUAAAGUUUGUCCACAGCUCCAUAGGGAUUGCUGGAGGAGGCGGGAUUUAUGACCUAUACUGCAGACCGUCACCAGAGGGUGCUGUUCUCAUGGUGGCUUCACCCAGCGAGUAGGCAGACGGCGUCCAUUCUAUAUACAGUCUAUGAUUUUAAAGUAUUAAAGUUCCUUUUAUUAACUUUUUUUAUGUCCUACUGUAUUUUUUCUUUAUUUAUAUUAUCCAGUUUAACAUGAAUAUUUCUGUUACCCAAAGGGACAGUCUUUUCCGCCCCUCUAUGUUUGUUUUAUUUCCCUUAAUUUUAAUUCUUAAAGAGCUCAAAGUUUUUAGUUUUUAUUAAAAAUAACUGUGAUAAUGAUUUUGUCACAAUUGAGUAACCCUUAAAUGAACAUGUAUUCAGUGUGGCAUACGUUUGCAGCGAGCCUCUAAAACACAGCUGAAUGUCAUAUUUUGGAGGGUCUGCCCUGGAACUGAAUAUCUGACCUUUGAUCGCCAUGAUGACAUUUACCUGCUUAUCCACACAUAAUCUGCACAUUAUGUGAGGUUCAGGGCUUUGUUUCAGACUUUAGGCUGAUGGUGAACCAUGUCUCAUAUGUCAGCCCAUAUGCGUUUUUUUGCUUCACUGGCAUGACCGGUAUGUAAUUAGCCAUCACUUAAUUAGGGAUGCUGACUUAAAAGCCUUUGGUUUGUGUUUAGAACAGCAGACUAAGAGGCAAUUUGUGGGGGGAGGGUCACAUGCACUGACAUAUGAGAGCAUCGCAUACUGGAAAUGUCCAUUAAUCAGAUGAACUAACAAGGAACUGACACUUUUGAAAUUAAUAUCCGUUGAGUUUGCUUUGAUAAUUCGAGCCACUGAGCACUGUGCACCCAGACUGAACUGACUUGCUGGUUCAUUUCUUGUUCAUCACGAAGAUGACUCGAAGGAUAAUUGUAUUUCACUGGGUUGCGGCUCUACUGGGGCUACGCUGCACCUCAAUUUGCUCAUUUGCAAUCAGGAAACAUUUUUGGCAGACACACUGCUGCCUUCAUUUUUAGGUUUUAAGUAAUCACAUUUUAAAUGCGCAUGGCAGCUCUAUCCGUCGUCUUCCAGAAAAUUGACUUCUCAAACUAUAAGCCUUAAGCUAAUUGUGCUACAAUCUAUAAACAUUUUUAUUAAAUAAUAAGGGCUUUUUCUGAUAAUGUAAGUAUUAUACAAUAUUGCAUACAGCUCUGUUGAAAGAGAGAGAGGGUCGGGCCUCUCUUAGACUAUAACAGACUGCAUGAAUCAGAAGUCUGGGAGCCAUAUUCAGCUGAAAGACUGAGAAGCUUUUAUUUUGAUAUCCUCAAAUGUACUCAUUUAAACUCACUAACACAAGAACAAACAGGUUUUCUAUGAGUGUUUAUGAGGUAAAACAUGUCCCUCUUCAAGACCCGAUCUUGCCUUUCCAUUGAUAUCCCUCUAAAAAUACAAUUUGCCUUCAUCUUCUAUGCUUUUACAUCCUUUAAGCGACUACUUCUCUCUAAUUUUUGGCACAGGAGGAACUGGCCAUUAUCACACUUUGCACCAACCUUAUUUAAAAAGCAAUUCUUUUUCUUUCCAAUAUAAUCUCUUUCAGCCCUGAACUCCCCGCCAGAGGAGGAGGUCAGGGGAACUGGACUAUUGUCAAGCACCCAAUGGGAUGCAUUUGAUACUGUCAGGAACAAUUUGGCACUAGUGCAGGGUGUGCCAGGAGCGUGUCAACCUGAUUUAGGUUUCCUCUGUUGGGGUACCGGCAUCAGGGACAGUCCCUCUUAACUGACCGUGACUGGAGCUGGCUGCUGAAUGCACAGGGAUUACUGUCACGCUGCAUUCAAACACACGUACACACAUAAAAGGUCAUUCACAGCACACAAGGAUGCGCUUUUAUGUAUUAAUACAUUCCCACUUCCAGCUUGAGACACACAAAUAUAAUCUAAUAAAUAAGCGCACAUACUUAUUCCGUGACCACACACGCAUGUUCGCACAUACAGCCACACAUGUGCGACAUGCUGUCUUAUGCAAUCACCGCAUAGGCCUACAGAGCACUCGUGAGACGAGAGAGGAAAUGUGUGCAGGGAGAGGUGUCCUAACAUUUCACAACAUUACCGUGAAUUCUCUGCUCUGAGGAGAAGCCGGCAAUUCAGGAAAUAAUUCAGCACAUCACAGUAUGAGGUAGCCAAGCGAGAGAGAGAGAGAGAGAGAGAGGGAGAGCGAGAGACACCACUGUGGACCUAUUCAAUUAAAUUUUAUUACAUCGGCAUGAAUAUAUGUGAUUUAAUGUGGAUUAUACCUGAGUGCCUUGUAUUGGAAGGAUUUGAAUCCUUGAUACCUUCUUAGCAUGUGCAUUGACACACACACCUCCAUGACGGCACACACUCAUGCACACUCUGCCUCUGUUGCUGUAGUUACCUCAAGAGCCCUUUUAUUCAUGCAGCAAAUGUUUCACUCCUGCUAACUUUAUCAAUUUGCAGUUCUGUGAUCUGUUGGGGUGUAUAGACACCCUCACUAAUGCAACCUAAACAUGACAAAUUGUUAAGUACGUUUUAAUCUAUUUACACCUGAGAAGCUACUCCUGCUACUGCAUAUUCAAUCAUAGACACUGCAGGUAAACAAAGCAACACAUCUCUGCUUUCAUACAGUGAUGAAUGACACAGCAGCGCCUUCAUUAUUACUUCUUAAUCAACCUCUUCAGGUUCAUACAUGUUUGUGUGUGUGUGGGUGUGAGUGUAACAGACAGUGAGUCCGUCGAGGUGGGAAUCACGGCAGGGAUCGUUUCAUGAAUUUCAUUAGUUGAGGUGAAAAUCAUUUCCUCAGCAGCUAGUACUGUAAUCCAGCUGUUGUUGUUAAUCCAAAUUUAAUAUGUUGACAAUGAUUGCAGGGAUAGUAUAAGACUGGAACGAGAGAGUUGGUAGUGCAUUUCUGCAGCGAGUUAAAUCAUCUGUUUUUGUCCUCUUUCCUUUAGUUGUUUCUUUCUAAGAAAAGCUUGUUUACCACCUUCUUUUAUCUACUUCACAGUAUCUGCGGCUCUCCUCCUCCCUAUUACACGUGAACACGAGCCACUCUCAUCUUCUGCUGGCUUUGUAAACAGUGAUCAUAACAAAUAGUUCAAUAAUGUUGAUAGUCUUGCUUUGAAGGACGGGACUGGAGUGUAGAUUCAUGCAUAUGAGAUGGCCGUUUGAUGUGGUGAGUCAGGUUUUCUGACACUUGGGGAUCACAGAUGUGUAUGAUGAUUCAUUUGACAUAUUGUUUCAACUUUCUUUCAAAAGGAGGCAUAAAUUAAUCAUCAGAAUAAAGGAAAGUGUUUUAUUUAGUCCAUGUGAAGCAACAGUAAGAACAGAGCCUCGGUCAUCUGUUGAGACUGGAUAAAACAGAGCAACCAUUUCAAGAAAAAUGUGCGACAGCAUCAAAAACAAUUCCAUCUGAAGAAGUCAAGUAAGAUGUUUUUAUUAAGAAUUGAUGAGCCCUUAAAGACGACAUGAGGGACUGUGUCUAUUGAAACCGAACCAGGUUUUGAACUUCUCUCCACGCUCACAGGUUGAGCUGAUAGCACUCGUGCUUUAUCUUCCUCUCACAGGGGGGCGGUUGCUCAUCAUGUGUGUUUUCCUCUCAGAAAGGGGGACAGUGGAAAGCUUAAGAAGACUCUGGCCUGUGGCAAGAUACGUGUGAAGGCCUGUGGGGGCAAGUUCAGCUGCAGAUACACAGCAAAAAGAGCUGUGAGACGACACUCAGACAGAAAUAAGAAAGCUGUACAGUCAGUGCACUUUACAGCAACCUGAAACUUUUAGAAACAAGGCUUCACUGAUUCUCUCCUGUGCCUGAUUAAUACAUAUCUAAGUAUAAACCACAGCUGUUCAGACUCGAGCACAUGGCAUUAUUGGUUUUAAAUGGUUGUUGACUUCUGGCUGUAUUUUUUAUUAAUUUCUCUUUCAAAUGAAGGAUGUAACUCCAUGUAUUUACUGUAAAACCUCAGUUACAUUUUCUGAUGAUCAGCAGUAAAAACUCAUGUUUGCAAGUUAAACUAGAUCAGUAAAGAUGUCAAACAGUUAAACAUCAACAUCCGGGGCAGGGGUGCAGUCAUAGACUGUAUAUAGAAUCGACAUGUCUGCCUCCUCGCUGGGUGACGCCACCUCGAGAACAGCACCCUCUAGUGACGGGCUGCAGCAAAGGUCACAAAUCCUGCCUCCUCCAGCAAUCCCUAUGGAGCUGUGGACAAACUUUAGACAUUAAUGACACAGAAUAUAAAAUUUCCAAGUUGGUGUUUUCCCAGUUUUCCCUCUGCUGUAGAUAGUGGCUGUGUUUCACUCUUUUUAAGAACACAUCAUGUAUUGAUUGCCAUCGGAACAGAAAGACCAUUUAAACCAGAAUAACAAAAAAAUGUAUCUAAAUCUGAUUACCCAUCCUACCUUUAAGAUUGUCCAUUGUCCAUGAUUGUCCAUUGUCCAGCCAAGAGAAAGCCCAGACACUCGUCUUGAGGCAGCUUGCUGAGGCUUAUUUGGCUCUAAACUACCCAGAGUUUUGUUAAAAUCAGCAGCUGACUUACAUCCUCAUGUUUGAAUGACUAUGACUUUUUACAGGGGCUUGUGUUUCUUCCUUUUUUUGUGUGUUGUGUUCAAAGUGAAGAAAAGUUGCUAAGCAUGUCAACAUGCCCCCCUGCACACAGAAGAUAGAGAGCAAGGGGGAAACUGGUUCAAUCACAAGUGAGUCAUGUUGUAAUGAAAUCAUCCGGUUUAUGAUUGAGAUCGUCAGCUACAGGGCACUGCGAUGUGAUCUGACCAUGCGGAUCUCUUCUCUUUGCGCACUAUAGACCUGGACUGGAGUAACCUGGGGACCUCUAAUCAUUUGCAACAAAUGAAGGAUUAAGUGUUUUUUAAAUCCUGGCCAAAUCAACCAUGUAUGCAACUUGUAAAGUCAAAAUUUCAGGUCAAACUACCAUCGCUGUGACACACUGAGGUACUGCCACUAUUCCAGGGCAGUCUGAGUCAGCAUCUCAGUGAUAUGGAGUGAUUUGGGGUCUCUGUGGAAUUUUCUGCCCCACUUUUAAUAAAAAAUAAUGAAGGAUGUGUUAAACAUAAAUGAAAGAAUACAAAGUAAUACUGGGUUCAAAUUAGAACAAAAUAAAAUCAUGUCAACUCCAUGUGCCUUAAAUGUAAAAUACAUGGUUAUCUUAGCUGGUGACGCAUUUUAAAUAACAUUUUUUAUGAACUUAUGAAAAGAGGAAUACAUUAGGUUAUGGCAUAAAAUCUACCUUGUGACGUCCAAGUUCUAACAAUCAGCUCUAUUAAUUAGUCUCUCUGCUCUUAGAGCUAUAGUAUGAAUAUAUUGGUGCAACUUUGCCUGUAAGAUGUUGGGUUACCAUGAUGCGUUUGAGUAUAUAAAAAGAGAGCCUAAUGUUAAAUCGGCCGCUAAUUGACCAACUAUUUAAAAAAAAAAAAAUGUUUCUUUCAAAGCUAGCUUAUAAACUUUAUAUAAAAAUAAAGUUUUUUUAUGAGCGUAAAACAAACUCUCCAAGUUUGUCAGAUGUUCUUAGUUCUUGGCAGGAUGUACCCUGUAGAGUAAAUGCAGUCCUCAAAGACAAGGUGGAUGUCAUGCAGCGCCUUGAAGUUUUCAAUCAGAAAUCUCAGCACAGUCGAGUAAAUGGUAGACUCCACUUACCCAGUAUGAGUAAGCCAGGUCUCCAGAUAAUACCAACGCAAUACAAAGAGAUGUUUGCACUACAAGCUAACUGCAGGAUCUUUAAUGCUAACAAUGAGUUCUUCUUUUGUUAUCCAGUACGAAUGCUUUAUUUCUGUUCUCAUGGAGAUGAGAAGGAAAAGAAGAGGAACACCUCCCCCCUUCUAACCAAACCACAAUUUUCCCCUCACAUACAGACCUCCAGGACCUCCAACCACAACCUUUCACAGCUGGAGAGUCUGACACUCCAGCAGAGACAGUGGAGUGGAGGCCAGCGGUCUCUCUAAACUCAGUGAUACACCGAUCCAGGCUCACCACAGCCAACACCCCAGUCUACUGCGAGGGAUGUCAGUGACUUCCAAGAAUGACUGCUUUCGUACAGUAAAAAAACUGAAAUAUACAUUCACAGGGAACAGAAGACAAGUCAAGUACACUGGUUAAAUGAAUGUGGAUCCGUUCUUGACAGAAAGAACUGCAUGUUAAGUGUUACUCAAGGCACAACAACCCAAUAAAUGUAUUUGACCCUGUAUGAUGAGUUCAUGGAGGAACAGCUCUAACACUGUUCCUCCAUGUUAGAGGAUUUGAUUAGCAUUUAGCUCCAAGUUCUGUUCUGAGUACAGCCCAACUUAGCCUCUAGCAUAGAGAGUAUUAACGUUGUAUGUUGACCUGUAAGUAGAGGCACAACUUUGGGUUCAACUUCUCUACAGCGGAGAGGAGAAACACAGAAAACUGGAGCUAAUGAGUGAGUUCAAUUUGCCCUGAACCAGUUAGCUUUGCAGAGCUGACUGACAUGAUAUUGACUAAAUAGAGGAGUGCAGGAGAGAUCUAAUUGUAAAGGACAUAUGUUUCAUAGUUGAACAGAUAAAAUUACCUGCUACGUGGCUUUAAAAAUCCCACUCCUCAUUUAGAAAACAGUGUGAACAUGAGAGCUGUUUCUGUCUGUCCAAACAUUGGCCUACAAGCACUUGCCAAACAAGUUCAAUUCAAUAAGAAGUGCAGAAGAAAAUAAAGCUUUGGGCACAAUUAGAAAAAAAAAAAAAAAACCUCUCCCAUGAAUCAAUCCAGUUAGGCAGCCAAAAAUUAGACUCACAAUGACAGAGACGUACUGCUUGUUGUCAAAGCCCCGAGUGAGGGCGCACCUCAGGCAUGGAAAGAGCUGGAGUGGAUAUGUGUUUAAAGCUUCUGUGUUUAAGUUGACAAGCUCUCUGGUUUUCAUUUCUAAUAAACAGCACUUCCUUCUUUACUAUACUCUAUUAAUCAUCUGCCUCCGAGUUUGGGUUUUUAUGUCACAAUCCUUUCAAGAAGGGAUUAAUCUGCUUUUACAUUCUCAUCACAGCAAGACACUGCACCUUAUUAAGUCCCCAUGGGGACUCAAACUCUUCAAGCAGGUUUAAAUUAGUGCUUUCUUUCUCUGUUUGAUUUGCAUCCAGUGAUUAAAUGGGGGGGGCAAGGAAGAAGGGGAAAUCGCUUACAUCAGCAGCUGAGGAGAUCUUUGAGGACUGCAGAACUGCUCUCAGAUAUGUCUUAAGCCUUUGCCAAAAGCUUUUUCUCUCCUCAGCUUCCUUGUAAGAUGCAUCUAAGGUAAGGUUAGAUAAGGUUGCUUUUAAGCAUUCAGCUGAUUUGGUGGUCCUAGUUUAACACUAUUUAGCGAAGUGAAAUAACUUUUAAAGGACGAUUUCUGAAACACAUGCUUAAGUGAUGCUUUGUUCUUGAUGUGGCUCAAGCAUAAAAAUAGAUUAUCCUACAUUUCCCUCAGAGAAAAUCAGUGGACUCUUUCAUUACAAAAACACUGCCUUUUUACUCAUCAUGCCUCUCAGACCCCUAAUUUUCUUUCUCAGCUCUUAUUACACAUCUGUAAUAAUAGUUUUUAGAUACUUUAUCUAUGACUUCAAAUCAGAUCCACAUGUCUAAAACUCGAGUUAUACUGGCAAUGGAGAAACUGAAUCAGCUAAACGUGCCGCCAAUAUUCACCUAGAGACAAAAAGAUAAAUCAAAUGAAUCAAAAACUGCACCUCUUGCACACUGUGAUGUCAGUGUAAGCUUUUCUGAUGAGUUUUUAAAGGAAUAUAAUAUGGACAUAAAUCAAUGAUGUUUCCUUUAUGGCCUACAAAUGCAAACAAGAUCAUCAGUGACAUGAUUGACUAUUCCUUUACUACCUUUUUAAUGUCUGUUUAAGUUGCCAGGGGGUCAGUGUCUUUUUAAUUACUAUUUCCAACCAUAAAUAUUCACAUUAAAUGAUACAUAGAUUGUAAAAAAGAUGGCAGGAUGAGAUUUAGUGUUUUAAAAAAACACACAAAAGACAAAGUGAACAACUUUGUCCGUUUGCCAAAUUCCACUCAGACCAAAGCUCCCACGAGGAGCUCUAUUUUUCAAGAUAUUUUUACAACUAAAUCAUUUGGCUAAAGAUAGACAGAACUUUAAAAAACAGGAAUGUGAACUUGAUAUGAACUCUGCUUCUAUGUGAGAGUCUAAGGAGCCAAGCACUUCACUUAUUUCUUUCUCCACUUUACCACAAAGACACAUUGAGCCAUUGAUUUGGCACCACACAUAAACUGUGACAAGCAGAAUCUCACAGAGUGGACUUAAUGUGGUCAGAUAACCGCAGAUAUAUCAAAACACACAUACAUUUCAUCAGUAAUCACCAUUUGAACAUGAAAGUUAUCAGAAAUGAGCACAGUCACAAACUAAUACUAUCUUAGAUUCAGACAGAAGGACGUCUUCAAAAGGCUUUUUUUUACUCUGCACAUUUAAAACCAGAAAGUAUUGAAAUGAGGGGAGGAAAGUGGGGAGAUCUUGCCAAGUCCAAGAGGCAGGGAAGGCAAGCUAAUUAUCUCAUGGUGCUUGGAAGCUAAAGUGCUCAUUGACAAUCACAGGACUGCUCUCAGGGUGUAUAUAGCUAUUAGGAUGAGAGACAAGGGUUGGCCAGAAGCACUCAUCACUGUGGUCACAAGAGCCAAGCCAGAUCAACCACUAGCCUACAGCCAUCUGACAAGCAGCAUUACAGGGCAGAUUUCUGCAUAAUUCAUCAGCUUCCUCAAGUAUUUAUGAUGUUGGUCUACACAAGAAUUAAAAGGUUUGUGAGAAAUUAACAACAAUCCACUGAAAUCAACUCAAAUGACAAGAAAUGUUAACCUCAACAAACAGCAUGAAAAACACUGAAGAAAGUUGUUUUGUUACAAUAAGAGAGACAUGACGGAUGGUGAACUUGCUUAUGCUCUUUCUAAAACAUGUGAUCUGUUCCUUUCUUACAGUGACCCACAAGAAACCCCUGAAGCCCAAACACUGACCUCCAGACAACUGAAGUUAGCCCAGACCGCUCCACUUAUCUGGCGAUUCUCCUGAUGCUCACCCACACAUAUUUCUGACAACUAUACCAGCUCACAUUGGCUGCUCAGUCAUCUCUUUUAUUUAUUCAACGAGGACGAGGUGAAAAUAUUGGUAAAUCCAUGAAAUUGUCCUGGCUGUGACAGCAUCUGUUAUUUUCGGGGAGCAGCCUUUACUUGUUCCCUUGUAUGCGACAAGUGCACCUCAGGUCAAACCCUCUCUGUCUCCAUACUUCUUUACUAUUUUCAUUCAUGAACUUUUCCUGAUGCACGUAGGUGACAAGGACACACCCAGCUACCAAGACACCCUAACAACUCUGUUUCAAACCCUUGUUUACAUCGGAGUCAGAUGCUACUUUGUGCUGAUCGACUCUCAGCGCUCAAAGUCACAGUCCAGCAUGCUCAUCAAGGCCUGAUUCUUGGAUUUGAGGACUUCAGUAGCUAAACCCCAUAAAAAUAACUCAAAGAAAAUAACAUGGCCAAAAUCAACAGUGACACCACUGAGUUAAGGGAACCAGUUAGUAUACUAUUUAAAGUAUUAAGAAAAUUAAAUAUUUCAGAUUUGAGCACUUGGUAAAACCUUGAAGUCAAUUUCUGAUAGACUCACUGAGGGAACAUUUCUAACACUUUCUCUUUAUUCAAUUUGACUCAAGCAUUUUGCCUUUUUGUCGACUGAAACUAAAUUAGAAAGGAAAUAAAUUAUGCAAAUGUAGCAAAAUAUUCAAAAUAAUUUUAUCCUUAAACCAAUAUAAGAUCCAUAAUGGCCAACAAAAUGAACACUACUUCUGCCCUUUGCAGUAUUAGCUGUCCAAUCUAGAACUGUAAAUAUCAGAAAGGCUAUGUUUGAUACUUUUGACUACAGGUCAGAGAAGCUUCUCCUCAGUUUUAAAUAGUACUGGGCGAUAAAAUGAUAACGAUAUAUAUUGAAAAUGAAUUUCCCACAUUAUCAGUAUAAAACAUGGUCAAUAUCCUUAUCAAUAGCUGGCAUUCUGCCAUGUUUUAGUAGACUGUACGAAUAGCCAAUAAAAAGGGGAGUUGCUCUAGGUCCGCUUCUCACUGAACCAAUCAUGAGCUGAAUUAGAUCCAAGUAACAAACAACUGCGUAGUAGCAGGCUGCAGCGACACUCAACCAUAGCACUUUAACAAGUGAAGCCGACAGUACUGUCGAUGAGGUCAGACAUGAAGCAGAGUAAUGUGCACUACAAAUUAUGUUGAGAACAUGUUCUCACAAAGUUGGGGAAUACCUCAAAUCUUUUUGACCACCUGAAGCAGUGCCACGCGGCAGAGCACGCGCAAUGCAAAAGGUUACAAACCCUGAGCAAAGUAAGGAGCCCAUGGCGCCUGUGCAGCCGAAACAGCUGACCAUUCAGUCUGCUUUCUCUAGCACAACACCUCAAGACAAAACCUCAAAGAGACACAAAGACCAUACAGAUGAAGUAGCUUAUUGUAUUGCAAAAGAAAUGCUACCAAUAAGCACUGUUAAAUUUCUUUUUUUUUUAUACCAUGAUCUAUAUCGAUAUCGACUGAUGUGAAAAAAAAUGUUGUGAUAAACUUUUCCCCAUUUUUCCCAGCCCUAGUUUGAAGCAAAACAUCUAUCCAUUAGCCGGUUGGAGGUUUGAUCCCAGGUUUAUGCCUGAGUGUCCUUGGGCAAAACACAACUGUGCCACUGUUGGAGAAUGAGGUUAGUUCUUCUGGAUGGAUACCAUAUGCAGCAUCUUCUACCAUGGUCAGAGGGCAAGAGAAAGUUCUGGAUACAGAAUCCACUUCCCAAAGUAACCAUCUGAGGUGUUUUUGAAUAAUUCAAAUGAUGCUGAUAGAGAAAAAACAAACAUUUGAAAUAUGGAUUAUAUAGUCACCAAACCGUCCAACAAGUAAAUCAGUGUAGAAAAUGUUCACUGUCAGAGUUUUUUUUUUUUUUUUUUAACAAGUCAAUAAGUAAUAAAAUAAAUAAAGAGAGGACACACAAAAGCACAGCACUGAAAUGGACUGUGUGGGUGUGUGUGCAGCUUCGUGGUUGCCUGGCUUCCAAAACCUCUUCAUUCAGGCCGGGCCAAAAUGGGUCUUAUGUAUUGUUCAAAACUCUAUAUCAAGCAGAGAGGUUUGCUGAGGCUCAUUAUUAUCUUUGUACGAGAACCAUACCCAGUAUGUUCAAAUGAACUCAUCAGUCUUGGGCUAUUCAUCUAUGUGAGUGUAAUUGAACUGCCGAGGUGCUGCAGUCUAUUGCUAACAGCAGCACCUCUCAAACUCCCCUCCACCUCUGCCCAACAUGAUGACAGAAAUGGACUGUGCAAAAUUAAAGUGACUGAAAUUUGAAUCAUGCAUCCAAUCUUGUACACUAACGACAGAUUUAUGCAAUUACCACUGUCGCAUAACUCUUCCAGAUUAGGGCGGGCAGGAUGGGGGAUAUACGUAGGUAACACCUGCAAGGUCCCCAUCUGGAUGUAAAUAUGCCUGUUCUUUUAAAUGAACGGCUUUAUAAGCACAAAAAAGCCAUCACAAUCCCAACACCUCUGCCACCCUCUGGCAAUGUAAUCACUUUGUGCAUUGGAUAUUGCAUUUAUUUUUUAAUAUUUCACUCUCCCCGUCUGUUCGUCUCUCUUUCUAUCUCUGCUUGCUCCCCUGCAUGCAUUCCAUUUUCAUUCUCACACUAAAUGGCAUUUCUUUCCUUGAAAUUAGAUAUCAGCCCGGCUGUCCCUUAUUAUUUCAACCCAGAAGUGAGGGCUCCAGUUACGACCUAGAUACCGCUGUCUCCUGCCUUUCUCUUAUUCUUCCUUCUCCCACACCCCCUCUACACCCUGUCUCUUUAUCCCCUUUAUCUCCAGCCUUACCUCUACCCUCACCUCUGAGGCGUCACCUCUCUUUCUGCCUCACCUAUCACUUGCAUUAAAUCAAAUGGAACACAUUAAAAGUGGCACGCGCAGCAGACAAUGGCUUAUAUGAUUGCCUGCCGUGUUCAGCCUGGUUGUGCCGCACAGCCCCAUAAAAUGCCAUUUGUAUCACCUCAUUUCAUAGGGCCUUACAACACAGGCGAAACAGAGAGGCUGAGACUGAGAGGAGGCAGAGGCUGAGGGGAGAUAGAGUAGGUUGAGCAUGGAGGGAUGAUGAAAGAGCGAAUGAAAAUGGGGUGAAAGUGUGGCAGAGAGGAAAGAAGAGGCCAGAGAAUGAGAAAGUGACUUAGAUGGAAUAUGGAGUCAGAGUAAAAUGAGGGCAGAGAUGGGCGGUGGAAAUAAAUAAAAUUGGAUGAAAUAGUCGAAGAAAAACAUCUGCAAAGCCGCUGAGCCAGGCUGAGGGGGGGGGGGAGAAGAGACAGGUGAGAAAUGAGGAUAAAAAAAAUGGAGCAGGGGUGAGGAAAGAACUGGCAGAGAAUAAGAGGGAGGGAUAAAUGAAUAAAUAGGAACAGUAAGUUGGGAGAAAUGGGGAAGAAUAGGUGUGAGUAGGAAGAGAGGCCAAGAGAAGAAAAGGGAAGGUGAAAAAAGGGUGAGAAAAUUAUAUUGGUGAGAGAGCGAUAGACAGCGAGAGAGAGGGAGAAAGGUAGAAGGGCUAUAUGGUAGUGGCGGAGAUUACCCAGAAAGCCCUGACACUAUUCAAAUAAGGAACAAUCUGCCAGGACAACUAUGAGGAUUUGGAGCAAUAAGAAAUAUAUAGCAACCAAGGGAGAGAGAGAGAGAGCGAGAGGGAUGAUGAGGGCACAGCUCUUACCCUCCCUCCUUGCAGCUCUACCUCCCUCUCCAUUAGUACAGUGAGCAUAUUGGGCUUAUUAAAUUCUAAUUGUCUGUAAUGGCCGCCCAGGCUCUCGAAGGCACUAUGUGACAGGGUGAGAGUGAACGGAGGUAUUUGUUUUGCUAAUUGGAAACCGUUCAGCUCCCUUAAGUGUUCUGCUGUUUGCUGCUGCUCGGAGAGCGGCUGAUAAAAACCGGCUGAACGACAGAUAGAUGGUUAGAUAGCGCAGGUAGGGUGGAGAGCGAGACGGGGUGGAGCAGAGAGCGGGAGGGCAAUGUAAGAGGAGCACCUUGGGGGUAUUUACUGGUGAGAAAGAAUAUGAAAAAUCAAUGAGGACAUAAUGAGCUUCAUUUAGAAAGUUGUUAGACACUAGUCGAGGGCUGUUUAGCAAUCUGGAUCUACUGGGUGAAACAAAAGCUGUUUACACAACCUACCAGGAAAAAUAUUAGAGGACAGCAAUCAACGUUCGGAUUACAUUCAGGAAUCGACUCAGCAUCCAUGUUUUGAUUCAUUUGUUUAUAUUCUUCAGCUUCAUGUACACAGGAGCCUAAAAUAGAGGCCUGUUUCUUUGUCUCGGUGCCUGGGAAUUCCUUGCCCACCCCCCUCUGUGAUACACUCACGUCCUUGUAGUGUCCUCACACGCAGCAUGCCUCAUCGAGCCAUUUAAGAGUUUUUUCCUUGUUCUCUGUACCCCCUCUCCACCCCGUCCACUAACCUCCUCUUCCCUCCCUACGGAAAUAUAAACAGUGGAAAGAGCAGGAGGUGCAAAGAGGUGCAAAAAGCCUUUACCGUGUCUCCAUAUGGCCUGGCUUCCACUGAGCUCUGCAAAUACAAACACAUGCUGUAAACAGGCAUACACGUAUACACACAGAAAUUGUAUAUGGUGUUAUGCAACCUCCAGUACAUGACAGGAGCCUCUAUGGCUCCUGUAAAAAGCAAAACUGUUCGAGCAGUUACAUUUGUCUUUGAGUUUUUCUUUUUCAGACGCUUUCUUGACAGAGCUGAGCUGACUAACACCCGCUGUUACUAAUGCAUCUAUUGUUGACAAGUACCUCACACAAACCCACUUAGAAAUUUUAAAUAUAGAAAUGAACUGUCCCUCUAAAACCAACGGAUCUGAUGUGGCGCUCAAUGCAAAGACUUCCUGUGCAUGUGUUUUAUUUGCUGCGUUGCUCCAAACUGCUUCUUUACAGCUGUUUUUUCUUUAUUUACCUUGUAUGUGAUCUCGUCAGGCCUUUUAUUGUUUAUUUUGAGGAUAAUUUAGCUAAAGCAACAUGUUUUUUUAGAGUUGUUCUUGGCAGCCAUGAGUCAAUCACGGUAGUCUAUUGAAGUGUUUUCUCCCUGUGGAUUUGUGACAAAUACCCCCUUCCCGGCUUAUGUGGGUGUUCCAUUAGAAAUAAACAGAAGUGCUUUUGGCUGCCUUGUCUCCUUUCCCCUGGUGCCUUUUUUAAGUGCUGCCGUGUUAUUUUUAUAGCGUUGUGUGUCAAGGCUUAGACGGAUAGGUACUGUAUGACUGCCUGCUCGGAGACAUGGAGGCUGGUCCCUGAGCGAUUUGUCUCUGCGGUUGUUGGUAAGGUGCGUAUGGGGAUGGUGGGUGUGAGGAUCAAAGUGUUUGCGGGGCUUGUAUGCAUUUCCAAGUCUGAUUUUUAUAGGUUCAUGGUCUCUUUUCUUGCAUGUGCCAGUGCAUUCACAGGAGCUCGUACACACACCUGAGCCCAGAAAUGUAUGUUCAGGAAUCUAUUUCACACUGUGGUAUCAUAAAAGAGCUGAUGCAACUUUGAUGGUCCAAAGACUGAUGGAGACAUUUUAUUGAGCAGCAGCAAAGAUUUUAUUUAUUUAUUAUUCAAAGAAAAUGAAAUAACAUAUGGUGAGUUCUACAGUGAGCCAAUCUUUAAACAUUUUAAGAGGUACUCUUGGUACUUUUGGACUGUAUAGAAACAGAGAGAGAGAGAUGUAAAGUCAACUGCACCUCUGAUUCACCGAUCUUGUAACCCAGAGAACUUUAAAAUAAACAAAAAAAAGUGGAAAAAUUCACGAUCCCUAUAUAGAUACCAUUACAGUCAUGACCUAUUCAGACCAGAGCUUCUUCUUCUUCUUCUUCUUCUUCUUCUUCUUUUUAACCAAGCUGUAAGGUGAUUUAUUUAUUUACUUUUUAAUUAUGGUUUUUGGGUCUUGUGUGUACAUGCAGUACCUCUGCAAACAGCCUCAUGUGGACACUCUAGAAACUGCGGUUUUUAGCUCUUCUGCGUCAGCUGCAUUUCCCAAGACCAGAAGUUGCCAUCUUUAUGUCUUACAAUUAUCUUUUUUUUAGGUAUCAGAAUAAGACUGACCUACCUCUGCUCUUUAUUUAAAAGAGGAGGCUUUUCUCCCCUUGCAAUCCAUCCUAAAAUAUAUGAUACUUUAUCUUUCGCCUGUAAUGUUGUGGGAGUAAAAUCUAGCAACCAUCUCACUGCCAUAAGAUCCAUACAGCCUGAGCUCUCUUCAUGACCAUAAACACGAUACUGCAACAUUGUAACCCGCCACAAGUGAGGGUAGUUAUCAAGAUCAGGGCAAACUACUUAAGUGAAGCCCUGUCAGAAAACUGUUUAUAUUAUAGAUAGACAGAUAGAUAUUUGAUUAAUCCUCAGCAGGAAAUUGCACCAUUAGGGCAGCUGAAAUCACAGCUAGAUAUUCAGGCACAUAAACACAUUUGAGACAUGAAAAAAACAAAGAAUAAGACGACUUAUUUCCUAAUAAAAAACAUGGAUGUAAAUAUCAAAGUAUGAUAGAAAGACUCAAAGAACAAAUGUAUUUAAUAUGUAAAAUUUUGAGCUAAAAUCUGAUUUGUUCGGAAUAAAAACUAAGAAUAAUGAAUAGAUAUAUAAAAAAAAUAUAAAUAUAAAAGGAAAAAAAAGCUUCUGGGCAUGAUAUAUUAUGACCCAGUAUUAGGGUCAUUAAGAAAAAAAAAAGACUGAGAUUAAAGUUGUUAGUUGAGGAGAAUAAAGUCAUUACUGAUGAGAAUUAAGUCAUAAUAAAGUAAUUAUUUAUGAGAAUAAAGUUGGAAUAAAAUCAUUACGAUACUUAUGAUGAUGUAGCGCUGAUGUGUCAAAAGAUUAAGUUCCUCCUUGUUUGAGAAAUCUAUAUUGAAUUACAUUUUUACAAAAUGCUCCAUGGCUCUCAUUUCAACAACUGUCAUCUUAAACAACAGGUUAGAAUAUAAGAACUUUAUUCUGACUUUAUUCUCAUUAGUAAUUACUUUAUUACGACUUUAUUCUCGCACAUUAACAACUUAAAACUGGUCUUUUUUUUUUCUCUCUCUUAAUGUGGCUCUUAUACUAAGUCGUAAUAUUAUGUUAAAAUGUUUUCUUUUAAAGGGUUAAUGCUUCACUCCACAUUUAACAACGUAGUGAGACAAACUGCUUCCUGACACCUUUGUGUCUGUGUUUACCAGCCCUCCAGAAACAAUCUCAUGCGGUUACUCUUUGGUGAAACCAACCAUAGGAAGAGGGAGUGGAGGCCUAUUUAAGGGGUGACAAAAGGCGUUUGUGAAAGACUUGUGUUUAUUUGAAAUACUUUUAUUCAUUAGAGGAUCCUGUAAUGACAUUAUUGAAAUGAUAUGAAGGGAUUAAAAAUGUCAAACUUUAAAAAAUUCAGUCAGGCAUAUGACCAACCAGCUUGAACGGGCCUCACACUCCGGACUUUACCAACACUCUCUCUAGAGACUUUAUGAUAUAAGGUUGACCUUUUGUUUUCUUUUCAUAUGGAUUCAUAAUAAUGGUUCAACUCCCACUGCUGUCAGAAGGUGAUGGACAAAUUAAUUACAUGAGUUAUCAUUCAAAGACUUCCACGGGGAGAUUUCACCAAACACCUCCUCACGAGUGCAUCUGGAUCCCACGAUUAUCAUCUGCAUAUGUGUGCUCUGUCAACAGCUGAGACAAAAUACUCUCCAUCACCACACUGUGGUACAGUAAUCCCCAAUUAGACACAAUAAUACUAUUUAGUGAGCAGCUGUCCCCACAGACACCUGACACACACAUAAACACACAAACAAGAAUACAAGCAUACACACACACACACACGCACACACACACAUGCGCACAUAUGGCCUGGCCUGCAUGCUCUGCUAGAGCGUGUUAGCUGCCUCACCAGAUGCCUGCUGGAUAAUCUAGGUGCCAUAAUGUGGUGUUCUGCCAGCCAACGAGUGUGUGUGUUUGUGUGUGUCCAUGUCUGCCAAGAGGUGGGCUUUAAACUUUGUCGAUUAUGGCACCAUGGUUUGGGGCAUUCUUCCUGUUUGGUGCCUUCACUUUCCUUCCUUUUCUCUCACCUUUAUUCUCUGCUCCUCAGAAAUCUCUUCCCCACAUUCUUUCUAGUCCUGCCUCUGUCUGGAAGUCACCCCAACACCUGCGCCUUCCCUCCUGAGCUUCACUUCGUCUGGUAUCUUACACACUUGUGAAUCUCAGUAACAGUUCUCUGAGCAUUUGUGACGUAAUCAAAGAUACAUUUAGAAACAAAUUAUGGUAAAAUAUUUAAUAAACUAUAACGAUGUGCUUCAUUCAGGGCUUAAAUGUUGCUCCAGGGCUACAAGUGUUCUGCUCAAAAAUAAAAAUAAAAACAUUCACUGCAGGUCAACUUGUGUCUUAUCGAUUGCUCAAGUGUGUUUGCUCAGCGUCCAAGUGUUGUCUCAUUAUGUGAGUUUGACAGAAUUGUGCUGUCUGUCCUUUUAUUCCCCUUGUCAGCUGCUUGCAGAGGCUAAGACUAACAUUCCCUCACUAUGGGUUCAGCGACAUUGCAGAAUACACUUGAGUUAUAAAUAGGGCUGGGGUGAGUCGUCAACAUAGUCAACACAAAAAACAUGCGUCGGCGCAUUGCAUGAUGACUUAGACAAUGGCUACUUCAGGUAAUGGUGGCAGCAUGGACAGCAAACAAGCUCCACCCAAUGGAGUCGAUUUAAAAUCUACUUUAGCAUGAUCUAUGAGCAGCUCCUCUCAAUCGAUAGAUGUGUUCUUCCUGGCUUCCCCGUUCACAUUUCCAAGAUCGUGCUGCUUUCAUUCAGGGAGACACGCAGUGACCUGUCAAUCAAAUAACCCACUGCUGGUGCAGCAAACACCAAAAUGGAUGCUGCAUCAUACGCCCUGCAUCCCAUAUCUAAUUCAUUCACUUUCAACAGUUAUCUCAGAGUUGAAGCAUCAGUUUUGUGUAUUCAUUUGUCCUAUAUCGGUGUAUCGGACAUGGUAGUAUGCAGCACGGGGGCUCCACAGGGGACAGUGCUCUCCCCCUUCCUCUUCACCCUGUACACCUCUGACUUCAGCUACAACUCUGGGAGCUGUCACCUCCAGAAGUUCUCUGAUGACACAGCCAUCGUCGGAUGUGUAUUGUCAGGGGAUGAGCGGGAAUACAGGACUGUCAUCACUGACUUUGUCAACUGGUGUGGCACAAACCACCUCCAGCUCAACGCCAGUAAGACAAAGGAGAUGGUUGUGGAUUUCCGCAGGAGGGGGACACCUCAAACAGUUCCAGUGAACAUACAGGGUCUGGACAUCGAGAUGGUGGAGUCCUACAGAUUCCUGGGUGUCCACCUCAACAACAAACUGGACUGGUCAACAAACACAGACGUUCUGUACAAGAAGUGCCAAAGUCGUCUCCACCUGCUGAGGAGACUGAGGUCCUUUGGAGUGUGCAGGACUCUGCUCAGGACUUUCUAUGACUCUGUGGUAGCAUCUGCACUUUUCUAUGCAGUGGUCUGCUGGGGGGCAGGGAGCACCGAGAGGGACAGGAAGAGACUGAAUAGACUGGUCAGGAGGGCCGGUUCUGUCCUGGACUGCUCUUUGGACUCCCUGGAGGAGGUGGGUGAGAGGAGGAUGUUAACAAAGCUUGUAUCCAUCAUGGACAAUCCCUCUCACCCACUGCACCAGACUGUGGGGGUUUUAGGCAGCUCCUUCAGCAGCAGACUGAGACUCCCACCCUGCAGGACGGAGCGCUACUGCAGAUCAUUUCUCCCCUCUGCAAUAAGACUUUACAAUGAACAGUAACAAAACUGAUUUUACACCACCACUUUUUUUAUGGCAUUUAAAUUGUGUAUAUUGUAGAAAGCUUUAUUUUUUCUUCUCCCUUUUCUAAUUUUUUUCUUAAUUAUUACAUUUAUUUAAGUUCUUAAUAUUAGGACCCUUAUUGUUAUAACUGCAUUUUUGCACUUUUUGUCUUGUCUGUGAUGCUGCUGUGACAAAAAAAUUUCCCCCAUGGGGGAUCAAUAAAGGAAUAUUCUAUUCUAUUCUAUUCUAUUCUAUAACUUGCUAAUUAAUCAGCUGUGUGAUCCCUGACGAUAGCUCACUAAUGCUAAUACUCUGCGCACGUGAGCUCCACUGCACAUAUGAAUACUGAUACACACGAGUCCGAGGCAGAGCCACAUAAGAAAAAAAACCUUUUUAGAGUGUGGCGGCUUUUAUUUAACCGUGGCAGUGCGCCACGAUUGAUUGCAUAGAGGGGACACACUGUUAUCUAGCGCUGUAUCUUCCUCAGCAAUGUAAACAAACGUGUUGCCAGGAGUAUGCCGACUGCGGCCCACAAUGCAUUGCGACAUAUUGUGCCUUUUUGGUUGGCUGUGUGGCACCGACAUUCACACUAUUAAAUAAAAGACGGUAUGAAUGUUAUCUAUUGUUACUUGACAGUCGUUGUAACUAUGAGUAAGGUGUGCAUGCACCUGUUAAGGGAGGCUGUUAGCAACGAUGACCUAUCAGGCUGGCGCACUCACAGGCUGUUUACCAGAAAAUGGUAUACUGCGGUUCACAGUAUGUUGCCCAGCACUAAGUGCAAGCUUUUGGCAGAGUGUUACUUAACGUUGACUUAAGAUAAGCUAAAAAGCAACGUUUAGUGCUUUGCAAAUGUAAAAAAGCAUUAAAAAUGCACUGAUUUUUGUUUUGUUGGAUUUCAAGAGAACCUUGAAUAUAUCACUGAAUUAAAUACUAAUAGGACACAUUUUAAAUUUUUAUUUUGGUUAAAUUCAUUGUUAUAUAAUCAGUUAAUAAAAAAAUAUCAUUGGAGUAAUCAAUAAAUUAGUCAAUAGAUUAGCUGACUAAUCAAAAAAGUAAUCGUUAUAUUAAUCGAUAAAAGAAUAAUUGUUAGGUGCAGCCCUAGUUAUAAACACAACACAGUAGCCCAGUGGUUAGAUCAGCAUCUGCAAGCUUAGAUGCAAUUGAUUGCUCACAUUAGCCACACUAUCAUAUCACUGUCACUCCACAGUGCAGGGGGUGUGGGGUUGUCAGGAGCUUGUUUGCUGCAAGGUUUUGCCCCCACUCAUUUGUUGACUGGCUGUCCUGGGUGCCACUUUUUUGCUAAGGUAAGACAUUAAAGUCAUUAGCCAGUCUUAACUGGCCUACAUGUAGUAUUUCACAACUCAUCAAACACAGUAUGGAUCUGUAUACCAACUCCUGACCCUAUUAAAAAUAAUGAUGGCAGUCAUGAAAACCAGACAUCAGAAACAUUUCUAAGAUGAGACAGAGAAAGGACACAUAUCAAACUGACUCAGAAAUGACAUUAUAACAUUAAAGUUAAUAGAUUCUUGACACUGGUUUGAAGAGCACGGAGAAUAACAGCAGGGAGUAUUGUUUCGACGAGGGGGUCCCAAAGUUCCUCAUCUUUUUACCGUGGAUGUUUACUGUGGAAAGUUUGUACUUCCUGUCUGUGUGCAGCUCACUCCUUUGUUAAACACUGACACGGUGGCAGUGGUGACAGGUGUUGGAAUAACUUUACAGAAAAAAGUCAAUUUCCUGGAGGUAUGGAGGCUUUUGCAGAUCAUAUGGAGGCGGUGGCUUUUAUCGUACAUCACAUAACUGAGGUCGCCUAUAUUGUAACCUGCUAAAAACUUGUCACUGAAUGUUUCCACACUCUUAGAAGCGUUUGCUUUGAUUGAUUGAGUAGCGUUACAUUAGUAUCCCACCCCGUCAUUAACACCACAGAACCAGGAACUCUGACAUGAGUGCUUUUCCAUCAUGACUGUAUGCAUCAUAUACACAAAAACUAAACACAGUCCCCAGCAUUAAUCCUUACACAAUGGGCCACACUCAAGAAAAACGUUAUUUUCCUCUAACUGCUCAUUCUUGUGGCUCAGUCAUGGUGAAUAUUGUAUUUAUUACUUUUUCAGCCUUCGUAUUUCUUCUCGUUCUUGUAUGACUGCUUUGUACAUGUUUCUUCUUUGUUAUAACUGUGACUAUGAGCUUAUGACAGCUGAAACCCUGGAAGACAGACUUCCCCUUUGACUCAGCUAUAUUGUGUGUUUGAACCAGUUAGCUAACAGCAGUGAGGUGUGAAACACUCUUAGUUGUCUGAGAAAUAACUCUUUAAUCUGCCUGUUUCCCUCAUACAAUCAUGUUUGUUCCCACUGAACAAUAAGCAGCCUAAAAUGGACAAGUGAGUCCAUGAGUUGUUAACACUUAAGUUUAUUUACAGUUUAUCAAUAAAUGAGUUUCCUAGUGUUGAAUAUUAAUUUGAAAAAUAAAUAAAUAAAUUAAUUAAAAAGACAGACAGAUGGGUCCGAUGUUGGCUCUUUUAUUUCAACUUCUUCAAGUUUUAAAACCAAAGAGAUUUCAAGAACUGUAAACAACUCUUUAGCUAGAACAAAAUGAAUCGAGAACAGCAUAAAGGCAAAUCAUGUGCUAAAGGUACAGUUUGUAGAAAUGGGAAUAAAUUGGGACAUCUAGCUUAGAGAUAAACUGAUUAAUCAGUCCGCUAAUUGGGCUGAUUUUUGGCAAUUUUGACACUGUCAGGUUCAUACCAGUAUCACAAGGCUGAUAUCACCGUUAUCUAUUCAAGUGUAAUAUGCAGCUGACAGCAUAUCCAAUCUAAAACAGUCCCAUCCAGUCUUUAUAUAAAAUCAUUAGGUACAGAAUUAAUGCAUUGUUUUAAUAAUGUUAUUAUUCACUGUGUAAUUUUUUUGUUCGUCUCUAAUUUUAGUUAGCUGGGAACACGUGAAAACUCUGUCUACAUUGAUUUAAUCAAACAUUCACUGGAGUUCAGCAAUGUAUUUCUUAUUUGUUAGUAUUAUUGCACUGCAAAAAAAAAAAAAAAAAAAACACAAUCUGAUAAAAACCUUAUACAUCUGCACUUGACUGACCUGCUAUCUUUGUAUUGGCCUCUUGAAAAACUGAUAUCAGUAGACCUGUGAUUUUCACCAAAGCGAUGAGUGAUAUUUUUUUUAUUGAUUCAACCUUGACAAAAUUGUCCUGACUUUUGGUUGACAGAAACUGGACCGAAACGAUAAAAAGCGAUGACAAUUUAAAAAAAAAACCUAAAAUUCAUUUUUUGUCCAGAGAAUUGGACUAAAUCUGAAAAAACUGCAGAAAUCACUGGGUGAAAGCAGUUUCCAACUGUUAACUGAGAGCAGCGAAAAAGCUGACACUGAAUUUGAACAAGUGAACAAUUCUGUCCGACAUCAGGCUGACAAGCAUUUUUAUCCAGGCUCACUUCACAUUUAAAACAUUUUUUUUUUUUUCCAUGUGCAAUAUUAUGCACAUAGUUUUUAAAAAAUGCCCCCUCAAAAUUUGAGACUGUAGGGGCAAAGGUUCCUUUCAGAAUAUAUACAUUAUAGUUCGCACUCUGAGAUACUUCACAUCGUAUCUUUAACCGAGUAUUCCUUUUUUUGCCGUAUGCUUUACCCAUCCUCAGCUUUAAACUGACCUUUUUCAAGACAAGAUAAAUAGAAAAUGUUUUGACAGAAACCAAACAACUCUGCAGCACUAUUCAAACACCGACUGUGUGCGUACUGUAGGUCUUCAAAGCCAUUUGAAGAUGAUACAGUGUUUUCACAUACCAUGCCCACACAUUUGAGCUGAGGGAAAAGUCGAUUCCACUUCACUCUCUUCAGAGGAAUAGCAAUUUGCUUACAUAAUACUGAGCUAUUCAGAUGUUCAAAAAAGAUAUCUACUUACUCUGCUUACACUGAAAUUUCACCCCUCUAAUAAAGCGCUUCAAAAGGGAGAGUAUCAGUCAUUAGACUAAUGAUAAACUAAAAAUAAUGAAAGACGUUUAAAGCUAUAAAACAGCCCUGUUUUUUUAAAUAAAUAUUCAAAAUAAUACUUUGGCUCAGCAGGGUGAGAAUGUUUUGUCAGAUCUUACUUGAGCCUGAAGCAAUGACUACUUUGUCCACAGGAGGCGCCAAAGUCAACACAAACCAAAACUUUCUCACAUGACCUUUAAAUGUCAAUCAAAAUCAAUUUGUCAUCAAAUAUCUGGACAAAGAUUAGUCGAUAAUUAGAGUACUGUUUACAGCUUCCAAUUUAAACUUGUGUAUGUAAUGAUAGAUAUUAGAUAAAAGCUGUGAUUUCAGCAAUCAAAGAGGCCUUAUGACUUUAACAGAUAAUGACUAGAACUAAUGAUUCCACCAGUGAUUCUUUCAAGAUACAUUUAUAAAACUAUAACCAUCUAUAAUCCAUAACUGUGUUCUGUCAUUUUCCCUAUAGGCUUCAAAGGAAACUUUGAUUAAACCUUCGGGCUGGAUAUAAGUAAGACCCGUUGUCUUUCAUGUUUUUUUGCUUGAAUUAAAUUCUGCGUGUCAGGAUUGGAAUUACAUUUGUUAUUUAUUUAUUUACGUCUGGGGGAAAAGGCAUUAUUUCCAUUUGUUUAUACCCUUUCAGACUGUUUGAAGUGUUUCACAAUUACAGACCAGGCAGAGCAGACAAAUGAUGUUGACGGGGAGUCAGGCCAAGUGGAAGACAGAAAGAAAUUGUACUCUCUGCAGCUAAGAUGGAAAAUAUCAAGCAGUAUUCAACCGAUGACUGUAAUUUAACUGAACCCCUUCAAAGGUACUUGACAAAGCAUAUUAAACAGAGCCUCAGCUUUUGGAAAGAAAAACAAUGACAACAUCCUUAUGGUGCAGCUUCAUCUCAGGCAGGACACAAAUACAGUCAUUAAUCUUGCAAUUUUGGUUUUCAUCUUGAAUUUGUUCUUACGGCUCAUGUAAGAGAGACAACAAGCAUGAGUCUCUGAGAUCAGAGGAGGCCAGAUCUCAGAAUCGAUAACCAGAAUGAAAAAAUGAAAUAAAAAGCUCUCCCUGCAGCUGGGGUUUCUGUUACUUGCAGCUCUUUCAGCCUAUAAGCAUCAUUGAUGUGCCUUGAACCAGAUACCCUCAACCUGCUCAGGCAAAUUUACUCAGGGGCCAAAAUUGCUUAACUAGAAAGAAAGCACCUAUCUUCCCCCACAGUUUCCCUGAGACAGAAAAGUAAAGUAACUUUGUCAGCCAACUCGGCCCACAUAGAAAAGGGGUUAAAAAAAGGCAGAGCCACUCCACACACACACACACACACACACACGCACACACAACAUACAGACAGGCAAUCUGACAGACAAGGUUGGAGAGAAUAGAUGUGGGCAGGUUCAGUGAUUCCGAUGUCAGAGGCGGUCAGAACGCUCUCCGUGUCUAUCCUCUCUCCACUAGACCUUACAUGGCAGUUCUCCUCUCCGGGGUGUUCUGAGAAGACAGGAGGGGCGCCGAGAAGCGAUGUGGAGGGAUGAAGAGGAGGGGGGUGAUGGCAGGUACUAGGGAAUUGUUCCAAUGCCCUUGACACAAGGGAAACGCCUGAAUAAGAGAGAACAAGAGCCAGCCUAUACAGGGGAUCAGAGGAAAGAAAGCCUAAGGAGGAGGCUGUCUGUGCCUUUACAUGAAAGAGCAUUUGUUUGUGUCUUUAGUCAGUGGUAUGUGUGGUUUGUGAUGUCUGUUUGGAUAAAAAGUAUGUGUCUUUUCGUGCAGCUUUGUUUAUGCAUUGUGUUUCUGUGUUGGAAAAUCUAGAUCAGGGCUUGUGUGUCUUUCAUGUCCUCCAGUGUGUGUUAGUUUAGCUGUGUUGAGUUUUUCUGGGCUUAGUUAAUGUACAGUAUGUGUGUUCACUGGCUAAGCCCAGCAUGAGUCCCAGACCAGGGCUUUUCUUUGGACUAGCAGAUGUUUUGCUCUCACCUUGCCAUACCUCAUAAAGUGUGAUGGCUCUGGACCCUGGGGCCAGUCUGGCAUCCACACGCAUGCAAACACACAUGCGCAAACACACACACGCACUCACACAUAUGCAAGCCUACCCCCGUGCUCACCAUGAAACCAUGCAUUCACAACACUCAGAAAUGCCCGCUCACAUAAAAAAGGGCAGAGCUGCGGUCCUCCGGCCUGUCUCCUCACUCUGACAUGCAGAGAGAGAAAGUGUCAAGGACAGAACAAUGUGAAAGUUUGAAAACCACAAAAGCUAAAGCCACAGGAAAGGCAGGCAGGAAACCAGCUCUGACAGUCACUCACAGAGUGAGGAACGGGAAAGUGGACGGAGAACAGUAAAUGUAUGCAAUUUACAAUCAUCCCUGGCUGCUAAAUUAUACGCUCAUGCUCUAGUUGCACAAUGAUACAUUUACAGUUCACCUGAUUAGGUUGAUCAUUCUAUUUCUGGUCAUUUCACUUCUUAGGAGUUAGCAGAUAGGGGGCAAAUCACAAGUUACCAUGGCAUAAGUGUACUUCCUUUAGUCAAUCAAUCCAAUAUCAUCACUGGGACGAGGGUAGAAGUCGGAUUUUAUAUGGCGUAAUCAAGCUACUGUAUGAACAUGGCUCACUAUAACUAUGCAUGCAAACUUACUGAGAGGAAACUUGUAGUAAAUUCAUCAACUGUUGGGAUUUGAUCAGGGAUAAUUACUUUAAGGAGGAUGGCCUCACCUGAUUUGUGUAUCUGAAAAUGUUUGAGUGAUGGGCUAGUUUGGAGAAAAUCUCUAGCCCUGAUUUAUUUCCGCAGAGUUUUGUGUAUUUUAACCAACAGAGGGAUUAAUCCAACAUCACAGCAUCAACAAACUAACCUAAUAAAGAAAACAGCAGCAGAGCUCAUAUACUAUAAUUACCCACUGUAUGUUAGCAGAGGGAGAUAGUAAUGCUGUAACACAAUAUUUCAGCUCAGUUAACAUUACUGUACUCUCUCUCUCUCUAUCUAUCUAUAUCUAUCUAUCUAUAUCUAUAUAUAUAUAUAUAUAUAUAUCUACAGUAGGAAUAAAGUAAGCGGUACUUUUGACAUCACUGUACUCUAUCUCUCUCUCUCUCUAUAUAUAUAUAUAUAUAUAUAUAUAUAUAUAUAUAUAUAUAUAUAUAUAUAUACACAUACAGUAGGAAUAAGUAAGAGGUACUUUUAUAUCUUGAGUCACUAAAUCAGGAGCAAUACAGUUCAACUCUGGGCUAAUUUGGCCAAGACUAGCUCAAUUAAAAACCCUCCAAGAGCUUGUGGAUGUUGGACAGCACCUUUUAAACUCAAACCCACAGUGUGUUUGACUGUUUUUCCACUCAUCAUUUUCAUCUGAAUAAAUGAUCUAUUGCUCGCAGGUAAAUAAACACACACAGCAACAACAUUCAUGUAAAUUGGCACACUGCUUUGGAUUGAAACAGAGUCCAACAGUAUAAACAAUGCUUAAUGUUCAAUAUCAAUUUUUAUAUGAAAGUCGUUAAAUAUUUCAGUGCUUCAGAAACGAAUAAACAGAAAAGGUUUAAGGUCAGCUUGUUAUGGAAGUGUAUAAACUGCCCAACACACACACACACACACACACACACACACACACACACACAGUCAUGGUAGGCUGGUUGGAUACGCAUGACGCAAAAGCACCAUGGUCCAGUGGACAGUCAACACUAAAAACACUGUUGAGAUUCUCAUUAAAACCCCAGAGAGAAAAUCCUUUUUAAUCGUGAGAGCAUUACCCGCUGCUAAUCCCGUGUGGAUUAUAUUGCACUGUAGUGCCAAGGGUAACCACUGGGAGGCAGACAGCUUGUUAUUACCCCUGGACACAUUACACAAUGAUUCAGCUUUCUCUCUUUUUUUUAUUCCAUUUUAACUCUCAAGUGACCUGCAGUGGUGUUGUUAUAUGGCCCCGGGAUCAAGGUCAUCCAGAAGGGCACUGAUUAUUUCAAAGAUAAUACGGUCAAUAUUUUCAUGCUCUGUCUCUUAAGUACAGUAAACACUGCAGCCUUGACCCAAAGAUUAAAGGCAUCAGUGGUUUGGUUGUGCUGUGGAAGUUUGCUGGUUUGAUUCUGCCUGUGCCGUCAUAUAAAAUGAUCCCUUCAAAUUACAAUCAGUUGUAAAAAAUCAGGUUAUCCUUUAUCAUUUCUACUCAAACAAGGGUCGUCUUCACAGAAUGGAUACACUCUCAUCUAUCAGGCUCAGUGUUAAUAUUCCAGGUCCAUUUACUUUCUAUGUGUCCUCCACUACAUCAGGGUGUGCAGCCUAACAUUGCGCACCCCCUUUCAUCUGUAUUUUUGUUUGUAGAGAAACAUGCACUCACAAACACAGCCACACAGAGUGACGAGCUGUCGGCUUUCUCCAUGCACUGUGCUGCUUUCAUCUUUCUAUGUGUCAAUCAACUUUGGCCUAUGUUUUCAUCUUUUUUUUUUGUGGACAUGCAUAUACACAAACCUAACACAAGACAGGCUUUUAUGCCUGUACAGCUAACCGAAUAUUCAAACCCACAAACUUUCAGACUGCUAUCUUCCUGCGACGAGUACAAAGCAACUUGAGGUGCUGGGUUUAAACUUUAGGUUCAUCGUAGAUGACAGUUUGGUAAAAUAAUCAGAUUUCUACUGCCGCUCAGCAGGCAGAUUCCAUCGGUUACGAAAGGGUCCAAAGAUAAAAGACUGCCUUUGAAAUUUUAUUCAAUGCAGAGCCAAGUAUGUCUUUCUCAAUUUAUCCCGAACCCGCUCUCUAACCCCUGACAAAGUCCUGCACACAUACAUAUUGCCAGCAUGCAUGCUUCUCCUGUAGCAAAGACACAUGAGGGCAUUGUGUCAUCCUGACCCACAUCAAAACAUUUAAACGUGACGUUUAAAUUUAAAUAUGUGAAAAAAAAGCACAGGCCUGCACACAAAACGCACACACACACACACACACACACACACACACACACACACACACACACUAACACACACACACAGCCUGGGCCCCUGUCAUUAUUUGCCUCGUCAAAGUAGAUCAUACAGACAUUAAUUGAGAAUGUAAUCAUGCUCUGAGCCCACGGUUCAAAGGAGCUGAUAAUAAGCUGUGAUAGGUCCAGCUGAUGGAAAAAGCCAGGCAGGCUGUCAGCACGCACGAUGCUAGGUUUAUAUGUUUGUGUGCAUGAUGGCCUGUGUGUGUGUGUGUGUGUGUGUGUGUGUGUGUGUGUGUGUGUGUGUGUGUGUGUUUGAAGGAGAGAGAGAGAAAGAGUUUAUACAAAGUGAAAUAAAAUUUGAAGUUUGAGGUUAACAUUCACAGUUAUUGUAAGGACCAAAAACAGACUGUCUAGUUAUUAACAGUCUGUACUACCUGUAGACACCUCUGCUAUAAUUAGGUGGUUCACAUCAUCACAUCAUCACAUCUGACUCUCUAAAUUUUCUUUUUUAAGCGCUUAAAGAUAUCUCACCAGCCUUAUCCUCUGAUGGAAACAGUCACACCAGUCCAAGGGCUCAUUUCUUCCUUUAAUAUUUUCUCUGCUUUGGUUAAACAGAUAAAAAAAAAAAAAAAUACAGAGAAACAGAACUGGACUUUUUCAUUUAUGAUAAACCCCUCAAUUCAAAUCCCUAAGUCAAAAGAAAUGCUCGGGAUAACACCACACUCACUCAGCCAAUGAGAAAAAGCCUUAAACCUCUGAUGAUAUGGACAGAAAGUCUGCAUCCAAUAUUAGCAAGCUUAACUCGGUCUUAUAUUAAUUUGUUAGAUAAUGGCUUCUCCCAUUUUGCUGAGGUGAUGGGAGAGCAAACACGCCUGGCUCACCUUGCAGCUCUCUUGCUCGUAUAUCUUGUCCUGCCCCUUGACCAAUGGUAGCUACAGAAAAGUGAUGUCUGUCUAUACUGACCUGUUAAAGACAGCUAAUCAACACAUAUUAAAAAAACAAAGUGGACUGUUCUACUUCAUGUUGAGGAGCGCGGCUCUCCUGACUCAGCAAUAAAAUAAGUGCGAACAAAAUUGGGCAACUUCACUGUGGCUAAAUACCAUAAAAACUGGAUCUAUCUUUAAAAACAACCUCAUCAUUCAAGCCUAUUGCUGACCAUUCACAAGAGACUAAGAAAUAAGGAAGCCCUGAAGCUUUGCCAAACAAAAUUCUUGUAUUAUGCCCAGCAAAGGGUAAAAAAUAAUGAAUCCUCUUGAAAACACUCAAACAGCUGAGCCAAGAGAUCAAAAAGCCAAAAAGAAAUCAAACAAAUGAAAAUGAAUGGAACAACCAUCACUGGAAAGGAUGAAAUGGCUCACAAAUUAAUUAUAUGUUUUAAUAUAUCAGGAGAUAAGCCAGGCCACAGAAGAGCACAAAUGACUGACAAAUAACACGAAUAUUAGAGUAAAAGCAGCCCAUUCCUUUUGUGUUAAAACAGCAAAUAUUACAAAAGUAAUUAAGACCGUUUAUGUCUGUGAGGCAAAACAUUUAAAAACUGGAUGCAUGAUUGAUGAAGGAGCACUUCUUCAUUGAUAAGACCUGUGACCCACUUCUUUGUUCAUUAACAAAGUCCAAUGAACUCCCAAAUAUCUGAAAAAAAGCUGAUGUUAUAUCAAUCUUUGGAUCAGGGGGAUUGUGAUUUGAUUAGUAAGUGUCCCUGAUAUUAUCUGAUGCUGUAUAUUCUGGUUUCAUGGUGUAUGUGAAAGUCUGUUGAAAAUUAGUAGACGUUUAAAAACUCUUGCAGUGCAGUACAUCCGUUUCAUGUUUUGUUUUGCAGCUGUGUUAAAUUGCAUCAUGUCUUUCUAAUAAAUAAAUAAAUUCAAAGAUGGAGUUUGCAGAGGAGUGAUUUUUCUGUUUGUUUUUGCAUGACACAGAGGGAGUUACAGAGCUAGGUUGAAAACAGUAUCAGUGGGGGAACCGGGUAUGUUAUAUGAGCAGGAAAUAACUCAUAUUUCAUACUGAGGAGAACAAAGUCUUUAAUCAACAGCGAUUGGAAAUGUCCAACUACUUCUUUUUUUUCUCUGAGCAGGAAUUAAGAUCCCCAAACAUGUAACAGGGACAAUUUAAGACUAUAAUAGUCUUUAUUAUUGUUCUGAAAGCGUUGCCGCUGCCUUAACGGUUGUUAUGCACCGCUCCAUUUCAAAUCAGCAUUGUCUGGCUAAGAAAAGCAAAGCCAGCAUAAUGGAGGGCUCUCUGGUCUGCAGUUAUACUUAUGGAGUCAAAGGAAACCAAAGAAACAAAGUUAAGAAGAGUAAAGUCAUGGAUUCAGCUACAAACAAUCACAGACCAGAGAGAACCAUAGUGAUCAGCGCCUAUGGCAUGAGUCGUAAAAAGCAGCGCACAGCUUCCUGCACCAUUAGCUGAGCACUGACAAAGGAAUAGAUGGAACAAAGUUUGGAGAAAAGUAAGAGAUUAACCUAAAACCUUUUAGUUUGUGGAGGACUUGAGACAUCUAUGAACAAUGCUAAUGUUAGCCGCCAAGUUUUCUAAUUUUCUAAAAAAUUGUAGUGAAAGUUGCAAUGAUUUUAGGCUUCUUUUAUGAAAACUACAGGAACAUACGCAAUUGCAAAUAUGCUACAAGUCUUUCGUGAGUUUUUAGCCUUAAACCAUAAGAUUAAUGCGUGAUAUUUCCCACACAGUGUGCUCUGCAUUUCUGAGUGAUAUCUGAAACACAGACAGCCACACAAAGAGACAGACAGGCACGAACAGAGACUCACAGCUACACAGGGCAGCCAAACUUGGGUUGCAUUUUAUCUUACAAUCUAGAUUAGAAAUUAACAUAAGCACCAAGUUGAAUUACUAUUUGUUUUUGUGAGCUUCAACUCUUUCACACACACCCGCGCUCCCUCACACACGCACGAGCGCGCAAUAGAUGAUACACAAACGAAAGCAUGCCUCCACAAGUUAUUUAUUCUUCACUUACACUGCCUUAAAGAGUAUAUCCGCGCUUACCUUGAGCCUUUCAGCUCCUGUAACAGCCCCUGGAUGUCCUCUUUGAGUUUCAGCUGUUCUCCCUGCUUAUUUUUCGGUUGAGAAGUGUCUGUCCAGUGAUGACCGUCAUUUGUGUUCCACCACAAUAUUGUCUUCCAUGUAACAUUUCUGGAAACUGGCUUGCACGAACACUGGCGGUGAUACUUGUUGACAAAUGUGUGAAUUCAGUGUCGCACAUGUCUUCAUCUUCUCAACGUGCACAAGGAAGUGAAUAUGAUGAUAAAGAUGUACGUAGAGGGGUCGGGCGAAAAACGGCUAAGUUGAUUGGUCAAAUUCACGGAAAAUUCACGGCGAUUGGACGAAAUUGCAGCGCCUCGCAGAAUUCGGGGUGAUUGGUUAAAUUUGUGUUAAAACCAUAGACUGUAUACCCUCUACCUAUGGCCAUAGCGCAAGAGACCAUAGCAAGAGAUAUAUAUUUUUUUAUUUUUAUUAUUAUUAUUAUUUUUUUUGUAGGAUGGCAAAGGAAGGGCCCGCCUCCUUCGCCUCUGAUUGGCUAGAAGUGCUGGGCCCCAAUUGGUUAUUCCUUACCGCUGUGAAACGUCAUCACACGCUCAAGCCGUACGUGGGCUGUCGGCUCUUCCGCAAUCGUUAAUCUCGUUGAGUGAAAGAAAGAAAAUAGAAGUUACAGUGAGUCAGUGCCAUCAGAUUGUUACCAAUUCCACAUCUUUAUAGCCUGUUAAUAUCCAAACGUGUGUUUAAAAACACUGAAUCUCUGAUAAAACUCUCCUAGCUUUACCUUUGCAAGCUAGCACAGUUAAAGGUAACUUGUAGCCACACAGAAAACUGAUGAUUAAGGGCUACCAUGUCAUGCUCAAUUGGUUCAUACUAUCUUCUCCAGAAACAAUUGUUUUUCCAUAGUUCCCUAUGCUUGGUAGACAGCAGAUAACUGGCUGUUCAGUAUACAUUCUUUAUUUGAUUAGCUUGUGCGUGGCACACAGCUUCUGAACUCUCGGGUGAAAGAGUGGGGAUGUGUGUGUCACAUGCCCAAUGCGUGAGACUUGAGAGCCCUGUAAAUAUACCCUCCAAAAUGAGUUCCGAGUUCAGCCAUCACAAUCACGGCUGAGCAGAUGAGAGACGAUUACAUUUCACAGCCAUAAGCUUAACCAAUCGGAGCCCAGCACUUCUAGCCAACCAGAGGCGGAGGAGGCGGGACCUUCGUUUACCAUCCUAUAAAGACACAUCGCUGCCGGCGCUAUGUUUAUGCCUGGAGGCAGGAUUUUUUUUUGUAAAAAAGGAAAAAGGGACCAAAGCUUUCAGACUUUAGGCAUUUUCUGACCAUUUUACAGCCAUAACAACAAGAUAUCUCAAAAUCGCCUUUGCAGCCUUAGUAGGUGUAAUAGCUGCGAUUGCAACAUUGCAAAUUCCUGGAGGUACUGAUAAAAUAAGACAAAACUCUAUAAUACUAGUGUUAACUGGAGUCUGUUCAGCUGUUUGGGCACAGCUGGUAAAUAUUUAUAGCUAACGUAUAAUAAAAAAACAAAUCACAAAGACCUGUUAUAAUACACUCCUUUAAACAAACACAGAGCAUGGGCAGUUUUCAUGAUUUGAGCAGAUGCCUAAGCUAUUUCUGCAGAAAGCUAACCAGCUGCAGCAGUCAGAAGUCCUCUCUGAUGGGGCCAAAGGGAGCAGGAGCUCUUUGCAGCCCUUCUGUUAUUCUGUCCUGUUCUCUGCCACCUCUACAACAUGCACUGGCUGUCCUGGAUGGUGUGAGUGGGGGGAGUGUGCCUCUUCAUCAGAAGGAGUAGACACAAGACAAAAAUCACUUGGAAACAGCUUGGACAGUAAGAAAAGCCUUAUAUUCAGUGUUGGUAAGGCAGUCAUUUACUGUACAUCUCACCAAAACAAGCAGACACAUGAAACAAAAUGGAUUUUAUUGCACUCCAUCAUUUGGGGUACAUUUAAAUUGCAUCAAGAGGUUAGUCUAAAACAUUUAUAAAGGUUCAAAUUCUUUGUAAAGUAACAUCAUGAUUACACCCAGGUUCAAAUUAGGUCCUCUACAAGACUUUAAACCAGUGCCACCCAACACACAGAUCUUGUUUUGUAGUUGUUACAAUGGCGUGUAUGUGUAUGUGUGUCCUCUUGCAUCUGUAUGUGUGAGCAACCACUCAAGCCGCUAACUUGUCUUGUAGCCGGCUCUGUAUUCCUGGCACUGCUGUGGUCGAUAAGACAGAGGCAUACAAUAUUAAUGCAGCCUUCUACAGUAGUUGGUAAGAGCCUCGGACAGCCUGCGCUACUGUUUCAGAGAGAACUGAGAACAAACACAGACCCUGGAACACAGUGGAGAGGACGCACCCAGGAAUCAGAAGAUAAACACAAGUGAGGAAAGUGGCAGAGAAAAGUUUAUGGGUGGGGGGGUGAUGAGCACAUGACAGACCUAAAGAAAAUAAAUGAAAGAGCAUGGAUGGAAAAUAUGACCAACAGAGGGCACUUACAGGUCAAGAGAGGUGAAAGCACUGGAUGGAAGAGAGUAAAAGGUAAAGAAAGGCUGAGUGAGGAAAAUGAGAAGGGGAUGAGUGGGUGAAAGUAAAGGUGGUGAUCAAAAUGAGAGCAAGGUGACAGGCAAAAAAAGGAGGUAGUGAAAAGCAGAAGUGAAAAGGUGCAGGUAAAGCAGUUCAACAGAGAAAGAGAGAGAUUGUAUAAGCAGCUAAGGGGGAGGAAUGAUGGACAAAGUGAUAGAUGUGGUGUGAUCGUCGGGCUUUGAUAAUGAUUGGUAUUGAGGGCAAAAUAGCAAUUAGAUGAAGAACAUAAUUACUCAUUGUAGGUCACCUAAUAUCCAGACAGGAAUGAAUACAUUUCAAAGUGUAGCAGGUGGCAGAGAGGAAACAGCUAAGUCUAUUUUCUACUGAUGUGUCACUCCCCAAUAGAGUGCAUACACAUUUACUCACCCUGGCAUAGCCUCUUUAGCCGUUGCCUAGCAACUUUGAAGCAAUUAUGAGCAAGGGGUGUCUUUAGCCUGACAGAAUUUAUGAGUUUUGGGGAGAUGCUCACAGUUUACAUGACUCUAAAAUGACAGCACACAGAACCCUGACCCAAAUCUGCACACUUUCCUUUAACUGUUUUAUAUUCAGCUUUGCUUUUAAUGUGAAAUCAUUGAGAGGAAGUUUUGGUAAGUCAGUUCUCCCUAAGUGGACUGGAUUUCUCAUGGGAGUGUCUUAACUCUUCUGGAUGUCUCUCAUUUCUAUAUUACUUACUGCAUAUGGCAAUCUCUUUUUGGCUCACUCUCCUACUGCCUCUCAUAGUGUAUCCAGUAGAGCAACUCCAAAAUGAUUUAAAUGUCAAGGGUUGGUAAUUUAUUCAUGUUCUUUUGGUAGGUUAAUGAUUGCAAACCAAGAGCAGAGAAAGAAAAGCGGCAACCUCCAGCUCAAGUUCAGCAACAUUUCCAAGAAACGGCAGUUAAAUUAUGGCCUUUCAACAUGUAAAUUCCCUUGGCUGUGAAGUUCACUGAUUUGUCAGCAGUGCUUUUGAUGAAAGCUCGCAUGUAGCAUUUCAGUUAGUGCCUGGCAGCAAUGGGGUGGCACUGUUAUUUUGCAAAUAGAAGAUAGAGGGGGGCUGGGGGGUGGGGUGGGAGGUGGGCGGUGGGGGACAUGAAUCUGCAUUUGAGUAAUUCGGUUUCCGGUUGGGGUUUUUUGUCACUGUCUGCCAAAGUUGUUGUCAGGGAGGGAGAGUUAUGUGUGGAAAAAGCGCAUAACUCAAACCCAUUACGGCUUGCUUUUAGCAUCGAGUAACAUUGAAUGAAGCACACUGGUGCUGCACUUGAUAGUGCAUUAUCAACUGUGGAGUGGACGAAUUGUGGCUUUGUCUGUAUUCAUAUCCAUUUUAAAAGUCAGUGUAGUUGUUAAUUUAAGGGAAAGAGAAAAAGGGUGAUUUUCAGUUUAGCUCUGAAAUCUGUGUUCUUGUAUCUUAAAGCCUUUUAUUUUCUAAGUUUAGCCGCUAAUGUUCCUUUAUUACAUGGCAUUUACAAAGAUGGACUUGAUUUCACUUGGUAGCACUCAUGACAUGAAACAGAAUAUAUGAUUUACUUACUGGGAAUCUCUGAACAGCACGGUCCUUUAAUGUUCGAAACUCACAGCAUGUUACAAACACAUAUGCAAAAAACAACUCCAUAGGUGAAACAAAACCGUACAACUGCAGGCUGAUUAGACAGACAUGAAAAGAGAAAACUGCAUCAGCUACUUUAUUGUAGUGAUUCACACCUCUCCAUUCAACAGCUCCUCAUUUCAAACCUCACCACACAAACACACAUGUGCUCUCAUAACUCCCCCUUCAGCCCAUAAGUGUUUGAUUUCAUGCUUUUUAUUGGAUUCUUCAUAUUGCUAACACCGCAUCCAUCUACUCACAUUGACACUUCAAACCGGGGGGGGUCAACAAUUACCAAGCACUGCUUUGUACAACAGAAACACCUCCUCUUCCUCACUCUUUCGCUUUCAUUCUUCCUCUCUCUUUCUCAUUUUAUCUCCUAACCCCCUUUCCUUCUUUUUGUUACCCUGUGAAUGUUGUUUUUUUUUUCUUCGCAUUUACUUCACUUCCUAUUAAUAAAAACAUACGGAGUAUUUUAGAUCUUAGAUCAGCUGGCCAAAACAGCUGCUGUUUGAUCCCUCUGUCAUAUUCAAUGUUCUUGGUGUCACUACUGCAUGAACUGCUUGAUCAUAAAGUUGAUGAUGAGUUAGUUUUCUUGGAGAUAUAGGGUAGCCUAGGGCUGAAAGAGUGCAUAUAAAAGGCUGCCAGUGAUUAAUUAUUCUGAUUUUUUUUUUUAAAGACUCAACAUUGACAUUGGAUAGUUCAUGGACAGAGCACCUGCCUUCAGGGGUAGUGGUUUACAUGAUUUAAUGAAAAAGCCUACUGUCCAUCUUCCUUUUUCCCUGGUGUGCUAGCUUUUGAAACACUUUUUUAAAACUUUUUUUUUACAGAUAACUGGGAGCAAAAUAAUGUCAAAGUGAGGACCUGAAUUAAAAAAAAAAUCUGCAGCCUUUGUGCCUACUAAACCUGUCUAAAUCAGCCAGAAACAGCUUCAGUAAGGAGAGUUGCUAGUGGCUGUUGUAGUAGUCGCUACAUGAUGACAUCGCCUAAUUUCCAUAAUUUUUCAGUCAAACCAGACUUGUACCUGAGUAUCAUCGGCACAAUUUUCUCAGUGAAUAACACCUACUUACCUCCUCAGAGUAAAACUGCUAUAAGGAUCUAUUGUGGCUGUGUUACUUUUCUUGGUGCCUUUCAUUGUGUCAUGGGUCUCUUUUAGUCCUGGGAAUUUGACAUGUCUGGACAUGCCCAUGUUGUUAACGCAGUACGCUGUGACCUCUGAGCAUCAACUGCAAAAUCACUUUAUAGUGUGUGGCACAUUUUAUGAAGUGAAACCCUUAAAUAUUAGAGUUACCAUUUCAUUGGACUUGUUUUCAACUAUUCUGUCCACAGCUGUAGAACAACUGGACAAAGUCAGAGUUACCCUUUUCUUCUGCCAGAGGCCAGAGACACAUGUCACAGUGAAUAAGCAUCUGUGUCAUCAAACAUUCAUUUCCGACUCACAACUUCUGCCCAACAAACUGGAUAAAGUUGAGGGAGAGGCCCUGCUUGUCUUCAUCUUAUAUUUAAACUGUGUUCCGGCUGUGCAGGGGGAUUACUGGAUCCUGCCCUGCAGCUGACAUGCCUCUGACUCCUCAAGGUACAUCGUGACAGAAGACUUUCUGGGUGAAGUAUUUGUGUUGACACAGCCUGGUUUAACAAUGUGAUAACGAUUCAACUACAUGCUGAAGCAGAAAAUGCUGGUCUGAUACGAAAACCAACCCUUGCACAGGAUCAUAGUUGGUCUUUGCAUUCCAAGUGUGUAACAGUUGGUAGGAAAGUUCCUUUAUUUUCUAAAAUCGCAGUAUAUAUCGCAGGGUUUUAAAAAAAUUGCAACGUUGGUUUUUUCAAUGUCGUGCAGCCUCAUUGGUAAGCAUUCUUGGAUAGUUUGAAAUCCAACAUCCAUUCUGCGAAACUCUAGAAAAUUCCUGCAUGAAUUAAAAAGGGAUAUCCUGCUCUUGUCAUCAGUAGAAUUGAUGACUAUUCCUUAUACAUUAUUAACAGCACAGCCCUGGACAAAAACAAGAAGAAGGAGAAGAAGAAAUGCCUUGAAGGUCAGAAGAUUUUUUUUUUUCUCACAGCUUAAUGUUUCUGACUCCAAAUGUAGGUAAAUCCAACCCCAUCCUGCUUUGUUUCCAUCAUUCAGUCAACACAGUGCAGUCCUUAAGCUUCUUGUGUGCGAUCGCGACCACCUCAAGUGGGAUUGAAUUGAUCAGUAAAAAAGUCAGUGAUGCUCCUCCACCACCGUCACUGAGCCCAUCUUUACCUGCACCAUUACUUUGUGUUAAGCUGCAGAUGCUGUGAAGGACAGAAGCAGAGAUUUUCUAAAACUUAAUUUAGGAUAGGACACUCUCUGGAUCCAUUUUCAUGCUCCUUCAGUGCAUGGUAUGAUUAUUGGAUAGUGAAAAUACAGACUGAAGAAGUUUAUCUGCUACACUCCCACCCAGCGCCAACUGACAUGCUUCCUGUCUGGCACUGAACAAAAUACUUCUCCCUUCAACACUUUAGGACUCUUUGGCGAGCUGCCUUUCUGUCAGAUUUAGCCAGCUAAUGAAUGAACAUGUCAAUCACGCAUUAAAGCCUGUUCCCAGACAGUAGCAGAAUUACAUAUGUGGAUACACUUCCACAUUUUGACAUCCAAUUGACAGACUGCUCACAAUCACCCUUCAGCUUGAGGAACAAAAAAUUUCUAAUAAAUCAAAGAAACUGCAUGAAGGUUGCUGAGGACAAUGCAUGGAGCUGACGGCGAGGCCACCAGCAUAAUGCACACCAAUGCAUCUGCAAAAUCAAGUGCUUGGGUAUUCUGAAUGUGCCUAGAAAUACUUGAGUGAAGUGUAGCCAGGGUUCAACAACUUAAAACACAAAGGAUAAAAGUUGGCUUGACUAACUCGUAGGUUUUUUUGAAUAACAGAGGGUUGUGGGAUUGUACCUGAAUGACCUUGGAUUCCUGAGUGAUAUAAAUUUGGCCUUCAUCCUGUCAAUGAAAUGGAAAACAUACCUGUUCACUGUGAUUUAGAGGUCUGCCUACUGGCUUGGUUAUAAAUCCUUACAACAUGGAAACAUGAAAAACACAUGUCAAUUUUGUCUUUAUAGUUACUUCCUAUCAUGAUAAUGUUUUUCCAAAUGCUUUGAUUUUAGUUUACUUAAGUUAGUUGCGCAUUAGUGGACUACAUUCAAGGUUAAUAAACAAAAACUUUUAAUGUCAGGACAGUCUUGAGAAAUUCUUUAUUGGCAUUUAUAUGACUGUUUAAAUUUAUGUUGUCAAAGUAUGUCUCUCCAACAAGAGAGUCACAGCAGGCCAGGUAGAGUGCAGCAAAUGCAGGUAUAGUGGGGGAUGGUAGGGCUGAGGCAAUAAAGAGGCUCAUGAACAAGUGUGUCACCCUUUGUUACACAGAGAGAGUGUUUGGUGGCAUCACUGCAAGGAGACCUCAGAGACACCAGUGGUGAGGAGAACUUAAUUUCGAUCAAAUUAACAAAUGAGAUAACUUAGAGUGAUUAAGAGAUUAAAUGUUUAUGUUAAUUUAUAAUUUAAGCCCUGUGCAUUUAAAAUAUAGUGUUUAAAUUAAUACAGUGGCACUGGUGGUUUAGAUCUGACACUUUUUGGUUUAUUUCUGGUCUCUUUUGUAGUUUAAAUUAAUGUGAACCAUCAUAGAGUAGAAUGAUUUGAUUUAAAUUGACCACAUCAUUAAAUAUUAAGUUUGGAAUUCACCUUAAUUAUGAAUUGGUUACAAUAAGUUCAAGUGGAUUGGUUUAAAUCAAAAUUAAUUAUAUUAAGCAUUUAGCAGGAUUUAAAAUGAGUGGGUGUAUAAUUUAAAACUGUUUUAAAAGCCAAAUUGAUUUUGAGAUCAAUUUAAAUAACUUAAAACUUUUAAAUAAUUGAUAGCUUAUCCAUGCAUUUGAUUUGUUUAAUUCUUAAAUUCAAUUACCCUUUUUGGAAUGAGUACUGAUGAGUUAAUUUAUUUUGUGCCUACUUAAUGACAGCCAGAUUUUUCAUUUACUCCCUUUGAGGUUAUCAACCCUCUUCUGCUACUGGCCACCAACACCAAUAAAAGGAAAACAAAAGCAAGCUGAGUUGUCUACCGUGUUCUCUGUUGAUCUCCCGGCCUUGGGCGAGUUGGGGGAGGGAAUGAUGCCAGGAAAAAGGGGAAACUUAAUUCGACAAUUAACAAAGCAACAGUUUUUAAAUCAUCAUUUUUUCUCACGUUGCUUGAUGACAUUGUCCUUGUUGAUAGAAAUGGGAAUUUGGAGUAUUAGUAAUUAGAGUAAUUGUAAUUGUUUUAGUGCUAAGCUCAGCACUCAAAAGUCCAAAGCUGCAAAUUCAGAUGCUACAACGAACACAAAAAGGGAAGAUGUAAAACAUUUUAACAGCAUGACUACCCAUUAGAUCUACCCAUAAGUCUGACAAUUUAUGUGCACAGUAAAUGAUUUCCUGCCAAAACUGAUGUGAAUGUGUUUAUCUGAAUGUGUCAGAUACCCUGCUAAUAGAGAGAGGAUCAGAUCCUCUUAAUCCGCUCAAUAACCCCCCAACUCCCCCUCCUGGUUUCAUGCUCCAGACACACAGAGCUGCUUUAUUUCCUCUUAAACAAAUUGUAACAAACAAAGAAAGUUGUUUGAAUAUUACACUUCUUGCAUUGCUCCACUGAGCUGUCAGCUUUACUGGAGGCAUUUGAACCAACUUUUAAUGAAUUCUUCCUUGUGCAAUAUACUUAGAAUUCAUAAAACUUUGUGUUGUACUGGUUACACUCCUUUAUUUCUUUAUGUUGAAGCAUGCUUAAGUAUUAUUUGACAUCCUUUCGUAAGAUGGCUUCAAUAUCACCUCUAAUACAUUCAGACUGUUAAACUGAUCUUUGAUUUUUCUUUCUUCUUUUGUUGAUAAUGAGGUGUAGAGUCCUCUGCUUCUUUAACAGUGUCCUUUUCAUCAUAUCCAUCAGUCAUUUUCCUCAGAAACUCUGUGCUAUGUCAGCUCAGUGAGGGCUUUGGACCCCUGGGCUUUAAUUACAAAUAAAACUGUCUGCCCUGCGCUCCUUAAGCUCAUCUGGCUUGGAUUGCUUAAAAAAUAGAUAAAAUAAAACGCCAUUACGAACAGUAUCCUCUUACCAGCCACUAUAUAAAUUGACUUAUAAAGCAGCAGAAACCCCAUAACAGUGCCUGGAGAUAAACACUGCCACCAGUGCCUUAGUCUGCAUUUAAUUUCAAAUGGCCGGCCUUAAUCAAGGCUUCUGUUGCCCCUAGUUACCGUGCUGACCCCUUUAGAGAAGAGUAUCUCCUCUUGUUGGAUGAUUACCCUAAAAUAAGAGCUAUGUUACAAAGAUGAUCAUAACAUUGAUGGAUGCAAAUCAUAAAAAUGUAUGAUAAACUGAAAAUAUGGAAAGUAGGAGUAGCCAAAUAUACUUAACAUUAACUGUGUUAAAGACCCACUCCAGUGAAAAUCAUGUGUUUCUAGUUUUUUAUAUUCAUAUGUAAUUUCAUUUCAUAUGGCAUCUUUCCGCAUUUCUGAUUAUUUCUGCAUUUAAACCACCGUGAAUCUCUGGCAGACUCAAACGGCAGGUUCAGAAACAGUGAGAUUUCCUAUGUAGCAAAUCCAAGCUCCGCCCCUGAAGCCCCGCUGUGCAAGCCAGGCUCGGAGAAAUAGAGAGGACGAUCGCGGAACAAACGUGUGUGUUAGCAGAUUGCAAUGCUCGUAAGAUAACAAAUUAUAUUAGUUUUCAUUGUGUUCCUAAAGACAGUGUCCAAAAGCUGAAUAGUUCCUAUGUUAUCUGCCACUUCUGCUGCAUCAGCAAUGUUAGGCUGCAAGCUAGCAUAAGGCGGAGUGCGCAGAGCAGCGAUGUCUCCGCCCACGGCUCAGAGGCAAAUUGCUAAUUAUCAACUGGAGCUCUGCAGAAGAGAAGCUCUUGAAAAUGACACAGGUAACAUAAUUUAGGCUAAAAACUUGACCACAAUUUGAAGACCACUGAGAACACUGAGACCACUGAGAAACAUUGGAGUGGGACUUUAAGUAUACCUCAAAAAGUGCAUAAAAAGUCAACUGAAAGCAUACUUAGUUUAAAACCAGUAUACUUGAAGUACACUUAAACUUACCUCUUUUGGUAAGAGUUAGACUGUCCCACCCUCGUCCCCCAGAUUCUUAUUCAGAAGCUUGAUGAAUAUCAGCAGCAGGCAUAAUGUUUUGUGAAAGCCACACCAGUGAGUCAUAAAGCCCUUCAUGCUUCAUACAAAGUCAGAUACAGAAGUCCCCAAUGUCAGAAACAGGCAAAAAUGAUUUUGAGGUUUUGUAAAGAGGAGGAGAAAAACUGACUGAUGGAGCAACGUGACAAUGUGGUGUAGAACAAGUGCAGGAUCAGGAGUGGACCUGAGGGAAACUGGACUUAAGCACAGAUGUCCUUGAUGGUAGUAACUGUAGUGGAGGAGGGUCACAGAAAGGAUGUGGCAGAAUCUGAUUGAGUAAUAAACCCCCAUGAACAGCUGAUCAAAGAGGGAGGAAAUCACAAUGUGCAGAAAUCAUCAAAUAUAAAUAAGAAAUAAAUGAGGGAAGAAAGCCCGACUGCUUGAACCUGUGCCGAGCUCCUUUUGUCUGUUUGCAUCCCAGCAGUGUUACCAAAUGUAUGUUUGACGGAAACAAGGUCAUCUGAGCCUUUGCAGUGAACUGUUAUCUAGAUUGAUUUAAUUAAGUUCUCACAAUGAACAUAAUCAGAGGAAUGCAUGGACAAGAUUGUGAAUCUGGACUGUAAUUAUUAUCAUUUCCAUCAACAUGUGAAGUCGAACUUUUGUUUUAUGAAAGAUUUAUUAGAGACUCUGAUGACAGCAUUGUUUUUAGUGAAGCUACUCACAGAUUUACCUCUAUUUUUACAACUGUAACAAAGCAUUUUGUAUGUCUAUAUCACCAGUGCCACACUAUAAACAGUUUCUUCCUGAUCAGCAGUAAAAUGAAAGUGGCCCCGUUUACAUGGGUCCAAAAAUCCUAUUUACAAUCAGAUUGAAAGGUCAAUCAGAUUCAAAAUGUCUCAUAUAAACACCUUAGCCAAUCUGAUUCGCAGAUCUGAUUGUAUUUCGGGUUGGAUUGUAAGAGGUAGUCUACACCGAUUGAUAAUCUGCUCCAUGAUCCAUAUAUACGGCUGAGUGGAGCGGAUUGGGUUUACAGAGAGGCUUGUAAACAGGGCCACUAACAGCUACAUCAAUUAAUAGUGCGUGUUAUCACAAACCUGUCAAUCUUAAAAAUCUUCCAGGUCUUGGAGUUUUUCUCUAGUUUUCAAUCUUGCAAGCCUACUCAAAAACAUUAGCUCCACAGAUGUAAAUAUCCAUUGAACAUAGUGCAGCUUGCAGAGCCUCCUUGUCUGGCUCGACAGCUCUGGCAGUAAGACAAAUUCCUAUCAUCCAUUGUUGAGCUCUCCCUUUUACUCUGAAUGGCUGUUAGGCCUUUUAACCAGCAGCUGCAAUUAACAUGUCAUUUCUUGGCUGUCAAAAGCUGUGUUUGUGUGAGUGCAUGUGUGUGUUUGUGUGUGUGUGAUGGAGAGAGUGUGUCUGUGUGGGGGUGUACAUAGCGGUGUAAUACUGAAAUAAUCAUUUGGACCACAUAGACAGCAUUAAAUGUCUGGAAUGAGAAGCAUUAUACCCAGAGUUCUUCUCUUUACGUCUUUCCAUUUAAUCAGUUUGACAAAGUGCCAGCAGAAACAUGCACCUUGGUUCAACUAAUUGCCAUUAAAGACAAGCUGUGCGUGGUGAGAUCCAUUUCCUCCUGUAGUGUCACAUGUAACGUUGUUUUGAUCUAAUAUAUACUUUUCUCAGUGAAUGUCCAGAAAUGUGUAGACGUAUUGAUGAGAGUCUAAAUAUUUGCUCUAUAGUUCAGUAGUCUUUUAGUUCAUUAGCACAGGGAAACCGUAUUUCUACUGAACUGUUUAGCAUGACUUCAACUCUUCUGUUUUUGUGAAAUAAAGGUAAUGGUUCAGAGAGUGGGUUCAAAAGAACUGUGCGUUACAAGACAUCCCAUAUCAAUCCCCCCUUUCGUAGCAGCAACUGCUAUUUUUCAGUACUUUUUUGGUCACCAGUCUUUAAACUGGGGCUGUUGCAAUAUACCACAAUUGAGGGUAAUCGUCUUUAUUCAUUUAUUAUAUGUUGACAAUGUGCUGAAAUUUGGCUCCAGUGAGUUCAUACAGGUGGUCCUCGACACUGGUUACCCAAUGCCUUACAACAGGGAAAGACGGAGCAGCAGCAGACUGAGGCCCUGUUUAUAUGUAUCCUGUUAUUUUUAAAAACACAGACAUUAACCAUAGUUUGCACCCUUUGUUUUGACACAAAUGGAGAAUUUGCCCCUGAAAACGAUGCUUUUUAAAAACUCUUGCCGGAGUGAAGAUUUUUGAAAACUCUGUUUGCACGUUUGCAUGUAAACAGAGAAAACUGGUGGUCAACAGAGAUUUGGGUAUCUGACGGCAGAUUGUGCGCCGGAAACUGGGUUGAGUGCGGCGUAGUUUACCAUCUACAGUCUAUGUGAUCAUGGAUGCAUACAAAAUAGCAGUCGCAUUUAUGCUGGUGCAAUCCCUUUAUAUUUGUUUGCAUUUUCAUUUAAAUCUUUUCCAAAACAAGGAAGUGACAUUGUUGUUGUUGUUGGUGUUGCUGCUAUGCAGGAUUCUGAUUGACUAACGUGGGCUUGACUUCUUGCUACACUGUCACCUACAGGUUUGGCAUGCUCUUGACGGCAUAUAUACAUGGAUUAUUGUAAAAUGGAAACUUUUCUGAAAAUGUAAUGGUGUGCAUGCAGUUUUUUUUAAGGUGAAAUGUCCAUUUAUGAAAUAGCCAGGCAUAUGUAAACGUAGUCUGUGAACUGGCUUGAAGCAGCUCUAAGCUCUGUUUGCUAUGCUGUCACUCACAAUCCCACGCCCUUCUCAUGCAAUGCCACGCCAGAACAGGGCUAAAAGUUUGAAACUAAAAGAAAAAAUGAUCUGAAAGUGAAAAUAAAAGUUUUGAAGGUUAACCUAAAAAAAAAAAUAAAUAAAUAAAAAAAAACUUAUUGUACAAGUCCAACAAAAACACUAUAGACAGAAAAGAACACGGGGAAUUCACAAAGGCAUGGACAGUACGGACAGUACAGACAGUACAGACAGCAAGGACAAGCUUGCACAAUAAACCAACAAAGAAAGAGGGGAAGACUGUAUACAAACUGGGAAAUGAGCAACAGGUGAGACAGACAAGACACAGGUGAGACUCAUGAGUAAUCAACAAAGGAGAGGAAACUUAGGAAGUAAAACAAUACUUGGCACACAGGGACUGAUUACUACAAAUUAAAACAGGAAACACUGAAAACUAAGAAACUAAACAGUGAAAAACAAAAAUAACAGGAACAUAAGAAUAAUGAACACGGCAACGGGGAACAGAAACACCAGGAAAAAUACACUGAAAAUAAAACUUAUUUACAAAACCAGAAGAAAAAAAAACUCAAGUAACAAGAAAUUCUCAUGGCAGGUAAAGUCUCCAAGUUUCCGUUACUGCCAGUGAUGUUGAUAAUACAUUUGAACAUGAUUAGAAAUGGAUGAUGCUAUAUAUGUUAUCUGUGUGCAUUAGUAAAUAUUAAGGAAUUUCAAAGAAGCAGCUUAAACUGGAUGUUUCAGGCGGGGGCUGAAAUAAUGGUGCAUUUCCAACACAAGGCUUUCUGUUUUUUUGUUUAUCUGAAAACUAUGUAACGCUAUCAAAGAGGUACCACAAAGGAAGUGUUGAGUCUGAGAAAACGCACAAGACUCUGUAUAAAUGUAUGUACGCAUAUUUUAGCUUUUAAAAAAGAAAGAAAGAAAAGUACAAACAAGAAACAACGUAAAUCAAAAUCCCACAUCAACUGGAACAGAGAGGAUGAUUUGUAAUCCCAGAGGAAUAAAUUAGCUCUCUAAUAAUUCUGAUCUAUUAUACUGUCUGUAUCCUCUCUUCACUGUGUUGAUAAAAGCAAGAAGCAUCUCAUAAUUAUGUUUACUAAUCACUACGAUCAAACAGUAACUGAGUUACUCAAUGAGUAACCGCAAAGUUAAAGUAAUCAUUACUACUGCUUGUGUUUGGUCAUCUGAAUAUCUGUUUAGGUUUUUAUCUGUGUUGGAGAUGGUUUGACCUGCUGGCUCUGGUCCCACAGCACCUCUAAGUUUAAGGUGUUGAAUAUAACUUGGCACCAGAAAAAGUGCUACAAUAGGUCAGACUCCCCCUUUUUUUUUGAAUGAUCUUUUUGGACUUCUGCUCAUGUUUUAAUAGGACAGCUUGAGCGAGAGAGGAGGUGACACACACAUCAAAUAACGUCAGGACUGUAGUCUUCCUAUAUAAGGCAUCUGCUCUACCAACUGAGCCAAACUGACACUCAACGUCUUAAACACCAAUCAAAGCUGUGCUAACAUUUGUGUAUUCCUUGAGCCACCAAAUGUGUUGAAUUUACUUCGUUUUUAACGGGUUCAGUUUUGUCUAACAUACAGCAACGUUCCUUGUUAGCACUCAUUUUCCCUCUGAGUGUUUUUGCCACAUUGCUUUUUUUCCCGACAACUGUUGAUCGGGAGAACAGCUUGUUUGUCGAUGGCAGGCUGUGAAUCCCAACACUUGAAAGCAUCCAUGUUCCUUCUUGUGAGGUUUUCAUGGUAUGAAGAGAGAGGAGCUGUUUUCCCAACCUUGAGAGAGAACUGAAAUGUACAAUUACAUCUUUUUUUUUAUGAGAAAAACAAAGGUAAAUGUUUGGAGUGAACAAACUUUUCUGGACUGCAACAGCUUCCUCGGAAUAAGACAGGACAAAUCUAAGUGCAGCUUUUGUCAAAACAUGAUGAGACUGCGUAGUGGUCUCAAAUAUAUGUAUACAUAUAAACACAUACUAAUAAUGUGCCAAUGUGUCAGAAAUCUUUCAGUUUAAUUUAUUGAUUAUUUGAUAAAUAAGAAAAACAGUCAGGGAUAAGAUCCUGCCCCCAAGUGGAGGAGCUCAAGUAUCUUGGGGUCCUGUUCACGAGUGAGUGAAGAAUGAAGCAGGAGAUCAACAGGCGGAUCGGUGUGGCAUCAGCAGUGAUGGGGACGCUGCACAGAUCUGUCGAAGAGCAAGAUUUCUCAAUAAACGGUCAAGCUACAUUCCUACCCUCACCUAUGGUCACCAGCUGUGAGUACUGACCGAAAGAAGAAGAUCUCAUGUACAAGCGGCCGGAAUGACUUUCCUCUUCAGGGUGGCUGGGCUCUCUCAAAGAGAUAGGGUGAGAAGCGCAGUCAUCCAGGAGGGGCUUGGAGUAGAGCCGCCGCUACUUCGCGUUAAAAGGAGUCAAAUGAGGUGGCUUGCGCAUCUAACCAGGAUUCCUCCUGGACGCUUCACUGGUGAGGCGGGCAUGUCACACUGGAAGGAGACAGUUGGAAAAAUCUUUCUAAAAUGACAAGAGGCAGACACCAGAGUUCAGGACAUAUAAUGACAUGAUGUUUAAUUGGAGCACAAACAAUGCAUCUCACAGAUACACAGAAGUGGUCCUUAACUGUGGGAUUUUAGAGUCUUUUAUCCUUGCUUCUCGGAUCUUCGUAAUCAUUUACAAAUAAAGGAAACAGAUGAUUUUAACAAUAAUUUAAGCUGUCCUUACAAAAUUUAAACAUCACAGUUACCUUUGCCUUCACGAUAACUAUAUCUUGCACCCUCUAUGCAAAGCAUUUUUUCAUCAGAGACCACACGGAAGACCCAGGAAUAGAGACUAUCUCUCAGCUAGCCUGGCAUCACCCCAGGGUCCCCUGGGAAGAGGCAGACGAAGUAACUGGGGAGAGGAAAUCUGGCCUUCCUUUCUUAGACUGCUGCCCCCAUGACCCAACACAAGAUAAGUGGUAGAAGAUGGAUGGAUGAACAACAGAAGGAUAAAAACAAGAUAGGACUCUUUAGUCAGAGGUAUGAGAAGAAAAAACAGAUGAUUCAUUAUCAUGUGUGAUGUUCACUUGUCUUUCUACAUUUACUGCAGGUUGCUGCUGAUCCAUAACAUGAAUCUCAUAACAUGAUACAAGUGAGAAGAUGUAAUGAGAUCAGAUGUGUGUGACAAGUGACAGUGUCUCUUCUCUCACAUGUCAGAGUCACAGAUGGUCUUACUGUCACAUUGCCCACAAUUUCAGCACACAUCCUGUGCUUUCUAAGUUGUCAUUACAGAGCUAUGCCUUCCAGUGCUAUAUUUAAAAAUGUCAGGAUUGCUUAUGAAAUGAACUAAAGGACAUAAAUGUCAUCUGCUUUGUUUUCUGAAUUAUUGUUUUUUUUAGUCUUGAAAUAAAAUAUCAUUACAUGCUAAAAAAAUCAAAAUAUAUAGAGACGAAAGAGAAAGAUCAUAAAGGCUAAUUGGUCUGUUAGCGCUAUGUUAUAUUUGUACUUUAUGGUGACAUUUACACACAUUUUGAAUGAUAACCAACAUAAAAAUCAUCACAUACUAGGGUUAGUUUUCCAGUUCCCAAAUUAUUUUUGUAAUCUGUAAUUCAAAGUCUGCAUAUUUUUAACCUUUUCAGUGAGGAGGUUCUCCCACCAUUGUUUCUUUGUCUAAACUGGUGUUAAACCAGAAACAGCCAACAUUUGAAAGAGAGUGUGGCCUAUAGCUGAACUUAUUGUUUCAAAUGAAAACCUCUUUCUUCCGUCAAAUGGGUGUCCAUUAUCAGCUUAUAAAUGCUGGGUUUGUGUCAACAGUUUCUGGCAUUUAAUGGGAGGAAUGGGAAACAAUUGGGCACAGAGUGAGGGAAGACAGUUUCCCCAGUGGCCGCACUUUCUGCUCAGUUUGGACCAUCAGUCGGCACAAAAAAAGUCUCAGAUUUGCUUAUCUUCAGCAGGCAGCAGGCCUACUAUUCACUGAACAGUGGCAGCUGCCCACCCUCAUUUAAUGACAUUUGUAAUUUCAAUUCCACUCCAAACAGUUUCCUCUUCAAGUUUAGCAGAGAAAGAGCCAAAUAGCGGGGAACAAUCUGUGCCUUUUACAUUAGGAUAUUGACUUUCUGUUUGCUCAGACUGUGGCUUGGCUCUCGCGCUCUUUCUGGGGGUUUAUUUUUCCUCUCUUCUCUUUUUUUUUUUUGAGUAUAGAGCAAACUUAGCUGUCAGGUUAAGAUGCAGCUUCUUUAUGAAUGUUCUAGGUUACAGGCUAAUCCUCUGCAAUGUCACAGACCUACACCAACAUUUUAAACACUGUAAUGCGCUGUCAUUAAUCUUGAAAGGUAGAUAUAUUAUAGAGCCAAGUUUCCUACAUUUUUUCCUUUUCUUGUGUUAUUCAGAGAGAUAUUUCAUGUUAAAGAAUGCAUGAAAAAUAUGCAAAAAUGUAGGUUAUAAUUCACAUGCAGCAUAUGAUACAUACAAUAAAGAGACACAGAAUUAAAAUAUUAAAUGUAUUCAAAGUGAUUUCAGAUGAAUUACAGCUAAAAAGUGAUAUCACGCAACCCCUCCUGACUUAAACUAUACAUGGACCUCUAUGGUGUGCAGCUGUGGAGCGGGGUUACCACCCAGUGGAUUGCUUACAUGUGGGUUUCGGGAUAAACUUUGGAUUUCUGGAUUAGCUUUGACAUUAGUGAGUGUUAAAUGCUUUGGUCCUGGAUUAAAUUGUCCCUUUCAACUCAUACAUUAAUAUCAAAUAUGCCGCUUUGCCCUGAUACCAGCAGCAUUAAAAGCUUAGCAAAUUUGUUUGCAAAAGACUAAAUUAACGACCAUUACUCGGCUUAGAUAUGCAUUUUUCAUUUACAGUACAUUAAAGGGAUUAAUCAUGGAAACGCAUAUUGAUACAAAACACUGAAGCGUGAGUGAGGAGUGGACCUAAAUGUCAUUGUCUUUGUUACUUCUCACGUUCCACUCAGAUCAAAAUUCUGCAUGUCUGAAUUGUGGGUGUAACACAUUCCUCAAUGUACAAAUCAGUACUUUUGUUUCUUUACUCAGUUGCUUCUUUUUAGCCAUUUUUGCUGUAGUUUGAACGCAGUUGAGAUUUAUUAGGAUUUUUGUAUGCAGACUCUCAAAAGCCAAAAAGUUGAAGUGACUAAUCCAACUGUGAUUUUUUUUUUUUUGCUUUUGCACUUAAGUUGUGACUCUUGCAAAUGUUUUCAACCCUAAAACUAAGCCCUUAUUAUCUUUUGCUGACAUAUAUUUAGCAAUGGUCUGUUAACAUCAAUGUAUAUCUAAAGGUAAAUAGAGUAAAAUGGUGCAUUUCCAUGAAAGCAACAUCUGAUCAUGGAGUAAAUGCAUCCCAAAAUACAUAAAACUCAUGUUGGAUUAAAAAAAAAAAAAGCGUUGUGAACAAAAACUUGAAGUUACUCCCAACUGUUCGGCCUGUAAUGGCCUUGCUUCCAAACUUUUGGC